rnacentral:lncRNA from 1 species
CAAGGACAAAAGUGUUUUAAGUGUUUAAGUUAAUUUUUUAUAAUCCCAAAGUUUACUUUUAAAAUCAACGGUAUAAAUUGACGAUCUGGUAAUAUAACUCCUCCUAUCACAUAUACCGGAUUAUUUGCAGCCAUUCCGCCAUCUAUAAGGUUGAAUUCCCUAGUUCUGCCUGCAGCGUUCUUGGUUUCAAAAUAAUGAGCUGGAAAAUAAGUUGGUGCUGCUGAGGUUCCAAUGCAUAUGUCAGAGAGUAAGGCAUCGUAUGAUGGCUUCUUUUUCACCUGCCAACAAAAAUAAGCACAUCAUAUUAUAUUACAACAUAUAUGAGUAAUUUGCUUAAAUAAUUUUUAGUCGUGAACAACUUUUACAAUAUUUUGACGUAUAGAAUAUUCUGGAAUAUACUAAAAAUUUUCGAGUUAGUUAAUAUACCAAAGACGGUGAAUUACCUUAAAGUUGGAGAAGAUAGCUGGCUGGAGAUUCUUGAUGUCAAAUGUGGGAAUUACAACAUUAGUCAACGUGUCGUGCAGUUUUUUGUUGCCCAGCCUUUCCCUAAUCAAGCGAUGCAAAUACUUGCCAUUGUAUUUUGGUCCUGCUAGAGCUUUGAUAAUCUUUGUCGUAUUAGAAAAAAUUGGCCAACUGUCGUUUAAACCAUUAGAGCAAAAAUUAUUAUGAAUAUCCAAAAUAUAAAAAAUUAAUUAAGUGGACAUAAUUAACAUGUAAUUAAUUAAGCAUGCAUUACGUGUUUUGGGGGAAGAUUUUAGGGCAUUGAUUAAUGUAGAAGUCUAUAACAUCUUUGGCAGCGAACAGUGGGCGGUUAUUCUCGUUUGGGGCUGCGAGCAUAGCAGUCACAAGACCACCUGUGCUUGUUCCUGCAAUCACAUCAAAAUAGUCCGCGAUUCUUGCAUCUUCACCAUCCAGCUUCUGCAGUACCACCAAUGACAUUAAUCUUAUUAGUACUUAAUUGGGAAAAUAAAUCACUUAAAAGUACUAUUAUAACACAGAUGGUAAAGAACUUAUAUAUAUUGAGAGAAAGUCUUAUAUACCUGAAGUUCAGAUUCGAGGAAAGCAAGAAUGGUUGCCGGAAUGAGGCCUCUUAUUCCGCCCCCAUCGAUACUGAGAAUUGUGACUAUCUUUCCAAAGACUGUGGGGGGCUCUACUCUACCGCUUCUUCCAUCAGAUCAGCUAUAGAGAGAGAGAGAGAGAGAGAGAGAGAGAGAGAGAGAUUUCUGAGUUAUGCUUUGAGAGUAGUAGUCUUGGUAUUUAUAACGCCAGCUUUCGUGUAUGCGUGUUUCUGCAUGGUAACUCAUCUUCCGGGAAAUAUGCAUGCAACCUCCCCUUAGAUAAAUUUCCAACGUUUGGAUAAUAGCCCAUGCUGAAUUGCUGAGCCGGUCCUUCAGAAAUUAGGCGAAUUAAUUAAUUAUAGCCGUAUUUAAUUGACUAUUUUAACUGUAGAAGUCGGACUGAUGAUUAAUUCUAGUCUUAAUAGUAUCCAAACGUAACACAACAAUCCGGCAAGCUUCCAUAUACUAUUUAGAGAGAUGACUGACUCCACAAGAACUGUAGAGGAAUUUCCACACAAAACUUCGUAGCUAAUUCACGAGACUUUUUGCUUAUGAUCCAAAUUAUUCUUAUUACAAAAUAUUUUAUAAACAUAAUCUCUAUAAGAAAAUCUAUAAAAUUACAAUGGAUAGUCAAUCAAUUAUAGCAAUAAAUAAAUGGUUUGUAAUAUUUUUACUGUAUUAAUAUAUUUCUGCAUGCAAUAAAUAGACGGUUCGUAAUACUUUAUUGUUUUUGUAAAAUUCGAUGACUAGAAUCUCCUCCAAAAUUUUAUGCAACCAAUAUCCAGCUUGAUGAAGCUCUUGCAUAUGUAAUAUAUUCCUACAUGCAAUAUUGACACAUACACCUCUUGAGAUUUUUUGAGUUUUCAUAAAACCCUCUCAAAUUUUGAAAGUAACAGAAAUACCCCUUGAUGUUUCAAAAUCAUUUCACAAACCCUUUCCGUUAGGGUUUCGUAGUUUUAUGCUGACAUCAGCAUAAAUAAUUUUAAAAUUAACCUUGUAUAGCUAUUCUAGUUAAGAACAAGAUAUCCCACACCUAUAACAAAUGGGGUGUGAUAUUCACAUAUCCCAUUUUACUUUUCACACAUCCUUCUAAUUUUUGGCCGUUGGAUCAGAUAAAUUGAAGAAAAUCAAUGGAUAGAAAUUAACAAGAGAUGUGUAAGAAGUAAAAUGGAGUGUGUGGAUAGCACACCCCUAACAAAAAACCCCAAUUCACCCAUCUCUUAAGUUGAAGACUACAUCUCCUCUGCUCGGCACUUCUUCGAAUGGUUCAUCCAUACAGUGUAUGGUUUGGUGAUGAAUUUGUGUUUCCCAGCUCAGCUUUCCUUUUGGAGAUUUAGGUUUGCUUUGCUUUAUGAGGUUAAGCUUGAUUUGUUAGUUUUUGCUUCUAAAUGUGGAGUUUUGGGUUCGAAAUUGAUGGUUUUUUUAUUAUUUUUUUAUUUUUUUAUUUAAGAUAUUUGUUUGCUUUGCGUUAUGAUUUUUACUUAAUUUUGUGUUUCUUGUGAAGUUAAGCUUUUUUUUUAGAUUAAAUUUUUUUUAUAACAAGAGUGAAGCGUGAGGGUUAAAAAGUCAGAACAUUGGCAUUUUUCAGGUUUAUAGGUUGGUUUUCAAUUUCUGGAUUUAAAGCGGACCGACUUUUAUAUUUUGAGGUUUACUUUAUGAAUAAAAUAAAAAUGAACGUUGCCUUCUCAAGUAUUUCUUCAUAACUAUCUUGAUGUGUUUGCAUGUAAUAUUCUAGUGAGUAGGUGUUUUUUUUUUUUUUUUUUGUGAAAUAGUGAGUAGGUGUUGGGUUUUCACUUAUGUGUUCCCGGUUCGAAACCUUUCAUCUCCUAAGUUAUUGUAAUAGUUUCGAACUCUCUCCCUUCCUUUUAACAAUAAGAAAAUUUUUAAAAUAAAUAAAUAACCUGAUGCGUCUGCUAUGAGGUGUAAAUAUAGUUCCUUGAGAAACUUUGCUUAUUUUUCCAAUAAUUAACUGAUCAUGGAUGUAUAUGUGACUGCAACAAGAUUUUGUCUCGACCGCUGCCAAGGUCUUUUAAUUAUCAUUAGGUUUAUGGUGUGCGCGUCAAACAAUCUUGUUCUUUUUUCAACUAAUUAUGCUGAUCAUAGAUUUUUAGUUGAUUGAGUUUUAUUUUGACUGAUGCAAAGGUCUUUUCAUUUGCGUGCUUAAUCAUGCCUUUCGGAUUCUGAUGCAUAUUUUGAUCUUUAUCUCUAACUGUUGGGUGACAUAACAUUGCAGAAUUCUUCAAGUUUUUGGCGAUUAUGUGCAGUGAUUUCAACGAAAAAAAUAUUAUUAGUGUUUUUAUAUAAUAAGCAUCGUCUAAUCAAAACUUAUAGGCAAACACUAUUUUAAGCCCGUAAGAGGGUUUAUACGUAAUUAAACUGGCAUAUAUAGCCUCAUGCAUAAAUGGGAACAAUUAUAGAGAAAUGUUAAGGAGACUCUUGACUUUUCGUGGAUUUUUUUGCUACCUUACAAUAUCACCGUGCUAACAUUUUAAAAUAUUGUGAGAAACAUAAAAUAACAAAAAAUUCAUAUGGAGCGUCUCACUUUUAACAUAGUUUUAUGAGCUUUUCUCAUAAUUAUAUAUUGGAUUUAUUCAAUGUCAUGCAGCCGUAUUUUAUUAAUUCAGUUCAAAAAACAGAAAAAGCGAUUGAAUUGAUUCGAUGUCAACCAAUUGGUCUUUAUAUAUGGCAGUAGCCAAUUCAACAAUAUGAGGUUGACAGAUAGGAUAAUAUGUAACUUUAUCCAAUCGUACUUCAAAUUCUUCUUUUUAAAAGUGAGAUGAAUAGUCAUCUCUUAGUUUGCAAAAUAAUUAGACUCUUAACACGUGCCUUGAAAAAACAAACCAAAACAGCCAUAUGUUGGAUUAAAUCAAACUGUUGAAAUAAUCCAAACCCUAAGGAAUAAUCAACCCUUCAAUUCGGGGUUUGGAAUAAAAGGAACAAACGAAUUAAUCUGUCACAAUUGAAGGAUACUUUCUUCCUUAUUCUAAACUUAGUUUUGGUUUAAAUCGAUUAGGGUGGACAUGAAGGUGCUUCUUAGGGUGGGGAUAAAUUCUUUCUUCUACACAAGAAGAACUUCGAGUUGCGUCAUCUGUCUAAUAAGAGUGCGUUUGUUACAUCGGAUAAUUUCUGACUAGAUUAACUUCAAAAACUAAGCUGGACUGAUUUAGACUAUACUAAAUUAGAUUGACAUAGUAAAGCAUUUGAUAUAGCAUCGAACUAAAAAACAGAGUAAUAAAAAUCAGUGAAAAAAGGACCCAAUUUGAACAAUCACAAGAAAUUAAUUCCAUACAACAUCAUAAAUUAUCUAACCCACAAUGAAAUCCUAAAUUGCAAAAUACCAGAAGGGGAAAUCACUAAGUAGAAUAUAUCAAUGAAAAUCAAAAUCGGGUUUUACUGGGAUGCAAAUUAGCCGUACCUAGUGCUUGGUUAGGCGCCCCAUGAUUAGGAAUGGACAAUGAUUAUGACGCGUAGGUAAUCGUAGUUAUUUACUCAUAACUGUUUAUACUCAUACCCGCAUAAUCGUUUACCCGUUGGGUAAUUGCCUAAACGGUUAUAUCCAUACCCGUAACCAUAUAUAAAUGGUAAACCAUACCCAUAAUCGCGUAUCUAUUUAACCAUAACCGUAUACCCGUUUACCCAUUUUUUUAACCCAUUUACCCCUUUUUCUCCUAUUUACAUGUUUUUUUUUAACCGUAACCGUAUACAACUCCAAUAAUUGAAAUAAUAAUUUACGAAUGAUAUUUUUAACUGUUAUCAAUGAAGGUAAUAUGAUAUAUUUGCUAAGAAUUGAUCUAUUACUAACAAAAUACCUCUCGGUUACUUGAGCAAGCAUAUUGGAAAGAAAAUUCAUGUAUUUCAAACAUAUUUUUCUUCUAUACCCAAGCAAGUCUUCAAUUAUAACAUUCAUACGAUUACAAAGUAAAGCUUCUAAAAGUCAAGGUAGUCAUUAUCUUAGGUUGAGUAUAUUAUAAUCAAUAUGCACUAAGACUGGAUGUUAUAAGCACUAGCACUGGAAUCAAUAAGCAUUAGCACUAGAUGUUAUAAUUGAAAUGGAUGUUAUAAUCAACAUGCAAUUUCUAUGGAACGUGAAUGUUGUGAUUUAGCUUAGCUUAGGUUUUUUGUUUUUUAAUUUUAUGUAUAUAUAAAAUAAACGGUUAAUGGAUACCCGUUUAUAACUGUAGUUAAUAACCGCCCAUAUAAAUUUCACGGGUAAACGGUUACCCAUAAUUGUAACCGUGAAAUUCGAACGGGUAACUACGGUUACCCAUAACCAAUGGAUAUUUGCUCAUCCCUCCUCCUAAUGUCCCUAGUCUUCUUGGGGAGCCGCGUCUUUAUGGCCCUAGUCUUCUUGGUGAGUCGCCUUAUGCCUUUGGCACAUCACUGUCAACACAACAUCUUAAUGAAAAGCCUCACCAGACUGACCCAAAGAGAUUCAUUAGAUCGACCCAAAGAGAUUUCAUAAGAAAUUAGACCGACCCAGAAAGAUUUUAGAAGAAAUUAAACCGACCCAAAGAGGUUUCAGAAGAAAUUAAACGAGGAAGAUGAGAAUUUAGCAGAUUGUACCAGUUGAUGGAAUUGGGUUGCAGCGGUGGUUUGGGGAAGCAAAGCAGCGCAGGUUGCCAAAGCAGACAAAGCAAACGAAGCAAUUGGUAUGAGGACAAUGGAAGCAAAGCAGGAGACGGGUUUUUUGGGGGGGGGGGGGGAGGGGUGUCUCGCUAAGAAUAUCUAGCGAAGGAUUUUGUUGGCAUGAGUUGCACUUAGUCUCAUUAAAGUUAGUCUCCUUUCACAUCAAACACGGACUAAUAAGUCAGUUUACUCUAGUGAAACUUAAGGACGCCAAAGAAACACACCCUAAGUGUUAGCCACGUAUUAUCUAAUAGAUAAUUAUCUGUCUUGAGGUGGACCUAAGUAUUUGUCACAUUUUGAAUAGACUGUGAUUGAUAGACUAAGUAUUCUUUUCGAAAUUGCCACUUUACUCCAAAAGUUUGCCUUUUUAGAGUGAAUAGAAAAGCAUGAGAGGAUAAUACGAGAUUCAUUUUUGGGCUGCUAGAGCAAUUGCCUUUUCAGAGUGAAUAGUAAAAGCGAUUGCUUGUCAUCACCAUUACCCUUCCUCAACAGGUAGGAUAGCUCUAAUGUGGGAGGCAAAAAUGUAAAAGCAUGAAUAGAUUUCAAAUUUUUACACCAAAAUUGCCUUCUCAAUUUUGAAUGAUGAAAGGUAAUUUAUUUUUAUACUGAUGUGUUUUCAUAAUUAAUUAUUUUAAGAAAACUGUUAUUAGCACUAAAAAAAAUCUCAUUUAAACUCCUCACAAAUGUAUUUUUCUUUCUAAUUAUACAAAGUUUAGAGUGCAAAAUGAGAUUUUUGGAAUACCAGUAACAAUUCCCAAUUUUAAUUCCGAGUAUGUUAACACUUUAUUUGAGUUCAGGUUUAUUUUUUUUCAUUCGAUUCUUGAUGGUAAACACUUGGGACAUGCCUAUUUAUUUGGGCAUGUUUACUUACCAAGUUAUCAGAAUAAGGAUAUAGAGAAUUUGGUAUGAAAUAAACAAUCACAUGUUAAUCUCAUUUCUCAUUGAUUUUUUCAUCUUUCAAGUAUGAGAAUACCUAGAUGCAUUUAUGUUUUCCAUUCUUUUUUUUUUUGGGGGGGGGGAAACUGGAUAAUAGCAUAACCAGGGCCGAAGCCAAAGAAGUACAGAAAGCCACCCCGGGCCAAUAAGAAACAACAACGAGAAAUAGGUAAAGCUACGACAUGAAGACAUUCUCAUGUCACCUAUAGCUCGUUAUACAAAAAAACUAUGAAGGAGGGCAAUGGAGACCAUCCUUGUUAAGCACAUGGACAAACGAAGAUGGGGGUCGAUGGACCUAGAUAGAGUUGCACAUCUUCACUCCAGCAUGCGACGCCACAAAAUCCGCUGCUCCAUUGGCUGAUCAUGGAACCCAAGACCAGUCACAUGAUUUGAAACCCGCAACAACCCUACGAAUUUCCACCAAGAUUGGGAACACCUCCCAAUUACUCAGUUCAAUAUUUCUCAUUAGCCAAGUGAUAAUCUCAUUCAAAUCCAACUCCACCAACCCGCUCAAAACCCCGCUGCCCAUCCACCAUACAACCUUCCAAAAUCCCCUUCGCCUCAGCCAUUAUCGCAGAGGGUGCCCAAAUUUCUCUUCUCCUUACCACUAAGCAACAAGAAGCAGAAUCACGAAUUACUGCACCGACAUGGCAACCCCCGUUCACCCCCUUCCAGCUAGCAUCCACAUUUACCUUGACUGCCCCAUCCACCGGUGAAGACCAACACUACUGUAGAAUAUUAAGCAAAAUCCGACAGAAAAUGGAUGCAGUGGUGAAUAUACUAAGCGACAGAAUUGCCAGUGUCAAGAAAUUAAUUUUCCAACAGCAAACAUUCUAUAAUCGAUAGAACUUGUGUCGGAUAUAUGCGACAAUAAAUAUUAAACUAUUGUUGGAUAUUAUCAAUUAAUGCCAUUCCUGACCACCAAGAAAUUAAAAUUAUCGUUGGAUUCACAUCAACUUCCUGUCGGUCCUAACCGAUAGAAAAAUUAAAAAAAAAUAAAAUCUACUAUUGUCCGUCGGUCACAACCGACAGAAAAAUAUUAAUAAUUAAAAAAAUAAACAACAUUCUGUUUUUUUUUUUUUUAAUUUUACUGAAUGAAUAAAAAAUAUUUUAAAGAGUGAAUAAAAUAAACAAAGCUUGUAACAAACAUAAUAUGCAUUCAAAUAUAAAUUAACAUACAAUAAUGUCUUUUGAAUCCGCCAUAACACAUAAAGUAGACGUUAAAUAUAAAUUAACCUACAAUACGGUCAUCUGAAUCCACCAUAAUACAUAACUAGACAAAAAACAUUUGGCCGAAGUAGAUAAAGUGUCAGACAUAGCCGUAAGGAAAACCAACAAACUAUUCUAUAGAACCCGAGCCUUCUGACGAACCUCCCUAUGCUCCAGAGCCUUCUGCCGAUCCUCUUUGUGAUCCAAAGCCUUAUGCAAAUCCUCCAUGUGCUCCCAAAUACCUCAUCACAUCCCCAUCAAAACUACCCGACAGCAAUCCGAAAAACAAACCUGGGGAUAAUCCAUUAUUGAAAACACCUGCAGAAAUAUGUGAGUCACCGGGAGAAGCCAUCUGAGGUAGAUAUACUGGCAUUGGAUACUGCGGCUGAAAAUGCAUAUGAUGCAUGGGAUAUGCAGGUGCAUGUGGCUGACUAGGGGCCGAAUGUUGUGAUGCCUGAAGGCUGAGUAGUGGCCUAUGCAGAUGUUAUGGAAUAAGCAACAUCAAUAUUUGCUAUUGCUGCUUCAUCAUCUGCUGGUUCAUCACCUGUUGCUGCUGGUUUACCUGCUGCUACAAGGUCUUUGAUUCUCAAGCUCAACCGUUACCGCCGCCAACUUUCUGGAGGCUUCUUCCUCCCUCCUCCUCAAUUCGUUGUUCUCGGCUACCACCUUGACCAAUGUACCCCUGGAUGAUUUCCUGGAAGACCUAGCACCUGAAGAGCUUGCAUAUGACACUAUCGUUGGUAUCACCCCAUGACCAUAACCUCAAACCCUAUUUCUAGUCUCAGAACCCAUCUGCUCAACAUAAAUCUAUAUUCUAACCUCAGAGGUGUCCUCUUCUCCAGACUCCACAAUUGACUGAAUUUGACUCCCCAUAUAUGUCUUGCAAUAUAAUAUUUAAACAAAAUAAUAAAAGAUUAUUAAGAGUUGAAAUAUAGAAAAAUAAAUAAGAUUCAUAAAAAUAGAUUCAUCAAUCCAAACAGAACGAUAAACAAGGUUCAUAAAAACACAUAUUCUGUGUUUAAACAAAUGCAAUAUUAUUGUUUAAAUAAUGUGUUAGAACACAAAUUCAUCAAUCCAAAUAGAAAGAUAAAUAAGAAUUAAAUACAAAUAGUCAUAAUCUAAAUAGAGUUAUAAAUCAUUUACCCUCUCUGCUGUGACGAUUCAUCAAUCCAAGAGUCAUCUUUACAGGUAUGGGUAGCUCGAAAAAAAGAGAUGGGAUCCGGCUCCUUCCCAUGCUUGUUCUUCUUUAAAUAUGUUAAAAGAAAAUAACAAAUACAUAUUAACCCCAGAUUAUAAAUACAAAAAUAAAAAACACUACAUAUAUUACAAAUUAGUGACACAUACAAGUUCCUCGCAAACCCGAGCAAACGUUUUUGAACCAGUUGUAUGGUUCAUCGUUUUUAACUCCUGAUUAUACUUUUUUUCUCUACCACCUCCUGAAAAGUAAAGAAAAACCUUAUAAGACAAACAUAUUUCAAUACCAAAUAUCAAAUCAUUAAUUUUUUACCUUUUUUAGGAUUAUCCCAAUACGCUAACAUCUUGGCCCACUCACCACCAUACACACCAAAGGGAGGUUCUAAGCGCUCAUGCUCUUGUCUUUUGGUGUAAUACUCCGCUUUUAAACAAUUACGGUAUUCCUUGUAUGCAUGAUCUGCAACAUGGAGAUUCGUGUUAUGAAUCAAUGGCAUUUUGUCGCAGUCUUUAUCAAGAAAAAUGAUAUUCCCCUAUAUUCAUAAAAACAAACAUGUUAGUACAGAUCCGAAAUAUAGUCUUGAAAUAUAGAAGUACAAAACGAAAAUAUAUACUUUAAUUCUUUCCCUCAAAACUUCCUUAUCAUUUUCAGGAACCAAGCGCCAAUCCCUCUUCAAUGGAAUAUGUCUUGGAUCCUCAACCUCCGAGGCUAUCAAUUUCGAAAAUUCAGUGGCAUUUUCACUAACACAUUUCCCUAUCGAAUCAAAUAGACAAAGUUGUCUCUCUUCCUACUUCGGAAUAGCAGCUCCGCGGGUCCUACUUUUUUUCCUCCAUAGAAAAGGGAAGAGGAGUAAAAAUGGGUAGAAGUGAAAUUGGGUAAGAGUAAAAAUGGUUGGAAGUGAGAGUGGAAAGGAAGAGAACAACAAAAGUGAAAAUGGGAAAGAAAAGAGAAAAGGCUGAAGUAAAAAUGGGAAGUAGUUGAGGGUAAUAAAUGUUGUCGGUUAUAUCAGCCAAGAAAUCAAAAUCCGACAGAGCUUUUAUGUUUCUGUCAGUACAACACAUUUAUGUAUGUCAAAAUGGUACAUUUAUAAAUGUCAGAAUAGUGUUGGUUAUGACCGACAAUAAAGUAAAUGGUGUCGGUUAUAUCCGACAACCUGACUGAAAAACGCCUGCCUAUUUAAUAUGCAUGUCAGGUUUGUGUUGGUUAUAACAAAAAAAAAAUCCAAAAACUGCCACAAAAUUUUCCUCCGUCGAUUUUUGUGCACCUUUAAUUUUUUUGAAUCAAAGUCGCAGGAAAUAUCCCACCCAAAAUUUUGUUCUGUUCGUGUCGGUUAUAUCCGACAGGGCCAUGAGUGAAAAAAAUAAAAUUAAACCAUGUGUUUUUAAAUAACAUUUUAAAUUUUACCACACUAACUAAAAUAUUUUAAAUAAAAGUCACCACACAAAUUGAAAUAUAGUCUAAUUAAUCCUUAAAAAGCAUAAAGUAAAUAAUAAAACUAUUCCAUUUCAUCUUUUGUUAGGUCAUCGUCGGCAUUGACAAAAUCAGGGAAUUGGGUAGGCAACGGUAAUACUUUGCGAAAAUGAGUCUCUUCCACGCCAACUCUUGUAUGCAAAUUUUCAUUGUUAAGUACACAAUCAUCCAAAUCAGGUAUGAUAUAAUCAUCAAUUGCAUCAUUAUCCUCCAAUACGUCAAACAAAUCUCUCGGUUGUGUUCGAACAACAACAUGUCAAUCUUUUUUAAUUGUGUCCUCCACAUAAAAUGCUUGUGAAGCUAAUAUGAAAUGAUCCUCUUUAAAUCCCAAUCGAUUAAAGUUUACUAAAGUAAAUCCAUAUUGAUCGAUCUUCAUACCUCUUGGACUUUCACAAUUAACUCAUUUGCACUUAAACAACAUCACAGCUCGACCCUUAUCUCCUGCUUCGGUAGGGCCACAAUAUCUAACCUUAAACAUGUCUUUGACUCUGCCAUAACAAUUCACUUGCCUAAUUGCACCAGGGACAUUUGCAGGUACAAAUACACCACAAUUUUGAUUCUUAUGCUUAUCGUCCACAUAUUUUGUACGAAAUUUGAACCCAUGAAUAAUGUGACUUUUAUAUUUCAUUAUAACCCUACUAGGAUAAUUGGCUAGCCAAUGCAAAUCUUUAGAUAUCAAGAUUUCAUUAGCAUGACAUCUUGAAUUAAUUUGUAAUAAGUAAAAGGAUAAAAGUUGACAAGACAAAUAUAAACACGUCAUAAUUAAAAUGUAAAAAAAAAAAAAGUAAUAAUGUGACUGUUAUAUUAACUCACAUGUUGCUUAAACCAUUAUGGAACUUCCUUCUUGCUUAGCCCCUUGAUUUGUCGCACAGUUAACUUUGCUCGACAAUGUUGAUUUUUCAAGAAUUCCUCAUGUUGCCUAGCCAAUCAGGUCCAACUAUGCUUAACUAAUUUUUCAAAGUAAAGAAAAUUGAUAAAACAUUAAGACGUAUGACUAGAUGUUCUUACCUUCUAAAUGGGUUAACCUCAUCACAAUUACUUAGAAUGUAUCUGUGGCACUGAUUAAGAACAUUUAACCCGAGCUCCACAUUUUCUCCUGAACCCAUAUAACAUCCUUUAGAGUCAAAAUUUGAUAACCCACCAGAUACUCCACGUCUAAUACCAUCUUCAUUUCGACCUCUACAAGUGCGACGAGACUCGACAUCUCUAAGAUACAUGGAGCAAAAGGACAAGCACUCAUCCACCAACUAUGCUUCAACAAUAGAACAUUCAGGAUGACCCUUAUUACGAACAUAGCGCUUCAAUGUUUGCAAAUACCUAUAAUUAAAAUACAAAACACAAAUUAUUAUAAUUACUAAUAAAAAAUUAUCAUUAUAAAUUAACAAAUUUUAUAAAGAAUUGUUAAUUACCGUUCAAUUGGAUACAUCCAUCUAUAUUGAACAGACCCUGCAAUUGCUGCUUUAUCUGCCAAGUGAACUGGGAGGUGCAUUAUUACAUCAAAAAAUGCAGACGAGAAUAUCUUCUCCAAUUGACAUAAUGUCAAGGCAAUUCUUGAAUUCAAUUGCUUGAAACCUUCCUCGAACUCCUUGCUACACAAUUGUCUGAAAAUUGCACUAAACUCUAAUAAUAUCAUAGUAACAAAUUUAGGCAAAACCGCACGUAUUGCAAACGGGAGUAACUGCUGCAUUAAAACAUGGCAAUCGUGGCUUUUCAAUCCAUGUAUUUUUCGUUCAUUCACAUGCACACAUCGUGAAAAAUUUGGUGAAUAUCCAUCAGGAACCCAAAUAGUAGACAACACUUCACAAAAUGCAGUUUUUUCUUUUCUUUUCAAUGUGAACAAUGUUGGAGGUCAAAAUGUUCUAUUUCCUUCCCUAUGUGGAUGUUGUCCAUGUCUUAUGUUCAAGAUCUCAAGAUCUGCACGUGCAACCAAUCCAUCCUUAGACUUUUUAUCUAUAUCUAACAAUGUUCCCACUACAUUGUCACAUAUUUUUUUUUUCAAUAUGCAUAACAUCAAGAUUGUGUCUAAUCAAUAGAUGCCUCCAAUAAGGUAGUUCAUAAAAAAUAGAUUUCUUAUUCCACUGACUUUUACUACUUGUACUGCUCUUAGUUUGUUUUCUGCAUUGCCCAACUGAAGCAUCUUUAUUUGGUUUUCCAAAAGUAAAUCUUAAAGUACAAAGUUCCUCAAGACAUUGUAAACCAAUCCACUGCCUUGGUGCACUACAAUGCUCUCACCGACCAUUAAAAGAUGUGGUUUGCCUUCGAAACCUAUGAUCAACAGGAAGAAAGCGUCGAUGCUCUAAAUAGCUAACUUACGACUCGCCGGCAAGUAAAUAGAUUCUUUAUCAUGCAUGCAAUGUGGACAUGCUUUAUAUCCAUGUGUACUUCAUCCUGAUAACAUUCCAUAAGUCAGAAAAUCACUUAUAGUCCAUAAAACAGUAGUCUUCAUCGUAAAAUUUUGGUUAGAAUACGCAUCAUAAAUAGGCGUGCCCAUCUCACAACUCAUUCAACUCAUCAAUUAAUGGACGCAUGUACACAUCAAUCUCUUUACCAAGACUGCGUGGUCCUAGUAUUAAUAGAGAGAACAACAAAUUCGGUUGCUUCAUACACAUCUAGGGCGGUAAAUUGUAAACUAAAAGCACCACAGGCUAUGUGCUAUAGUCUUGCCUUAUUUUUCCAAAAGGGUUAAAUCCAUCACUGCCAACCCUAAUCAGGCAUUUCAAAUUUCUGAUCAAAACUCCAUAUAUAAAUUAUCUAAAUGCUUCCAUGUUGGAGAAUCUGAAGGAUGUCUCAUAAACCCAUCAUUAGGACAUUCAAUUGCAUGCCACCUCAUAUGUUUAGCCUUAUGCUUCAACAUAUACAACCCCUGCAAUCAUGGUUUUAAAGGAAACUACCACAUAACCUUAGCUGCGACUUUUUUUCCAAAGCCAUCCUCUUCAUUGACAUUUUUAUAUCUUGAUUCAUCACAAACUGAGCAUGCGGUCAACUCUGCAGUGUCUUUCCAAUAGAUCAUGCAAUUAUUGGGACACGCAUCAAUCUUCACAUACAUCAAACCCAAGUCAUUUAUAAAUUUUUUUUGCCUUAUAACAAGAUUCAGGCAAACAAUCUCCAUCAGGCAACAUUUUUUUAAUUAACUCGAGUAACGUGGUGAAGAUCCCGUCCAACAUUCUUCCUAAACACUUGAUCUGAUACAAUCUUACAACCGCCUCCAAUUUUUUAAAUUCUUUACAACCUGGCCACAAAUCUUGAUCUGCUUCUUCAAGCAACUUAAAAAAGUCUCGACCUCUUUCGGACGCCCUUCACCAGAAAAGGGUUUAGUAGACGACCCAACACCUUCUUUUGUUAAUGGUUGGACAAAUACAUCAUUAAGAACAUCAUGAAUACCAGUCAACCGAUCUCUUAUUUCAGUAGAUGGCCCAACACCUUCUUCUCCAAUCCCCAUAUUUUGCUCUCCAAUGAAAGGUUCCUCAUGAUGUCGCCGCGAAGCAUUUUUGUAAUUUUUAUCCAUAUCAUGCAACACAAGAUGUUCAACAAUAGUUUUUCUAACAAAAGUAUACCAAUUACAACAUUUUUUGCAAGGACAUCUAAACUUAUCGGGGCCAGCGCGAUUCGCAACUGCUUGAUCCAAAAACAAAUUAAUUCCAUCUAUAUAUGCUUCCAAAUUUCGCAAUAUUGUCAACCAACUCUUUUUCAUGUUUUACCACUGUAUGAGAGCAAAUAUUACGUUGAAACUAAGAUGCCUACAAUCUUUCAAUCCUUGUCAUGUAGGCAUAACUAUCAGAAAUUUCAAUCCCUAUCUUUCAACCUCGAACUAUCAUAAUUGCAAUUUAAUUUCCAACACCUAUCACAGUAAAACAAAUUAAAAAAAAAAUAAAAGGUUAACAAAAAUAUGUUUAUCUACACUCUUGAUUAUUUAUUAAAUUUAAGUUUUGUAUAACCUCAUAGCAAUUAGAGUGAAAUAUUUAAUUAAUUAACAUAAUAUAUACCUAUAUUACUAAAUAUUACCAAUUUACGGUAUAUUAAAUAUUGUCAAUUUAACAUCAAUAUUUACAAAUAAUAUUUAUCUCAAUUUUUUCAUAACAAUUUAAGUAAAUAAAAUAAACUAAUGGAACACAAAUAUUCCUAAAUUAUCUUACUAAUAAAAUUUAAAUCUCUAAAUAAAUAAUCUUGUGUGUUAAACAAACAAUUUAAACAUUAAGAAGUUCAGUAAUAAAACCUGAACUAUUGAAGAAUUAUGUCGUCGAUCUACUCUUUACGUAGUCAGCCAACUAAGAAAAGCUCCUGCAAAAUCAAAUCAGAAAAUAAAAAUAAGCCACGAAAUGCUUGAUGAAGAAAGAAAUAGAAGAUGAAAAGUAUGGAGGCAAAAGAAAUAAAAAACUUACUGAGAGACGAAGAGAAGAAAAAGAUGAAGUGCUUGAUGAAGAAAGAAAUAGAAGAUAAAAAGUAUGGAGGCGAAAGAAAUAAAAAACUUACUGAGAGACGAAGAGAAGAAAAAGAUGAAGUGCUUGAUGAAGAAAGAAAUAGAAGAUAAAAAGUAUGGAAGCAAAAGAAAUGAAAAACUUACUGUGAGAUGAAGAGAACAAAAAGAUUGAAGAUGAAGAGAAGAAAAGGUUUGAAGAUUGAAGAUGAAGAUUGAAGAUGAAGAUUGAAGAUUGAAGAUUGGGGAUUGAUGAUUGAAGAUGAAGAUUGAGGAUUGAAGAUGAAGAAGAGAAAGAAAUUUGAAUGAACAACAAACUGAAAAACUUUUGGCGUAAAAAUAAUAAAAUAGUAGUAUUUUGUCGGUUAUAACUACCAUAAUACUAAAAUAAUAAAAUAGUCAAUUUCUAUCGGUUAUAACCGUCACCAUUAACUUCAAAACCGCAAGAAUAUAUAAAAAAAUAUUAAAAAAAAAAGAAUUCACAAAUACUGGCGGUUAUAAUAAUUUUAUGUCGGUUUGAUCCGACAGUAAAUAUCCGCUAGGAAUUCCUAUCGGUUAUAUCUGACAUAAAUUCACUUUCAUCCGACACUAACCAAAUGAUGUGUCGGAUAUGUUUUAUCCGACAUAAUGGCUUAUUAACCGCCACCAUCAUCCGACACUUAAAGCUAAUAUUGUAGUAGUGCAACAAGAAGAGAUCGCAGGUCCGUCUUGGUUCUAGCAAACAUAAGAAUGUGAAUGAUAUCAAUUCCUUACAAAUUCAUUUUUUGUAAGUAAAACAUGGAUGGUCUAAAACUAUAUUAAUAGAAUUUUGGUUGUCAACUAAAUCUCUAUGAAAUUAUCAUUCUAACCCUCUAAUUAAAAAUGAACAGAAAUAAAAAAAAAAAUAUAAGUAAUAUAGUAAUUACAAACCACAAAUUUGUAUUGUAUGUAAACCUCAUAACCAUGUAAUAAUAACAUAAUCGCCCAACUCGCUUGCCUCUAACCCACUUGCAAAUUAUGUAUGCUCUUCCUCUCCUCCAAAACCCUAAUCGCCCUCCACCAGACCUACCACCCAACAACUUUUCCUACAUCCUUUGUGUUUUCUCCCAUGAGCCCUCUAUCGCCAGCCCCUGCCUCUUUGACCCAUGAACCCUAAACUGGAGCACCUCCCACCAUGAAUGGGCAUACAAUGUUUUGAAGGUAUAAGCCUCAUUAUUUAGUCUCUGCAUCUUAUGCGAGGGUGGAGGAAGAAAUUUUUAAGCAUUAAAAAUCUCUUGCAAUUCGUUAGAUGUGUCAUUGAAAUACAUAUAUUAAUCAUGAUUUAUCACUCCUCGAUUACCUAUUUUGUUGCAUUUGAUUGUUUUUAAGGAAAACUAAUGAAAAAUUAUCAAAAUUUUUAGUUUUAAUCAAAAUGAUAAAAUAACUGUGUAAGUAAAUAGUACCAGAAAUGACUUUUCAAGGUAACAAUGUCCUUAACAUUAAAAGUGAAUAGUACCAGAAGUGUUUCAUUAAGAUUCCCUUGUUUUUACCCUUUUUUGCAAGGUUUGGUUUCAUCCAAGUAGAGUUCCACAUUAUACAACUUUUGGGAGAUGUACUAGGAUUUGGAUCCCAUCCGGAAUCAAAUUGUGGGGAAUCUAGGAACCCUCACACCUUGGCCAUUCAUCAUACAUCAUGCAAUAAAAAAUUAUUUGACUUUUUUAUUUAAAAAUUAAACACAAAUAAUAUUUGACGAAAACUAGCCACACGAUGUACUAUGAACAGUUAUGAUGUAAGAAUCCCUAUGAUUCCUACAAAGAGGAUCCGGAGAGGAUCCUCAUCCGAAGUACUGAAGUUAGUGAUGAUUUUAGUGUUGCAAGUAAUAAUACAACGAACAGCUAUGGUGCAAGAAUCCCUAGGAUCCCUACAAAAAGGAUCCUCAUCCAACUGAAGUUAGUGAUGAUUUUAGUGUUGCAUGUAAUAAUAUCUUUACAAAUUAUUAUAAAAUUUUGAAAGUAUUGCCUAACUCAUAAGUUUGGUUUUAUUUCACUAAUGUUAGUAAUUGUAUUUCAUAAGUUCAUGUAACUCAUACCAUAAUGGAAAGAAAAUUGAAUUGCACACGUAUAGCGUCUAUACCAGUUGCUAGUUUUCAUUAUGUUUCCUUUCUUAAUCCAAUGACUACUCAUUCUAAUUUCUUCUUAUUCUAAUUAAGCAUACAAUAAGAGAACUUCCCUCCUACACAUGAGCCACAUGCGCAUUCCUUGUGCAUCAGUUGAUUUAAACAAAUAUCGACCUUCCAUUUUUUUUAAAUGAAAACGAGUCGCCAAGAUUUGAUUUGUUCAACUGAUGUGCAAGUGGCUCAUGUGCAGUAGCGAAACUCUCCAUACAAUAAUACUGAUUGAGCAAAGCUUUAAGAAAAUAAACAAAAAUUCUGACCCAAAAAACUAGAAAAAAAAAGAGUAAAAGAGGAAAACCAAGCAAAGCCCAGGCCCAUCAGGCCCGGUUCCGAGGAGGACGUUUGCAUCCGGCCUGUUACUUGAGGAAGAGGUUUGCAUCUUCUCCAGGAAAAUUCCUGUUUAUGUAGACCCUUCUUUUACACUUAAACACUUCUCCGUAGGGGUGAAAUUUUUUGCCAAAUUACCAUAUCAACCAAAUUACUAACUGUACCUGUUUGGGCCCAAAAUAUUGUUUGAGCCGAGUUAGAAUUAACUCGGCCCAGUGUUGGAUAGGUCGGGUUUAAAUCAUCUCUCGGCCCAGAAGUCGUGUACAGGUGUCAGUAGGAGAUAUUUAGCCCAUGGGCUGCACGGUCGAAAUUAGCCAUAUCUUAUUAGAAAAUGGAAUGUGGACGAAUCCUGUUGUGAGAGGGAGUCUCGAUGGGAUCAGGAUGCUAAGAUUGAAUACGGUCUGAUAACGAGUUAUGUUCAGAGUCCUCGUAGGAAUAUGAUUGGCCGAAAUGAAAUUGGAUAAUGAGAAUGAGUUCUAAUCCGGGAGUGAUUAGGAUUCAGUACAGGUUGGCUGCCUGCUAUAAAUAGGGAAGGAAGACAUCGAAACAGGCCCCCUUGAAUUCAACACACAACUGCCCUGCGCAAAUUCUCUCAACAACCUUGAGAUUUUUUCCUUUUCUUUUUUCGCCGACACACCUUCAGUUUGGAUAAACAACACUGUGAAGGCAACCGGUGAUAUAUUCAGUCGGCAUAGAUAUCACUGUCACUGUAGAACCAGCCGAUCUCGUAGCAUCUUCAAUCGGCAUAGAUAGCACUGCGUCGAGGGUGACUGGUUAUCUAUUCAAGUCUCAGUCGAAAAGGAUUUCCGAAUCUUUAUUAGUCGAGGUCAUUUCAUUAGCCUUCUCGGCGAAGUGAGGUGUUACAGUUUAUUAGGCUCGGCACAUUGCACGCCGAGUUAGUUUAUGAUUGGAUACUCUCAAGUGGGAUUUAGAGUUCGGCAUUCCGAUGGCCGAACCACGUUUAUUGUUAAGACAUAUAUCCGCUUUAAGUAUUUGUGCCCUUACACUUUGGUGUCGAUUCAGCGUGAGUUUACUCUGACGAAUACCAUCACUGUGAUCGAAUCCGACGACGAUGAUUUGUAAACUUCGUAAGAAUAGUAGCCUUGUUUUCAGGUUUGAGAACCCAAGAGGCCGAGACGUGUUCCUUCCUCGGUUGCAAUCGCAAGACGCAGAAGUCGGUCGCGCACUCAACACAACAUCAGCAUAUUUUACUCCUUGGCCGAGCUCGGCCGACAAGUUGGCACGCCCCGCAUUCAACCGAGUAGUUAGCUCAUAGAUUACUCGGCCUGCGCGCCACGUAGACUUGGUAGUUUUUAGGGUCAACAGUACGAUAUCAAAGUUGUGCCAAAAAAAUUGUAUCAUUGGUAAUGGUAUGGUAUUUGUACCGUACCAUACAUUUUUGGUAUGGUAAUGAUAUUCAAAACCAUUAUCAAUGGUAUACCGUAUCGUACCACUACUAUUAAUAUUAUAUCAUUUAUUUAUUCAUAUAUAUAUAAUUAGGUAUUAUUAUCAUUAUAUAUGCAAUUUAUAUUUUUUCCCUAGUCAUUUAUCCAAUCAUCUCACCAUCUAACCUCUACUUUCCCAAUAAAAAAAAACUAAGCCUUCUUGCGCUGUGACUCUUCAUCUUUUCACCCAUCUAGCCAUUGGCUUCAUCUCUGUUGCUCCCGUUCUGGCGACUCUCUCUCUCUUUUCGCAGUCCAUCUCAUCUUGUCCUUGAUCAAAUUAGGAUGUCUUUCUCAUUGGCUUUGUCUAUCAAGUUAAUUUUUUGAACAAUUUUACAGAAUGUAGAAAUGAAAUUUAUGAAUCUUUGUACUAUUUUUUUCAGGGAUGUUGAGUUCUUUCAGCAAUUCUUCCAUCUAUUUAUUUCUUGUUUCUUAAAUAAAUCUCUAUAAAAUUCUCAUAAUUAAAUAAAAAAAAGUUUUAGAAAGCCAAAGAGAGUGGCCAAAACACGUUUGAGCCAUGAAUUGGGUUGGAAAAAAAAAAUCAAAUUUUGGCCCAAAAUAAAAUGGUAAUUACCAUUACUAUACCAUGCCAACCGAAUUAUUUGACGUGCCGAAAUUCAUUAUACCAAAAAUUUGGCACUAUAAUGAUAAUAGAUUUUAUCAUUCCAAAAGUUUGUAGGGUAAUUGGUACAUGGUUUUGUUACUGUUAUUGUACCAAUACCACCCUUUCUUCUCCGUACAAAUCGCCAAAUUUCCUCCCGCCAUGGAAAGCCUCCAUACCCAACACCUUCCCUCUUUUCCCCCAAACAGAAACUAAUCAUUUCCCACCACAAUCCCCGAUUCCCCAAAUGUUGCUCCGCCUCUGUUACACAAACCGCCGCUACUGCCACCACCUCUUCCCCCAUCACCACCGUCAUCACAAUCCCGCCCGCUUAUUUUCCUCUUCCGCUUCCAGAAACCCCGAGGAGCCCCCCAACAAUCGCAAGAAUUCCGACCAAGUCCCGCAUCCUCCGUCUGUUCUACACCACCGCGUAAACCCUCUGUAUUAUGUCCCUGGCGCUUCCUCUCUCCCUCGCACCGCCGCCAUCGCGCUCUCCGGCACUCUCGCCUCCGCCCUGAUCGCCUUGUACGUCGUCGUUUCGACGGACUGCGACGACAAGUCGUCGAAUUCUAUAUAUAACGGAGUACGACAUGCCGUCCUCAAAUCCACCGAGUCAUUCAGGAAGCUUCUCGACCACGCUCAACAGACCGGCGUCGCCGCCUCCGUUCUCUGGCACUCUCUCAGCUCCAUCUUGUCCUCUGCCAACCACGAGGUCCGCUCCGGCUUCGAGCUCCGGGUCGCUGCGUUCCUUGCUGAUAUUGCCGCCGCCAAUGCCAGCCGAAGGGCCGCCCUAGUUGGGGCUGGAGGUGGCGCCGUUGUCGAUUGGCUGCUCGAGUCGGUGGCUGUCCCUAGGGAUGGGUAUAGGACCCAGGCCGAGUCGGCUAGAGCUCUCGCCUUCUUGAUCUCCGAUCCUAAUGUGUCCGCCGCCGUGCUCGGCAGGCCCGGCGCCGUUCCCAAUCUCUUUAGGUUCAUUUUCUCCUGUCAGCCUCAUCCGUCUAAGAAGGUAAGCUUUCUCCAUUCUUCUCUUGAAUUUCGUUGAAUUUUUCAAAUUAGGAAAAGUUUGGACCUUUAGCGUUUGCCGCAUUGAAUUCAUUUUUCGUUAUGAGCACUGGCAUUGUCUUUCUAUUGAAAAUUCUGUGCACUAGGAUGGUAACCAAGAUCAACAUGAUAAAGACGAUAACUUUCAAUAGGGAAAUGCUUUGAGGCAAUUUCCAGUGAGCAUCGGUAGGAUCCUCUGUGCCCCAUUUUAAUUAACAUCACUCGAGCUUCAUAACCAAGUUUGUUGAUGCGUUUAGUUCUGUUUUAGUAUUAAUCAAUGGAAUUUCUGUUGGAGCAGCGUGCAGGUCGUAGUUCACUUGAUGUUUCUGAAAAUUUGAAAGGCAGGAGCAUGCUUGUAGCUGCCAUUAUGGAUAUCGUCACAGCCAACUGUGAUAGUUUAGAAAAAGUGUCCUUUAAGCCAUGCCUGUCAGCGAAUGCUGAAAUGCGGGAUAUAGCAGCUGCCAUUCAAGUUAUUGAAGAAGGUGGCAUGCGUUUGGACGAGUCACAUGAAAAUGAAGAUGACGAAGAUGGUGACAGUGGAAUCGAGGGGAUUGGUAUUAAAGUUCUGGGGGGUACAUCAGUUUUAGGCCUAUCAAGAAAAAAUGGAGUCGUGAAGCUGGGAAGAGCUGAUACUAGUGAGUUGGGAUCAGGAAGGGUUAAUCCUCAUAAUCUUGUCCUGCAAAAUAUGCAUGCCAGUUCUCUAGCACAAAGUAAUCUGUCUUCUGCUGUUGUUCCUGGCCUCUGGGAUGAUUUGAAUUGUCAACAUGUUGCUGUUCCUUUUGCUACAUGGGCAUUGGCAAACUGGGCGAUGGCAUCAGAAGUGAAUAGAUCACGAAUACAGGAACUGGAUGCAGAUGGGCAAGCUAUUAUGACCGCUUUAAUGGCGCCUGAGAGAUCAGUCAAAUGGCACGGAAGUUUGGUGGCUCGGUUGCUAUUAGAGGAUCAGAAUCUACCCCUGAACGAUUCAGUUUCUGAUUGGAGUUCCAGUCUUCUUUCUACUGUUUCUCAGGCAACUAAAAACGAAGACAUUCCUUUGGCUCGGGUGGCUUUGUCAGCAUUCUUGAUUUCUGUUGAGAGGAGCCCUGAAGCACGGAAUAUAGUGAUGGAGAAGGGUCUUCAUCUGAUAAGAGACAUUGCGAAGCGAACGAUGAAGCAUAAUGAUGUGCAAGAAGCAUUGUCAAAGGCAUUGGAAUUGCUUUGUUCUGGGGACUUGCAUUUACCUCUUGAAGAAGGCCAAAGGUGGUCUGCUGUAUUACUCCGUUGGGUGUUUGGAAAACCUUCUUCUGACACAUUACGUUUGUCAGCGAUAAAAAUCCUUUCUCGCAUUCUCGAAGACUAUGGACCAUACUCUGUACCCAUUUCUCAGGGAUGGUUAGCUAUUCUGCUUACUGAAAUUCUCACUUUGAAAAAGGCAUCAGUUAAAGGAACCCCUCAGGCUAGAUCUGUGAAUGUGAAGGUCAGCAUUCUUAUUUCCUGUUUGGAAAUUCUUUUGUAUCUUUAAGAAUGUUGCUUCCAAUUUUUCUUUAUGCUGAAACCACUUCAAUUUCGUUUCACUUAUCUAGUUUUGUUUAGAAUGUACAUAUUGACCUUAGUUUUUCUUUUGCAGACACAAAUUGAUCAGUCAAACAUGCUUUUUGCUGCACAGACUUCUAAUCAGUUAUUGGCAUCAGUUGUUAAUCUAGCAGGGAAUCAGCUGGGAACAACCACUGAUUCUAUUGAUACAUUUCCACUGGCAGAUCUUCUGUCCGCUGAACCUUUUUCUGGGCCAUUUAAAACCCUAAGGAAAGAUAGUUUGCCUAAGGUUAAUGCAGCAGAUUCUGCAGUGGCAACUCUGAAGGGAAUCAAAGCACUGACUGAAGUUUGUGCUGACGAUUCUUUAUGUCAGGAGAAACUAACAGAUUUUGGAGUCUUAUGUUUGCUGAGACGGUUUUUGUUAUGUGAUGAUUAUGAGAAACUUGCUGCCAUAGAAGCUUAUGAUGCUUCUAAGACGCUUGAGGCACAAGAGCGAACCUCAAAUGUUUCUAAAGAGUCAUCUAUUCCAGAUAGUAAUGGUCAAUCUAGUGUCCAAGUUCCACCCACAGCUCACAUCCGUAGGCAUGCAGCGAGGCUCUUGACUAUUCUUUCAAUACAUCCAAAAGUCCAGAGAGUCAUAAUAGCAGAUAAAACUUGGUGUAAAUGGCUUGAGGAUUGUGCUAAUGGUAAGAUCUCAGGUUGUGGUGAUCUUAAAAUUCAAAGUUAUGCUAGAAAAACACUUAUAAAUGUAUUUUGCGGACGCCAAAGAGAUUCUGCAAAUGGUGAUGUUCCCGAUGCUGGUAUUGCAAAUGGAAAAAAAAUUUGCCCCUGUUAUGAUGACAUGAUAUUCUUAAUCAAUCCUGAACUUCCCCAUUGGAAUUGCCUUGAAAAAAGUGACCAAGACACAAGUCCAAGGGAUGCAUCCUCUUCGGAUCAAGUAAAUUCUGUUGAGAGUGUGGAUAAAUGUGUGACCAGAAUUUCAGAUGAUGUUAACAUAUCCAGUUCUAUGGAUGCAUCUCGUAGUAAUGCAGCCACAAGGGAGCCUCUUCUGGAUAUUGUUUUUGUCCAUGGCCUCCGUGGGGGCCCUUAUAAGACUUGGCGCAUAUCUGAGGACAAGUCAUCCACCAAGUCUGGCUUAGUAGAGAAGAUUGACCAGGAAGCGGGAAAGCUAGGAACAUUCUGGCCAGGUGAAUGGCUUUCAUCUGACUUUCCUCGAGCUCGUAUGUUUACCCUUAAAUACAAGGUUUGUUCUUGUGAUUGUUGUAUUAAAUUUAUUAUUUUCUUGUAGGUUGGUCCCCUCAUUGGCAUCUAACUCUAUCUGAAUGUUAUAUGCAGACAAAUCUAACACAGUGGUCCGGUGCUAGCCUGCCUCUUCAGGUCAGUGUUUUUUGGUUGAUAGAAAUUGGUUUCUAUAGGGUGUUAAGAGCAUUCUCUUCAUUGCUAGUGAUUCAGAUUCUAAUGACUUCAGUAGUUUAUUGAUUUGUAGAACAUAUGAAUCUGUGCAUGAGUUAAUUUUAGGCAAUGAUCUUUGGUUUCGCCAACAACUCAUGUUUGAGCCUGUAGCUGAUCUAGAUGUUUUUUAGCUCCUUGCAGUUUCCAAUUGUCUUCAUUUGUUUUUGGAUUGUGCAGGAAGUUAGCUCGAUGCUGUUAGAGAAGCUUGUUUCUGCAGGUAUUGGGAAUCGACCUGUUGUUUUCGUGACUCACAGGUCUGUACAGUGUUGCCUGUGUGUUCGAAUCUAUCCCACUGGUGUGCCAUUUUCGGUUUUAAUCAUACAGUGGCUAUAACAUAUUUAUUUUUUUCAGUCAUCACAUACACACACACACACAUAUAAAAUGCACUCUCUCUUUAUUUUUUUCAAUUUCAAGUUCUAACUUUGACAUAUUUAAGGAUGUCUUUGAGGUCUUGUGUGUUGUCAGAGUUUUUUGUAUCCCCAAAAAAACAAAACAGAAGUAAAAGAAGCAGGUGCUGCAGACGUUUUUCUUUUAAAUGAACUUUCUGGUAAACACCAAAUGUGGUACAGAGUCUCACAACCAAAUGAUAUAGUCUUUUAUUGUGUCUUCCUUUUCUCACCUUCAAUUUUAGUGCAGUAAAUAAUGCAACCAAUCUUUCUCUUUAUUUUGGUUCACAGCAUCCUUUGUUUUUUGGGAGAACUAAUAAAAAGUCCCUCACAAAACUCUUUUUUUUGAAAAACACUUGGUCAACUUUUCUUAUUAUUAAGAACAUGUAUGGUAUUAUAAGGACGAUAAACAAAAAUGAGUUGCACUUCAUGAGGUCCUUUAUAAUAAAAAAGUGUCCUUAAUUAUACAAAAAAGUGUCCUUAAUGAUAAAGAAAGUUGUCUAAGAGUUUUUUAAUAAAAAUAGGUUUUGCUAGGGGCAUUUUAUUGAUUUUCUAUUUUUUUGGUAAACAGUUUAUAGCAUACUUUUAUUACUAAAUUUUUAUACAAUAUAAUUUAUAGAUGAUUCUGUUUUUUAAUGCAAUAAUCUACUAGCUUUCUCUUGUUUGCAGCAUGGGAGGUCUGGUUGUCAAGCAGAUACUGCAUAAAGCAAGAGCAGAUAAUAUCGAUAACCUCGUGAAAAACACCAUUGGAGUUGUACGGACCUUUCUAUAAUUGAACAAUUCACUUACAAUGCUGUUCUUCACCUGUUUAUUACUGUUUUCUAUAUGAGAACUCUGGUGUUUUAUGCUCGCUUCAGGUUUUCUAUAGCUGCCCACAUUUUGGAAGCAAACUAGCUGACAUGCCUUGGAGAAUGGGAUUUGUGUUUCGCCCAGCACCGACUGUUAGUAUAUGAUGUUUACAACCUAAACAUUUUCCUCCCUAUAGUAUCAGAUCGCUGGUUCUGAAUGUUCGGACCAGCAAAUCCUGCUGUAUUGAUGUUGAUAGAAUUACUUCUUGAUGUUUCGUAGAUAGGGGAGCUAAGAAGUGGAUCCCCAAGAUUAGUAGAGCUUAAUGACUUUAUCCGUCAGCUUCACAAGAAGGGGAUGCUUAAAGUCCUCAGUUUCUGUGAGGUACCUCUAAAGUUUUGUGGUGGUGCUUGUGUCAAUAUGCGAUUUUGUUAACUUGUUAAUUAGGUAAUGACUCCUUUUGCAGACCAAGGUAACUCCAAUUGUUGAAGGUUACGGCAGAUGGGCCUUCCGAAUGGAAAUUGUACCAAUUGAAUCAGCAUAUCCUGGAUUUGGUGAUCUUGUUGUAAGUAUGAUUGCAAACAAAUGUAGAUCACUAAAAAAUCGGUUAGGUCAUCUGCCUAAAAAAAUGAUGAUAACAAACCCUAGACUAUAACUUGCUUCCAGUAAUUAGUGUUCCAUAUUUUACAUGUCUGUUUAUUUUCGGCAUUAAUUUGUAACUUUGGAACAGGUAUUAGACUCAACAGAUCACAUAAACUCGUGCAAACCACUCAGCCGCAGUGAUCCCUCAUAUACAGAGAUAUUACAGUUUUUGCGGAAAUUGAAAGCAAGCCAGAAAUAAGCGGGCAGUUGUGUAAAGGGAGCAUGCCUCAGGAAUUAUGUUCACGAAUGUUCCAAAUCCAAGCGCGCCAGGAAUCACCGGUGGAUUUUCAUCCAAAGGGAUCAGGUAAUCCCGAGUCAUUACUGGGCGGAGGGGGAGGCGGAAACGGAAGCAAAAGCAUAAUUUUGACACAUCAGAGUUUCGUCCAUAGUUUUGACACAUCAGAUUUCUGUACAUUCUCCACCACCCAGAGAGUUGCAUAACCAUUAUUCUUUGUACAGUGUUAGCAUUGUUGUAUCAUUAACAUUUUUGAAUUUUGUAGAAAAAAGCAACUGUUGUAUCGUAUCAUAAGCAUAAUGAAUAUAACACUUUAGAGUCGGUCCAUAUAUAUAUUUGUGAAAGACUAUGUAACACUUUGUUGCGUACGAACGUCUUCCUAACCCUCACAAAACGGGGAGCUGAAAACUUUGUUGACUUGAAGACGUCAUGUAAUUAUUUAAAAAUAAAUGUCGUGGAUGUAAAUUAUAGAAGUAGCAAAUAUCACUUGGUGCGAUGGCAAGUGCCUUCGCCCAUGAGCGGUAGAUCUCGGGUUCGAGACUUGGGAGCAGUUUCUUCAUAAAUGGGGGUAAGGCUAGUCGACAUUCACCUCUCCCAGACUCUGCGUAAAGCGAGAGCUUUGUGCACUGGGUACGACACUUUUAGCAAAUAUUUGAAGAUAAAUGUUAUUUGUUUGUGAUAUUAGCUCAGGGAGCUCGAGACGGUGUGAUCAAGGUCUAAAAUAUCGAUAUUAACCCGAUAUUUUCAUUGAAAUUUUCGUGUUUUUGGACUACUGAUAUUUCCGAUAUCAUCGAUAUUUAGACCUUGAUAGAAACUCUAUUAGGUACUAAGUCACUCAUGUAUCUUACCAUGCAAUGUAUAAAGUGUAAAAUAUUGUACUAAUUCAUUAUAUAUAAAUGAUUAUGGUGUGUUUAAACUUUUUUCAUUAAUUACUACAUAUUUUUUACACUCACAAUGUUUGCCAGCUCGCUAUAUAAUCAACUUAAAUAAGUUAAAUCCAUCAUGCAAUGCAUUUCCUUCCAAUUUUUUGUCAUAAACUAAUAGAUAAUUAACUAAAUAAACAUCCUGUAAAGUUUCAAUAAAAAUUUUCAAGUUUUUCUUACAAUUUCCAUGGUUUUUAUUCAAUUUUUAUUGAUAUCGAUAAUAUCCCGAUAUUUCCAUCAAAAUUUCCGUAUUUUUAGAUUACCGAUAUUUCUGAUAUCAUCUAUAUUAGUGCGAGAUGGGUACUUUUCGUCUUUCCAUUGCAAGAUGGGUACUUUUCGAGUUUUCGGGAUUCUUUAAUCUUGCCUAAAUGAUUCAAAGUCUUGAAAUUUAUGUUAAUUGUUCUGAAUUCUGAGGGUGUUGCUGAAGUUGCGUAAAUUCUAGAGUACAUCAACGAAUGACAUAACUUGCUGAAUUUGCGGGGGGAAAUGUAACGGAAUUUAGUGCGACUCUAAGACUAAGCCACUUAAAAUACAAUGCAUUGAUGUAGAGUAGAAGGUCUCCAAGUUAUUGACUACUUUCAGCCCGUUUUGUUGAAGCAUGAAAGUUUUGAUCAUUGUGUGGAAAGAUGAGGUUUUUUCUAGUGCUUUUUUACAGGACGGGAUCAACAGACUAGUAACUACUUUUGCAUUCUGCAAACUUGGAUUGGUGAAUUUCUGAUAUCUGAGAAGUUGCUGGAAGGAAGGGAGUUGGGGUUUUACACAUGGGAAGGGGACGUGCAGGAGUUGUUGAAAGGUGUUCGUGAGAAGCUCAACAAGCUCGGAGAGGUUAAUGCCUGAAACUAUUUGUAUUUGGUCUCAUUUGGUUGAGUUUCUAGUCGUGUUUAUUUCUUAGUACUUAGAAGUUGGAAAUAUUUGUUUUGUUACUACAGCAUUGGACUGGAGAUGACAAAAACAAAUGCUUUAAAGAAAUAACAAAAUCAUUUCGGUAUUUGGGGCAGAUAGUUCGUUUGAUCAUCCUAGAGCCCAAGUAAUCUGAAUCAAACUGCUCAGGAGAUCACUUAUCGGUAAGAAUGUCUAAAUUUAUUUUCUCCCUUCUGUUUUUUGAAUUUCUCAGAUAUUAAUAGCUCUGCUUUCAAACAUUGGUUGAUAAAUUCAUCCUUGCAUUUUCUGGUGCAUUUGUUUCACAGCAGCGAUCGCUAACAAUGGUUUUCUGUUCUGUUAUCAGGUAGCAUUGGUCUAGGGUGGACUCAUUUUUGUGUAGAAGGUGAUUUUUCGACAGGCUUAACUCUACGAGCUGGAGAUGAACACCAUUGCAUCACUAAUCUAGAGGGAAGACGAGGAUGUCUUGUAUACUUUUCUUCCAUAAGGCUGCGCUGAGCACAAGAAGCAGCUUCUUUUGCUGAGCCUUGCGGCGCAAGAAUCGUGGAUUUUCAUACUCUUUCAGAUUUUGGAAGCACCCAACUGCAACUAGAUAUUUUUAAGGGAAGAAUAUGUUAACAAAUGCAAGAAUAUUCAUACUGAAUUAUUACUGAGUUAACUCAGAGAUGGCAAUUUUAAACUUCUUUUGAUUUGUACGGGUGGAUGACUGGGAUGACACUUUAUGGAUUUAAACAUAGUAUCGAUACAUACGUAAAUAAAUUGUGUUAUAUUACGGGUGGAAUAAUAACGCCACAUAAGAAUUUGAUGAUUACACCAGAAAAAAAAAAUCACUCCAUCAAAUUAUUCCAGUUGUAUUACUGUAUCUGUAUUAUCGUUUUUUUUUUCUUUCAUUUGAUUGAAUUGUUUAGAUAAAUGCUCUAGUACGUGAUUUAAUAUCUCAGUAGAUAUGGUGUUGGGCUUUUACAUAUGUGUCCGGUUUGAAAUUUCCUCUUUCUCCAAAAUUAGUUUAAUUGUUUUGAACUCUCUCCAUUCCCCUUAAUUAUAGUAAUAGUAAAUUAAAAAAAAAACAAAAAGAUAAAACCUCUGUGGGAUGACUCAGUGAUUGGAGAUGAAUUUCAACUUUGUAUUUCACACAACACUUCCUGGAUUUGAUUUUCUGGCACUCUUGGAUCACAUUAUUGUCUGGUGGCUAGAGAGAUGCUGAAAUGUCUCUAUAAGUCUUCUUGACUUCUGAAAAGAUGGAUUAUUAUGACGAAGCUACUAACUUGUCUCGUUUAACAAAAAAAAAAAAAAAAAAAAAAGAUAUAAAAUGCUCCAUUAUGACAGUGAGUUUAGGAGCACUUGCUGCUUAAGACCAAUUCAGAUUCCCAGUCGGAUCAAGUGGUGAAGUCAAACAAGUUAAUGCAGAAUAUAAAUUAGACUAAUUAGUAUGAUAAUCCAACAAAAGAUAAGGGGAGAUUUAUUUUAUAAUCGGGUGUGCUAUUUACACACUUUUUAAUUUUUUAGAUCAUUUUUAUUAAUUUUUAUUCUUUAAUCUUCUUCAAUUCAUCUGAUUCGACGAUUGAAAAUUAAAAGAAUAUGUGAGAAGUAAAAAGGAGUUUUGGAUAUCACAACUCUUUAACAAUAUCCAGCGUUUUUAAUUGAUAAUACAUUAUGGGUAAAUAUCAGUUUACUACCCUCAAGUUUCGUGGUUUUCAACAUUUAGUACAUGAAGUUUUUUUCGUCUUAGAGUCAUACCUAAAGUGUUAAUUUUGGAAUAGUCUCAUACAUCUGUUAGUCUGGCUAUUAAGUCUCCUAUUAACUAAUGACGUGACACUCAUAUGGACAAUAAUUGGACACCUCGUGUCAUUAAAGGUCUAAGUGGAAAUUAAAAAUUAAAUAAAAAUAUUUAAAAAAAAAAAAAAAAAACCAAAACCCCCUUCGUCUUCCCUACCCGACUCCCCUCCAUCCCCUCCACCCCCUUCGUCUUCUCCACCCGAGCACCCCCUUCUCCCCCAAAACCUCUCCCUCUAUUUCUUCAGGCAAUGGAAAUUCACUAAUUAAUUCCCCCAAAUUCAUACCCCCAAUUCUCCAUCUAAAACCCUAAAAUUCAAACCCUCAAUCAUCAAUGGAGCAGCUCAAGACCAUCGGCCAGGAGCUCGUGAUGGGCUCGCAGGGCGGCUUCGGCCGAUCCAAGGAGUUCCUCAACCUCGUCAAGUCCAUCGGUGAAGCUCGAACCAAGGCGGAGGAGGAGCGCAUCGUCCUCAUUGAGAUCACAAUCCUUAAAAGACGUCUCUUUGAUGAGGCUGUCAGGAAGAAGGCCAUCAUGGCGCUUCACCUAUUUUAUCAAAAAUCGCCCUCCUCUGUUUUGUAUCUGGUGGUUAGCUUUGUCAGCAUGGUGGACAUGGAGGUUUUCGGGCUCUCGGAGUUCGUUGUAUUUUGGGUUCUCGCUAGCUUGGUGGACAUGGAGGUUCGGAGGGCGGAGGAGGUGAAGAAGAAGUGCUGUGAGGAACGGCGGAGGCGAGAGAACCACGACGCCAUGGCCAUGGCCGUCUAGGAGGUACAGAAAUUUUGUUGAUGAAAUGCAGGAAUGUCGGGUAGGGGAGGUUCUGGGUUUGUUUUUUUUGUUUUUUUUUUCACCAUUGUACUCGGCGUCGAGAAGAAGUCCACCGCCAAACUCCAGGACUCUAGGUACAGAGAGAAGGGAGGGAAGGGGUGUGGCUUGCAAAAGAGAGAAGGGAGGGAGAGGGUGCAGGGGAGAAGGUGGGUACGUAUUGUUUUUUAUUUUUUUUAAUUUUUUUAAUUUUUUAAUAUUGAAGUGGGCUCAUAUUGACACGUGACGCUUAGUAAUUGUCUACGUGGGUGCCACAUCAUCAGUUAACAGAAAUUCUAACGGAAAACUUAACAGAUGUAUGAGAUUGUCUCAAAAUUAACACUAUAAUAAUAACUUUGGGAUGAAAAAAAUUUCAUAUACUAAAUAUUGAAAAGUAUAAAACAUAAGAGGAGUAAACUGAAAUUCAUCCUUACAUUAUUGAUAUAGGAUACGUAACAGUGAAAUUGAAAGCCUUCGUAAAAGGAAGCGAUGCAACGUGGGAGGUCAGCUUAUCAAAGAAUAUGAAUCCCCUGCUUCCUUGACCUCCUGUCCCCUCUCAACAAAAAACAUGCAUUAUCAUAUAACAUUAGCAUUAAUUGUAAUAACUAAGUAGUAAAUGGGUUCAAAAAUUCAUGAGCCACACAUGCCACGAUCAACAUUAAUGCAACCGGUCGACAAAUUUGCGUCCCUAAUCGCAAACCGACAAUCGAAAAACUCUUGUUAAUUUAGAGACAAUAUUUAAGCACUGACCGAUGAAUACUUCUUAUACUGGGUCGCUGACCAUAAGACGUCGUAAACUUUUGGCCUAAACAUUAAUAAUUUGUGGUCAAGUUCUAGUGGCAAGUUGUACAUAUCGAUUAGGGGCUUCCUGUCCUUACGUGGCUUAUGGUUUGGUUAUGGCAGCUCACUUAUAAGACUUGAGUUCUGUGCUUCUGGAACUUCCAGCAGUGGCUUCAAGUCUCAACCAAAUAUAUAGCAAAUAAUAUUUUUAAGAAAUUAUAAUGGUAUAAUUAUCAAAGUAAUAUUUUUCUUUUGAAAAUUUUACUCGUAAAUAGUUGAAAAAAAAUAUAUAAAUUAUUUUGUUAUAGUAAUCGAACAUAAACAUGAGCAGUUCUAAAAAUUCAAUAAACAUUUGGUAGUAGAAUCAUUUCAAUUCUUGACUUUUAUGUGUUUACUAACACAUAAACAUGAGCAUUUCUAAUUUAUGACUUCUCUUUGUGUUUGCAAACACAUGAAAAUUAAUGAGUUAUAUAAAUUUCAUAUUAUACUUUGUAUUUGUAAUUCAAUACAUGAAAAAUUAAGAAUUAAAUUGAUUAGAAAAAUAGUUUAUAUCAUUUUAUUUAUUCACUCCAUAUUGCCCUAGGCAACAUUUCUAAAUUCAGCCUGUCCAAAAUCCUAGGCAACAUUUCUGAAUUCAGCAUGUCCAAAACCCUAGGCAGCAUUUAAUUUCAGAGAAAUUAUCUAAUGAAAUUACAAAGUCUAGAUCCAAGUAAUAAAUACAAUGUGGCCGCGAGUCUAAAGAUAAAAGAUAGGGAUCCAUCUAAAUCUUGAUUGACACGUCCCGAUCCCAAUAUCUCUAUAAUAUUAAGAUGGGCACGUGCUAGCCGAUAUCCGAGGGUGCUGAAGUCAUUUUAAACAUGCCUACAAAGAAAAUACGUAAUUAGAAAGAAAAAUACCAAUACAGGAAUGUGUUCAGAGCAUACAACUAAUCAAGAAUAAUAUGAAAAAAUUAUUAUAAAAAGAUAUGAACAAAGGAAUGGGUCCUACAUAGAGAAGACUCAAAGAUACCUAUGUGUAAGUGCCUUGACGCUGGGAUCAUGUGCCUUGAUUCUAACUCCUGAAGGGGUGUAAAACAAAGGAUGAGUGGACUAAAGUUUAUAAUAAUAUAAUAAUAAGAAAACGAUUUUCCUUUUGAACAUGCUAACCCCUUAUUUUGAAAAUACAUAUGUAUAGUACUACAAAAUAGGUUUUCUGAAAACUCUAGCAUGCCAUAAAAAACAUUCGUAAAACAAGUAUGUAGAAUCCAAAGCACCAAUGCUCAGUAAAGGUAAUAUAGUCGCUCGAAGGCACAUCCGUUAAACAUCCAUAAAUCACAUCAAUGAUGUACUCAACUAGGGGUAUAAUAGUGGCCCGAAGUCAUAACCAUCACCCUAAGGUGAAGCUGUACGACACUGGGAUAUGCAAGUGAAGAAAUAUAGGGUCCAUCACCCGAAGGUGAAGCUGUACCACUUUGGGUUACGCUAGAGAAGAAACAUAUAUAUAUAUAUAUAUAUGUAUGUAUAUAUGUAGUGGGUCCAUCACUCGAAGAUGAAGCUGUACGACUUUGGGUUACAUCAGAGAAGAAACAAAUAUAUAUGUAUAUGUAGUGGGUCCAUCACCUGAAGGUGAAACAGUAUGACUCUGGGUUACGUUAGAGAAGAAAUAUAGGGUCCAUCACCCGAAGGUGAAGCUCUAUGACUUUGGGUUAUGCCAAAGAAGAAAUAUAGGGUUUAUCACCUAAAAGUGAAGCUGUACGACUCUAGGUUACGCCAGAGAAGAAACAUUUACAUAUAACAUAACACACCGACACCAGCCUCGAGCUAGUGAAGCUAGGAGUAUGUCGUAAAUAUCAUCAACUGUGUCUUAUGGCCAUAGAUGUAUACAUACUCAAUUGUGUGUAUGUGUUGUAUGAUAAGCAACUAGAUAAGCAUCGAAAGCGUAUCUCAAAAAUCUCAUAUCAAAUAUGGAGCUCAAAAGCUCAAAGCUUCAUCUCAUAAAUCCAUGAUAACUCAUUUUCAUAAAUCCAUAGAAUUUCAUAUACGAAAAUCCAAUAAUUCAUAACCCUUAGUAAAACGUAAAUUCGAUAAAUCAUAAAUAUUUCGUAAAAGCAAUUUAAAUAAAUCAUAAAUUCUCCGUAAACCAUAAGUAUGGAAAUCCGUAAAACAUAAUAUAAAACAUACUCAAUUCGUGAAAUAUGCAAUGCAUGCAAGUCUAAUAUUUUAUAAAAACAUGCAAUUAAAGAAGGGGUUCACUCAUAGAUAUUUUGUUGUCAGGGAGCUGCUCAAACUAGAGAAGACAGUGUCACUUCCCACCGACACACCUAAACACAAAUGGAGGCCAUUUAAUAAAACUCUACUAAAAUGAUAGAAUCUGAUAUUCUUUGUACAGGACAAGGCAACUCGAAGGAUAUUGUACCAAGGAAAUAGUGAUGAUGGCAAGAUGUUCAAGAUACCAAUUACAAUGUUGUUAAAGUCUGGUGUUACAAGAAUGGGAAAGUGUGCUGCAUUUGUUGGUAAAAAGAUUAAAGUUGCAAUUUGGCAUAAAAGGUUGGGACAUCCAUUUGAAGAAGUUCUUAGUAUGAUGCUGCAGAAUAAUGAGUUGUCAAAUAGUAUAGAUUCAUGUCAAUCCAUGUGUACUUGUUGUAUUCAAGGAAAAAUGAGUAGGUUGCCAUUUCAUAUAAAGCAAGAUAGGUCUACUGUUAUUUUUAAGAAAAUCCAUUCAGCUGUAUGGGGCCUUCACUUAUGAAAUCUAUGGAAGGUUAUAGGUAUUACAUUACCAUUGUUGAUGAUUGUUCUAGGUUUGUAUGGAUAUUUCCAAUGGUGAAUAAAUCAAAUGCUUUCUCAAUUUUUACCAAGUUCCAUGCCUUUGUUUUGAACCAGUUUCAAGUGUCAAUCAAAAUUUUACAAUCUGAUGGCGGAUGAGAGUAUAUGAGUAAUUUGUUUAAAGAAUUUUUGGAUGCAAAGGGUAUUAUACACCAUGUUUCAUGUACUCACACUCCCCAACAAAAUGGAGUCACUAAGAAGAAAAACAGGCAUGUAGUUGAGAAAGCUAUCAAUUUGAUGUUAGAUGCACAACUACCUAUUCAUUUUUGGUAUCAUACAUGUUCGCAUGCAGCUUUUCUGAUCAGUUAAAUGCCAAGUAGAGGCUUACACAUGAAAUCUCCAUAUCAGAUUGUGUUUUAGACCAUUCCUGACAUUAAGAAUCUUAAGGUAUUUGGCAUUGUAGUCUAUCCAUUACUGAGAUCAUUCAAUCAUAAUAAAUUGGAACCAAGAUCAACUCAGUGUACAUUUCUUGGUUUUGUGCAUGGUUAUAAGGGAGUAAUAUGUUAUAACAAUAAGACUAGAAGGGUUAUUUUGUCUAGACAUGUAAUUCAUGAUGAAGACAUAUAUCAUUUCAAGCAUGUUUCAACACAGAAGGCCUCUAGUGUAGUGAAAAGGUCAUUACAACCCCCUGUUCUAAUACAUUUACAAGUUCCAAGUGUUAGAUCAUCCACUUUUGCACAACUUCAACACAGUUUUCAAGACCUCAACUCAGUGUCUAUCACAACUAGUGAUGUAAGUGCAGGUUCUGAUCAUCCUGAUAUUUAUGAAACAGUUCAAAACACAGAAUGAGUUGACAGUUAUGGAGUGUUACCCAGAGCAAUGAUAUCACAUCAUUAACAUCUUCACAACAUCUAUCCUCAUCACACCAUCACUAUGGUACAAUAUCUAUAUUGCAUGUCCAUUCAAAAUCUUAACUUGAGGUAUGUCUUCCAAAUUUGUCUCCUUCUGAUGUAAUUUAGCAACCUGUCACUUUAACUUGUUCAAUGCUUACUAGACUAAAGAGUGGAGCAAUUGAAAGAAGAAAUUAUGCUGCACUGGUUGCAGCUUGUCCCGAGUCACAAUCUUUGCAAAUUACAGAUGAAGAACCAUUCACUGGUGGGUAUUUAUUUGUUUCUGAAAUUUCUAAUGUACUUGAACUUGCAACAUUUCGAAAAGCAGUAACUAUACCACAAUGACAAACAGCAAUGCAAGAAGAGUAUGACUCUCUUAGAGCUUAAGGAACAUGGGUUUUAGUUCCACCACCUUAAGAUAGAGUAAUUGUAAGGAGUAAUUGAGUGUACAAGGUUAAGAAGAAUCUAUAUGGCAGUGUGUCAAGGUAUAAAGCAAGGUUGGUAGCUCAGGGUUUUUCUCAAGAACAUGGUAUUGAUUAUCUGGAUACUUUUAGUCCAAUUGUAAGGCAUACCACUAUGAGAAUCAUUCUAGCUUUAGCUGCUACCAAUCAUUGGAAUCUCAAGCAAUUGGAUAUUAAAAAUGCAUUUCUGCAUGGAGAUUUGCAAGAGGAGGUAUACAUGAAGCAAUCUCAAGGUUUUAUUGAUCCAUCAUUUCCCUCUCAUGUUUGUAAUUUGAUUAAGUCCUUAUAUGAAUUGAAACAAGCACUAAGAGCCUAGAAUUCGAAAUUCACUAGUUAUUUGACAGUCUUGGGUUUCAAAGCUUCAGCCUCAUAUACUAGUCUCUUUGUUAAACAAGAUGGAAUAUAUAUUAUCAUCCUAUUAUUAUAUGUUGAUGAUAUUAUUUUGACUGGUUCAAAUGCUACAAAAGUUUAAAAAGUGGUGCAAGAAUUAUCAAAAGUCUUUGAGUUGAAGGAUAUGGGAAAGCUUGCUUAUUUUCUGGGAUUGCAGGUCCAAUAUCAAAGUAAUGCAGACAUAUUUGUAACCAGUCCAAGUAUGUCAAGGAUUUAAUCCAUAAGGCAGGAAUGAGUAAACCUGAAAAUACCCCGUGUAAGCCACAUCAUCAAAUGCUGCUAACAGAAGGAGAGUUACUCACAGAUCCAUCAAUGUAUAUAAGUUUAGUUGGUUCAUUACAAUAUCUAACCUUCACUAGGCCAGAUAUUGCAUUUGCAGUAAAUAUUGUAUGUUAGUUCAUGUCUACAUCAACUGAUAUGCAUUGUGGAGUUGUUAAAAGGAUCCUAAGGUACCUCCAAGGGACAAUCAACACUGGAAUCAAUUUUAAUGUAUAUACGGUUACUCUAGUCAAUGCAUUCUCAGAUUUAAAUUGGGCUACGAAUUUGAAUACUUGAAGAUCAAUCACAGGAUAUGUGGUUCACUUGGGUAAUAAUCCAAUUUCAUGGCAUUAAAAAAAAACAAGGCUCAGUUUCUCGAAGUUCAACUGAAGCCAAAUACAAAGCUUUGGCACACACUACAGCUGAUAUAGCUUGGAUAAGGAAUAUAUUGAAGGAUUUGAAGGUGUUUGUUCAUAGUCCACUUAUUAUUCACUGUGACAAUAUGUUUGCUAUUGCAUUAAGUGAAAAUCCUUCCAUUCAAGGAUUAAACACCUUGAUACAGACUAUAAUUUUGUAAGAGAGAGAAUGCAGUAAGGAGAUUUACAGAUCCAAUACAUACCAACUGAAAAGCAAACUGCAGAUGUAUUAACUAAGGUUUUAUAUAGUCCUGCUUUUAUUAAGCAUUGUUACAAUCUUAAGCUACAGAAUCCCAGCUGAGAUUAAGGGGGGAUGAAGACUGUGAUAAUGCUGCCACAUCAUCAUCUCUAGCAGUUAAGAAAUGUAAUACAUCAACACCACAUCAGCUGUCAAAUCGGUUAGGAAGUUAUAUAUACUGCUUGUAUUGUGACUGAUGGAAUCAUCUAAGAAAUCUGAGAAGCUUGAUUCUCUCAAUUCUUUCUCAUACAUUCUUUUUACUUUUCUGCAUUUUCUUCCAUUGAUACGUAAUAUGAUACAUGUUAUCAAUAUCCUCCAAAUAUAUACAUAAUGCUGCUUGAAUAGGAUGGCUGCUUCUUGUAAUUGUAUACUCCAAUACUCUUAUAUACACUGUUCGGGCAGGAAUUUCAUUGGGAAGGGUCCCUUACACGAGCACACAGCUCCCCGAGGAGUUGGCACUUUGGUUGGCUGUUGGGCUCUUGCUUGCUUGUCGGGCUACAAGAAGAGGACAUAGUUAGUUCUGAAAGGUGCCUUUGUUGGGCUUUAGGUCGUGAGACUCACAAUAAAAAAUAACUAAGUGCUGAGGUGUGCCACUGCCAUAUCUAUAUGGCAGAUGUAUAAUGAGUGUUUUUAAGCCGAUUACUUGCGCCCCAAGUUACUCUAACUUCUCAUUAUUAAAGGAUUGUCGUGGAUGGGUUAAGUCCACAUUAAGUUCUUUUUAUGCCUUGAGAUCAAGGACUUUUGUUUAUCUUAUAUGCUUCAAAGGUGGAGGUCCGAAUCUAAUCAAAACAUCAGUUUCAUUUACUUUCACGAUAGUAAAAGUACUAAGUGAACCAGAUAUGUGAGUUAAUGGAACUUCAUAUCAUUAAGAGACCAAAAAUGACUUGCAUAUCUACUGAGGGAUACAUUAUAAUACCAUAUCUAUUAAUGGAAAGGCAAAAACAAAGAGAGUCGGGCAAGAUUUCACCUUGUCGGGCAAGGUUAAAACGUCUUGCGAUCUCUUCCCUUGGCAGUUUACAAAAAGGAUUGAGUAAUGAAGGGGAUGACUGGAAAGAAGUUUACACAUGAGAGAUCAAUACUACAACAUUUAGGGAAAAAGGUAGCAGAGCUUUUACAUAGACAAAAGAUGUCUUUCUAAGGAAGUCUAAGGCUAAAAGGGUGCAGAGUCUGGACAAAGCACGUCUUUCUGGAUAUUUGCUUGGUUGAGAAACAAGUUGUAAAGUUGUAUGUUUGUUUAUUUGAUUGGUUAAGUGUUGUUGUUUCUGGACCCUCUUCCUCCUUUUAUAGAUGAAUGAGCCCAGUUGUGUUGUUUCUGUUCUUGCCCGAAAGCAACUGAAGGGUAGUGAGUCACUAGCCUUGUUACGUGUUUGCCAUCCAAAAAGUACUUUUAGGCCGAAAGUUGAUGAUCUUCCAUCGGUUGUCACUUCUUAUAAGCAACUGGCCUUUGCAUUAAUGGGGAGCUGCCAUAAUAUCUUGAAAUGGAUGAACUGGGCUUGAUUCUGGGCUUCGGGUAAAACCUUCUUUAUUGAACUCUCUUGGGCUUUCCUUCCUAAAAGCCCAAGGUUUAAAUAUUAACCCAAACAUACACCAUGAUGAAGAACUGUGUAGGACUGUAAUACCGUGUUUUUUAAAUGAAAGAUUAAUUUUAUUGAGUAUCCAACAACCAACAAAUUAACAAAAGAAUGAAUAUAUCGAUUACAGUGAGAUCUAUUACAGUGAUAUCCCAACAGGGAUUUAUUCGAACACAAACAAAUAUUAAGAGAUGGAGUAUAUGGUUGCCAUUUGUCCUCACACCCUUGAAUUAUCCAUAAUUUAUUACAAUUUACAUUUCCAAACAGUAUAAUUUAAAGAAUAAUGACUUGUCAUUGUCUUAGGGUAACAAUUAAUCAGUAAGAAUUGAAUUUACAGCUUAAUUCUCAUUGUAUUGCAUAAUAGAUAAUAUAUACAUGAUACAAUCCUUGUUCUAUAAGGAAACAAUAAAGGACACACACAUAUCCUUCCUAAUAAAGGAUUUUAAUAUUUACAAUAUAUUUACAUGUCCUUUGUAUUUAAAAAACACUCACGGCAACACUCCCCCUCAAAUUGGAGCUUAGAUAUCACACAUGCCCAACUUGACAAGUGAGUCACCAAAAGAUCUACUACACACAACAUGAGUGAGGAUAUCCGCAAGUUGCUCUUCUGAGUUCACAAACGGUAUUGAAAUGAUUUUCUUCUCCAGCUUCUCCUUAAUAAAAUGACGAUCAACCUCUACAUGCUUUGUUCUGUCAUGUUAUACCGGAUUCUCUGCAAUCUCCCGUGCGGAUUUAUUAUCACAAUACACACUUGUAGCCUCCUUUGCUUUGAAACCUAGACCACUAAGUAACUUACGUAACCAAAGGACUUCACAUAUUCCGUGUGCCAUACCUCUGAAUUCGGCCUCAGCUGGCGACCUUGACACCACAUUUUACUUCUUGCUCCUCCAAGUAACUAGAUUUCCGCCAACAAAUGUAAAGUACCCAGAAGUAGAGCGUCUAUUAGUUACCUCACCUGCCCAAUUAGCAUCAGUAAAUCCUUCAAUCCUCAGAUGACCAGAAUUUUUAUACAAAAUUCAUUUUUCUGGAGCCGACUUCAAAUAAGCUAAAAUCCGCAUAACAGCCGCCAUAUGAUCCACAUUUGGCGAGUGCAUAAACUGACUCACCACAUUUACUGCAUAGGCUAUAUCUGGACGGGUAUGAGCUAAGUAAUUAGUCUUCCUACCAGUCUCUGAUAUCUGCCUUUAUCCACUAGUUCUUGAUUUGGAUAAAUUCCCAAGUAAUGUUUCUCCACAAUGGGAGUAUCCACGAGUUUACACCCAAGCAUGCCUAUUUCUUUCAAUAAGUUCAUAACAUAUUUCCAUUGAGACAAGAAAAUACCUCUGGACGAACGAGCAACUUCCACACUAAGGAAAUACUUCAAGUCACCCAAACUCUUCAUCUCAAACUCGGCAGAAAGUUUCUUUUCCAAUUUGACAAUUUCAUCUGAAUCAUCACCUGUUAUUAUCAUAUCAUCUACAUAAAUAAUCAAGGCUGUUACUUUACCGUUUCUCCACUUCACAAAUAAAGUAUGAUCAGAAUGACUCUGAUAAUACCCAUUCCUUCUCAUAGCCUGAGUGAACCUCCCAAACCAUGCACGCGGUGACUGCUUAAGCCCAUAAAGAGACUUUCGUAAUCGGCACACUCCCAUUUUUUCUCUGUUACUAUACCCUGGAGGGAAGUCCAUAUACACAUUUUCCUCUAGACGUCCAUGAAGAAAUGCAUUUUUUACAUCAAACUGUUUCAGUGGCCAAUUCGAAUUUACAGCUAAUGAGAUAAGGACUCGUACCGUAUUCAUCUUAGCCACUGUAGAGAAAGUUUCCUGAUAAUCAACUCCGUACGUUUAAGUAUACCCUUUCGCCACCAAUCUUGCUUUAUAUCUGUCAAGUGUUCCAUCAGCCUUGUAUUUCACGGUAAAGACCCAUCGGCACCCAAUUGGUUUCUUUCCCUUUGGCAACUCAAUAACUUCCCAAGUAUUAUUUUUCUGCAAUGCCCUCAUCUCUUCAUCCAUUGCUUCGAUCCAUUUUCAACUCUUUAAAGCGUCUUCUACCCGAGUUGGUACCUAAAUCGAAUCCACAUUAUUCACCCACACUUGACGUUCGGAUGAAAGAUUUUUACAAGACAUAUAAUUGGUUAUGGGAUAUUUCACUUUUCCUUCUGGAGAGAACCUGUCAGAAGGUACACCAUGAUUUUGCCUUCGUGGCAAUUUAUAUGUACUUAUAAUAUCAUUAGUUACAUGAGUAUCACUAGUGCUUACCUAAGGGAUAUCCAGAGAAGAUGCAUUGGACGAUGGCACUGUUGAGCUGGAGAGAGGGGGAAGCUUCGGCAAUAAUCGGUUGAUCACCAAUGCAUUCUCUUUUGGCAGCACUAAUACAUGGACUACCAGUCUUUUCUUCGGUGAGAAGCUGUGGAAUACUUGGGGCAGGUUCGGUGAGACCCUGUUGUCUACUCACAACAGCAGGUUCGGCAUGAGUAGACCGAGCAUCAUCAUCUGCAUCACUCGGCACACUGUGCACUCCCCCUGAAGACAUUUCCUCUUAUACAUCCAACCAUUUGAGAACACCAUCAAGAUCACAAUUAGAACUCUCCCUCUUGUGAUCUAAAGAUGGUAAUACGGGAGUAUAAAAAUAUUCAGACUCAGAGAAGGUCACAUCCAUGGUGAUAUACAUGUGACGAGUGGCAGGGUGGUAACACUUGUAACCUUUCUGGUGGGAUGCGAAACCCACAAAGACACACUGAAGAGCACAAGGAUUCAAUUUACUACGAUGAAUCUUGUGAAUAUGAACAUAAGCCACGCAGCCAAACACCCGAGGAAUGAGUGUAUUGGUAGAAACAACCGGAACAUGUUCCGUCAGCACUUUGAGUGGAGUACGAAAUUCUACAACCUGGGAUGGCAUGCGAUUGAUAACAUACACAACAUAGGUGAUGGCGUCUGGCCAAAAACUUUUGGGAACAGACCCACCAAUAAGCAGGGCACGAGCGGUUUCCAAAAUAUGACGGUUUUUCCUCUCAGUAACCCUAUUUUGUUUUGGGGUGUACGAGCAAGUUGUCUCAUGAACAAUUCCUUGAUCACAGAAAAAAUUAGAAAGCUCAGAGUUAACAUAUUCUCCCCCAUUAUCAGUACGAAGAACUUUAAUAACGGAGGAAUAUUGAACAGCCACCAACUGAGAGAAUGAUCGAAUAAUGGCACUUACAUCACUUUUAUGUUUCAACAAAUACACCCAUGUCAUAUGAGUGCAAUCAUCAACAAACAUAACAAACCACUUAACUCCUGAAACUGCAUUAACGGGCGAGGGCCCCCAAACAUCUGAAUGCACAAGCUCAAACGGAAGCAAUCUUUUAUUCAUACUAGAAGGAAAUGAAACACGAUGACUCUUAGCAAGAAUACAUACUUCACAAUGUAAGUCUGACUCCUUUAUUUCCUGAAACAUACUAGGCAACAUACGCCUUAAAUAACCAAAAGAAACAUGUCCUAACCGACGAUGUAACAACCAAACUGCUUGUAGAUUACUAGUACGGGAUGCUUGAACUGCAUUAGCUUUGCCAGGAAUGACGUCAUCCACAUAGUACAACCCAUCUCUCUUAGUGCCAUGCCCAAUUAUCUCCUUGGUUUAAAUAUCUUGAAGCAAACAAAAAAAUGGAUACAUAAGUACAACACAAUCCAAUUGCUCAGUAACUUGGGGAAUAGAUAAUAAAUGGUGAGACAACUACGGAACAAUCAAACAGUGAUGAAGAGAAAAAGAUGGCGUGAGGUCCACUGUGCCUACCCCAGUCACCACGUCUCCGCUAGAAGCACGCUCUUUAGCACUCAAUUUCUUCUUCAAUUCUGGAAACCAUUCAGGUACUCCAUGUUUAUGAAAACAUGUAUCUUCUGUAUAAUGGGUUUGCCCACAAAAAGUACACUUCAAAUCAUCCUUAUUCUCUCAAGUGAAAAGACGAGAAUCGGUUGAUGAAGAUGGACCAUAGGGUCAACCAGAAGAGGGCCAUGACACCAUUGCCAUGGGAAGGGUUCCUCUGUGGUUCCCAGCAACACUACCUCCCAUCAUAGUAGCAUGGCGUUGAGCUUCCCGUCUAACUACUGAAAACGCUUCUUCCACAGAUGGUAGAGGUUGAGUUAUCAAAAUAUCACUGCGGACCUUGUCAAAAACAUCAUCGAGGCCCGCUAAAAAAGCAUACACACGGUCUAGUUGAACUUCUCCUCGAAGUGUCUUCAAGUCAAGAGCACACACCAUCUUGAUUGGUCUUCUUUGAUCGAGUUCUUACUAGAUAGCUUUAAGAUCGGCACAGUAUAUACCGAUAGGCUUCCCUUCUUGGCAAAGUCGGAAUGACUUCACUUUCAAUUCAUAAAUAUGAGAGAUAUCAGAUCCAUCAUAAUACGUCCUGGCAACUUCUUCCCAUACUUCUUUAGCAGUACGAAGAUGAAUGAAAAAACCCAUGAUUGUAAGAUCCAUGGAGUUAAUCAACCAUCCUUUCACAAUUGCAUUCCUAGUCUCCCAAGCAUCAUAUUCGGCACUGUCUUCAUUGGGCUCCUUAAUACUCCCUGUCACGAACCCCUUUUUUCCACGCCUAGCAAUAUGCAUCUCUAAUACUUUGGACCAAAUAAGGUAAUUUGAUCCAUUGAGUUUCACAAUAUUUGGUACGUUUGAAGCAUCACUUUGAAUAACCACAGGAUUGACAACUGACCCGUGGGUAGAGCCCGAUGUCCUACCCUCCAAUUUCAACACAGCUUCUCCUAUAUCACUCGCCUUUAAUCACAAUACCCACCACACACAAGGUACGGAGCAGAAAGCCCAGAGUUUUUGUUACAGGGAUGCAGCAACAACUAUUGAAAAAAAGAAAAAAUAACGAAGCAGUCCUUGUCUUUUACAAAAAACAAUGCAGCAGCCUCCUUGUCUCCUACAAUAAACAAUGCAACAACCUGGACUUACUGCAGAAACGCAGUAGAGAUCACAGUGACCCUUAUCUCCUACAAAAGCAACACAGCAAGCUGAUCUUGCUGCAGAAACGCAGCAGAGAUCACAAGGGUUUUCUCAGGGUUUUCAUUACUGUAGCAGCGGCACGGUGGGAAUAUUUUUUUAGGGUUACGCUUGGCUCUGAUGUCAAAUUGAAUUUACAGCUUAAUUCUCAUUGUAUUGCAUAAAUAGAUAAUAUAUACAUGAUACAAUCCUUAUCUAUAAGGAAACAAUAAAGGACACACGCAUAUCCUUCCUAAUAAAGGAUUUUCAUAUUUAAAAUAUAUUUACAUGUCCUUUCUAUUAAAAAACACUCACGGCAACAGUUAGGCCUGGCAAUUCUUGACAUGACCCGAUAACCCGACACGACACGACACGAAAUUAACAGGUGUUCGGGUUGACACGAUAACGAAUUGGGUUGUUAUCGGGUAACCCGAUAAGUACCUGUUAAGAUAACGAGUUGGUUUGGGUAUACACGUGGGUAACACGAUACACUAUAAGCAGAAUACUAAUUUAAUAAUUUUAUAACCCUAAAAAAUACUAUAAUUAUAUAUAUAUAUAUUAAAUUUACUAUAAUAAUUAUACCCCCAAAAUAUUAACUAUAAUAAUUAUAUAUAUAUAAUUUUAAAUUAAAUUUUAUACCCCUAAAAACUAUAAUAAUUAUAUGUACAUAAUAAAUAGAUUUAAAUCUACUUUAUAUAUAUAGACCAUUGAACUUGAUGGGAUACGAAUUAUACGAAACUAAUUUCAACGAUCCAACCGUUAAACUUGUUUGUAUAUGCUUCGAGAUUGCAUCAUUAAAAAAUCACAAAAAACAAACAUUCAGAGAUCAAGUAACCGAACAAAACUUUUCAACGGUUAUAAAACGAAAAAUCACGAUUUAACUGUUAUUUUAACUCCGAUUUUUAUGAUUUUUUACAGCUACACUCCUUGACCCUAUAUGAAUACAAUGAAUGAAUUCGAUCUUCAAUUUAAAAUAUUUACUCUAGUGGAUAUCUUAUGUUAUACUUAAUGAAAGUAUGAAUAAACUCUUAAGUGUUAGCGAAUCUAUUGUUUUGAUGGAAUACGCAUUCUACGAAACUAGUUUCAACGAUCCAAUCGUCAAACCUGUUUGUACAUACUUCGAGAUCGCAUACGCCAAAAAUUGCAAAAAACAAACAUUCAGAGAUUAAGUAACCGAACAAAACUUUUCGACGGUUAUAAAACGAAAAUCACGAUUUAACGAUUUUUAACUCCAAUUUUGAUGUUACAGCUCCUUGACCUAUAUGAAUACAAUGAAUGAAUUCGAUCUUCUUUUUUUUAGGGUGAUAUCUUUAUGUUAUACUUAAUGAAAGUAUGAAUAAACUCUUAAAUUUAGUGAAUCUAUUGUUUUGAUGGGAUAAGCAUUCUACAAAACUAGUUUUCAACGAGAUUCCAUGUAUUUGCGUCACAAUACUGGUUUGCUAGUUCACUCGAAUAUUCGGCAUUGCCUUUUUCCCCAGAGUAACAACUUCCUUUGAAGGAUGUUGGCCCCUCCCUUUUCCGUAAAUUCCCAGUUUCUCACUACAAUUUUCUCGUAGCAUCCCGCUAGUGCCACUCCUGUCCAUAUCUAUCAGUUUUCCCACAGCUGGCCCACAAAAAAUAAACCCAAAACGAUUGAUUUACUUUUGUUCGUCUUUCCCAUGUAGACUAUUGUCCAGUAUACACGUAUGAGAGGACGAUAUCUUUUCUCGUCAGAGGCUAAGGUUAUCGCGCCCGCAAAGAAAUACCUCACGAUUAACCCUGUAGUUAUCACUUUUUGGUCAUAUACUUUUUCAAUUUUUUGUUUAGUGAUAUUUUUGUUUUACAGCGACAUCCCUUGACCUCGUUCAUAUUUGUGGCUUCAACCUUACGGCUAUUGUAUCGGUGUAUAUUAUCGUCGUAUCUUACUUCAAUUUAAAAAUCUUACGCUAAGUGGUAUACUCUUUGUUAUUGAGGUUUUUGUCAUUCUCUCACUAUAAUUUGGAUUCUAGCGGAGUUAAUAAAUAGCAACAACCUUCUUCAUACUUUAGUUUAGUAACGUGCUUAUCUGGUAUUAUGACGGGGUCCCUAUCCAUGCAUUUCUACAAAAUCUUCGUGUCUCAAUCGAUUCUCUAACUCUUGUUCAUAAGCAUGUCUUGAAUAAUUAUUUUUGACUCUGUUUCGGAUGUUCGCUUUAGUUUUACGUCCAAAAAUCUUUGUUAAAUACAUGCAUAACUAUCCGCAUGAUUCUUAACGGUUAAACUUUGGUGGAUACCUAUAUCUUUUUCGAGCUGCUUGGAAGUCACUCAAAAUACAUUAAUAAAACCAAAUCGUCAUGAUUUUCACGAUUUACUCUUUUAACUUCCCGAUUUCUUUCUUUGUGUUUAUGAUCCUUGUUAAGGCCUACAUGCCUAUUCAUUGACCUUAUACUGAAAUACCAUCGAGAAGAUGAUUUUCUGAUUCUUCUAAUUCUAAAUAUUAAUCUACACUUCCUAGUGAUACCACAAAAUCUUUAUGUUAUUAACUUAAUGAAAGUAUGAAUAAACUCUUUCAAGUGUUUAGUGAUAUCUAUUGUUGUUUCGAUGGGGAUACCAUUUCUACAAAACUAGUGCUCAACGAUCCCCAAUCCCGUCAACAUGUUGUGGUAUACUACUCGAAUGCGCGGCAUAACGCCAAACAAUUGACAAAAACAAACAUUUAGAGAAUCAAAGUAACAGAGACAAAACUUUCGACGGUAUUAAAAAGAAAAUCACGAUUUAAGGUUAUUUUGUACACUUCGAUUUUUGAUGAGAUUCUUUACAAGCUACAGUCGCCAUUGUGACCCGCGCUAUUAAUAUUUUUUAUAUAAGUAAUGAAUGAUUUUUGAGUCUUGCAAUUUAAACGUAUAUUUCUACCGAUAACUGACCCGCUGUAUACCUCUUUCAUAUCUUGGGCAUAUCUAAUAUUUAAAUCUUUUUUGUUAUGUUUAUAUCUUUAAUGGAGAGUAUAGAAUCAAUUUAUUCUUCUUAUAGUUUGUUUUAGUUGAAUCUAUUUGGUGUUUUGAUUGUGUUGCAUUAUGUUUUUUGAUACGAAUCUUACGAUAUCUUAUUAUUUAACGAUUCACGAUCGUUAAACAUUUUGUUAUUUUAUCGGGGAUGGAUCUCCGCGGGGAGAUUCUGGUCUAAAUAUUUUUUGCAAGAAGGAGGACAACCACUUGCCUGAGAAUCAAGGAGCUAGUUGUGAUAACCAGAGGAGUAGUGUUUCGACUCGUCAUUGAUUAAAAGAGGAAAUAAUCACGAUUUAACGGUGGUGUAAAACCCGAUUUAUGUGCGAGUUUGUUUUAGUGAGCCGGUUAGCUAUGUGGGCUGGCGCGUCCUGAUCCCUAUACUGCGAAUUUACAUACCGGAGAGUUGACUUUUAUCUUCAUUGCAAAUAUUUACACUGUAGUGGAGAGUAGUCGCCUCUGGAACUGAGAAAUGUCGUUAUGAGUUCGUGUAUUGGAAUGAAAGUUAUAUUACUCUAUGUGUUAGUUUUGAAUUCUAUUGGGUUUUGAUGGGAUACCGCAUCUGACGGUUGUCUACCCAAAGACUAUUUUUCUAUUAAUGCGCUAGUACCUCUGGUUAGGAAAGUCUUUUGUUUGGUGUAUAAUUAUCUGAUGUUUCGAUUUUUGAUCGAGGACGGAAAUAGUUGUCUAUCAAAAAACGAGACAGAGAUGAUGAUUGUAAUAUGGAAUCCGUGAUUGCAUUGUAUACUCUUGGUUCUGGAAUUGGACGGUUAUAAGAGAGAGAAACAUUUCAUUGAUUAGAAGCGUGUUUAUUUUUAUUCUCGUCGAUUUUGAUGUAUGUAUCUUAACAGCUACACUCCUUGAUGCUGUUCCUUACUAAAGCAAUGGUAGGGAGUGAGAUGUGAUGUUUCUUUUGCGAAUUUUAAUAUAUUUAUGUUACGAUUACUAGUGGAAUGAAUAUCACAGAAAUCUUAUGCUGAAUACUUUUAUAUGAUGAGUAUAAAUAGUUUGGGUUUGUGUUGUGGAGACUCUUAUAGUGUUAGUGAAUCUAUUUGUUGGUAUGUGAGUAGGGUGGGGUUCGAGAUCCCUAACGAAAUCUAGUUUCUAAGCGAUCCACGGGGUUUCCCUGUUCCAUAUGCAUUUGUGUUAAGCGGCUGUACUUUGUUCGUUUUGUUUGAGGUGUCGAGGAUGUCACGUAGAGACGGUCGAUAAUUAGAUGGAUAGGAAAAAAAUUUUAUAUAUAAAAAACAGUUCAGGUUAUAUGGUGGGAUCAUUAUUUAAAUGUUGUUCGACGGUUAAUUUUAGAAAAGAUGAAAAUCUAUGUAUUUCAACGGGGUUUUAUUUAUACUUCUCGAUGUGUUGAGAGUUUUUAAGCUCAGCUACAGGCCCUCCUUGAGCUGGUUAGUUAAUUAAAUGAUGAAUUGAAUUCGUAUUCUAUGUUUGGCAGAUUUUUUAUGAGUAGAUAAAUUUUUUUUUAGGUUUUUUUUUCACUUUUUAUAGCCGUACGCACAAGAUGUCUUUAUUGUAGACUUAUGAGUAUAUUGUAAAUUACGGUACACUUAAUAUAUAUAUUUAUAUACAUUAAUCAUGUGUAAAAUAUUUUAUUAUGGAUCGCGUGUUAAUCAAAUUGAGAGUAUAGAGGAUAGCCUUCUGGUUUUAUUUUAGGUUGUUUUCGUUUUAUAUUUAUAUUUAGUAAAAUUAUUGGGUACUAGGUUAUAUAAUCAUUAAGGAUGGUGUUGCUUGGUUAAAUUAGUUGGUGUUGUGGAUUAAUAGUGUUUUGGCUAGGUGAAGGUAACUAGGCUUAAUGGUAGCAGAGGAGUGUGUGCUCUGUGCAGAGAGUUUUUAAGCAAAAUAAAAAUAUUUUUCUUAACAGGAUAAUAACGGGUUAAUGUUUUAUGGGUUCGGUUGUCACGUUGUAGUCCGUUUGUGGGAGUAACAGUGUACCUCGUACUUUGUUGGUAAGAGACUGUUAAGAUAAAGGUGUGGACCGGACAACUGAACCUGUAAGCUUGAGUACACAGGUUGUUGUAAUCAUUGCGUUCGCCUUUCUUGUGUUGAGGUACGAAAACGACGACUCUUUUUAAAUCGAUCACAGAAUGAGGUAGCGACGUGAGCCCGGUUUUGGCCAGGCUAGGCAACGUGAGUUAAGCGUACUUCUUUUCUUGGUGCUAGCUGCGGCUCGGGGUGUAGGUUGACGCCUCGAGUUUUGCUCUCAAGCCAGUCGUUCGUACCUUGCGGACAGUAAUUUCUGUGAGGCAAAUCUGAAAUAUAUAGAUAAUUGUUUAGUGAGCAUUGAUUUUUCACUACUCCAAUUACAUAUAUAUACAGUCUGUGUGUGUUAAAUGAUUAAUAGUGUUUUAUCUUGUUAUGAUGUUUUUUGGUGAGCCCUGCUAUGGUUAAUCUGUUAUGGUAGCCCAAACGCUGCACUUGUAUUCUAAAGGUUAACUUACCGUGAGAUAACCUAGGUUUUGUUUUUGUUUCGAAUAGCUCCCUUAUCACUCUGCAAUCGCUUUUCACAAAUGGUGAGUCCAAUGUGCUUUCGUAUGGGGUGCUAAGUUUCACUAGAAUUGAUUUUCCCAUCUGAACAGGUGGAUUCUAUUGCCGGACGUUUGUGUAUGCGAGAAAUGUGAAUUGUCAGUUUUUUGUGUCUAGAACAACAUUAUUCUAUAGAGAAGGUUUUGUAUACUUGAUUAUUGAUAUUUUCUAUUGAUUAUAAAUGCGAGUUUUUGCCAAUGAGCGAUUUCAGUAUCUUUCGUGUGAUGAAUUUCUAAGCAUAAUUUCUAUCAGAAUGAAGAGCUGGUCUGUGGAAAAGCUGUGAAAGUUGCUGGAAUGUAUUACAAUCCAGAUCGUUGCGCCAUUCUUUGCUUGAGUCUGAGAAACAUUUAAUGAUUGGGUUGUGCUGAGUGUCGCACCGCUGGUAUAUCUCAUUGUCAACAGACCUUUCAUAUUGCGAUAUGUAGCGUGUCAUGUGUCAUAUUUUGGAUCAUGUUCGAGGUCUUUUUGGAGUGUAGCGCAUGCUUUAUAUUGAGAUCAACUUGUAAUCUCCCUAGUCCGAUUGCAGGGGGUCAAGCAGAGUAAUUGACUUUUGGUAUUAUGGGCGCCUCUCCUUUAUUGUCGCUUUUGUAAUGCUCACAACAGUCAAAGUAAGUCUGCAAGGGACAUGAGAGAUUUUUAAUGUGUAUUAAUUAAUUGUUGUUAUAAAUGCGUUGAUGCUGGCCGAGUUUGACUUUAAAAUUCAAUGUAUAUUUUUGUCGGGAUUUGUGUGUUUGUUUUGCUGGUUGUUUAAUUGACCGAUUUCGGCGGAAGGUGGGAGUAUAGUAUGUCCUGCCAUUCUACAUUAGACCGGAAUUGGUUGCAGCCACGGGUCCGCAGCUAAUAUGUAGGUUUUGGAAUUUCCUCGAUUUGGCCUGCGAAUGGCGUUCCAUUUUGGUUUCAAUAAAUAAUGGUCGAGCUGGAAAAUAUAUGUGUGGUUGCGUGAGCUGUGCGUUCGUGAAGAGGCCAUUCCAACUGCAUAUGUCAGGAAGGAGUAAUGUCUUAUUUCCGUUAUGAGUGUGCUUCUGUGUUUCACUGCCAACAAAUAGCACAUCAUAGUAAAGGUGCAUAUUACGUAUAUGAUGGGUAUUAUUUGCUUAAAUAUUUUUAGACGUGACAAAAAUUUACAAAUAUGCUUUGUACGUAUUUAGUUGUAUAGUAAUUUCUGGAAUAUGGAAUAUCUAAGAGUAUUUCGGUGAAUUUAGUUGUAAUUAUAAUUUAGAGAUAGGUACGGUGUAUGAGUUAACUUUAUAGUUGGAAAGAUAGCUGGCUGAAGAUCUUGUGUCACAAUGUGCGGUGUAAUUUGUACAAGUACUAAGCUUUAAGUUGAUCAAUGAUGUGCUGCUUUGCAGUUGUGCUUCCGUUUCUGGCGGCAGGUUCCUUUUUCCCUGAUCAAGCGAUGCAAAACUUGCCAUUCGUCUUUUGGUCUGCUGAGAAGGUUACUGUUUGAUAAGUCUGUUGUUCGUAUUAGAAAUAAAUUGCACAGCAACUGACGUUUUAUAUAGCCAUUAAGAGGCAAUUCAAUUUCUGAGUGAUUAUAGUGUUCCAAUAUAUUGAGUAUGUGCUUUUAAUUAUUUAUUAAUUAGAUUUUGGAGAGAUAGUUUAAACAUGUUAAUUAAAUUAAGUUCAUUAUCAUUACGCUGUUUGGGGGAAGUAUUAGGCAUUGAUUAAAUGUAGAUAAGUCGAAUUAUUUGUUGUAGUUACUUUGGUCGUGCGAAUAAGGUUGGGGGGCGGUAUUCUCGCUUUGGGCUGCGAGCAUUAUGGCGUCUUCAGCGAUAGACCUAUCUUGUUUUGUUUCUGUGCGAAUGACAUCUAGAUAAUUAGUCGAAGAUCCGUUUGCUUAGGGUCUUUGCAUCUCAUGUUCUGCAGCUUUCUUUAGUCAGUGGAUUCCUACCUCAUAUAGUUAUAUUGUCUUUAUUUGUACUUCUUGUGGUUUGUUAAUGUGGUUAUAUGACAUUACAUAUUUCACUUGAUAUAAUAUCUAUUUUGUAUAGGGGUGUCGUUGCUUUGCUUACUUAAGCGUUUCUUCUUGAUAUUGGACUUGCCCGGAUCUGUAGAGUUAUUUGUAGUUCUCCGAUUUUGUGUUACAGCGGGCUUAAGGAGAGGUUAAAUGUGAUUAAGUCGGACUCGGGCUUCGACGACGUCCUCUUCGACUUAAAGAGUUACUUAAGUCAACUUAUGCUUCGCGCCACAUAUUGCCCAAUGUGCUAAAGACCGCUUCUCUCGUUGCUGCUCUUGUGGCUUGUCAGAUAUUUUGCCUCUUUUCGAACUAUCAUAGGAUUCAAUUCUAAACAAAUAAGGAUUUUUUUCAUCUAGGUCGGUGAUUUGGGGUCCUUCGAAGCCGAUCUUGGUCUUUUGGCAUGCUUAGGAAUCGUCUUCGUACACACGACGAUAGCGGGGUGUGGGCUCCUCUCAAAUCGCUCCUUAGAGUUUUUCUCUAUCUUAGCGACCACGGCGCUGUGUGUUUUUCUUGCAUGUUGUUUCGCUUUCCUCUAUUCUUUCUCCCAGCUAUGUCGGUUCCGUACAUGUUGGAUGAUUACAAUUGUCGGACGUCUGUGUUUUUAGCGGACUCUAUUGAUUUGAAUCCUACAUUGGUGCCAUAACAAGGCUGGGAGGUAAGUUCAUUUGCUUGGAAUUGGGGGAUUGUGAAAAGUGCUUGGCUUUGUGUGGAGGGAAGUGUGACGAGAAUAUGAAGACUAAAGAAAAUGGAAUGGCUAAUUACUAAGAACUGGGGAAUGGCUAGGUGGUAAAGCAGAGAAUUGGAUUGAAAGGUGUUUUGUUUGUUUUAUGAUUUUGGUUUUUAGCAGAAGAUUCCAUGCAAACGCAUACAGAUGUUACUGAGACGUUGGGGGGCCAGAGCUUGAGAUGAGGCAUGGACAAUCAGAGGAUCUAAUGAGAUCGGAGGUUAAUUGUAGAUCAGUAGAAAUAGAGGGGAAUGGGAGUGAGUGCAGAGGAGAAAACAGAUGCAUCUAGAUAAUAGGGUUUUCUAGAUAAGAAGAAAAAAAGAGUGAAUAAGAUUUAUUUCUAAGAUUAAAUUUCUAGUAUAUUGUCAUUUAUAGAUUCUAUGUUAUAGAAUCUUUUUUUAGAUGUUGGUUUAAUUUGCCCUUGCUGUUUAGUCCUUACGAUCAUACAGGAAAGGCUUUCAUAAUAUUCAGUUUGAGCUUAGUCCUAGUUGCGAUGGUCUAUAGCCAGUCAGUACUUUGAGAAGUUUAGUUCUCAUAUUGCAUAUAAUAUCGCCUAGGUUCCCUUAUGAAGACUUCGAGAGUAUGAAUCUGUUAUUCAGAGAAUGCGAGUUGAAGAGGCUGUCAUGAUGCGAGAGAGAGUCUGUAUAUAUCCUGAAGUUCAGUAUGUUUCGAAGAAAGCGAAGAGAUUGGGUGUGCCGUGGAAUGAGGCCUCUUAUUCGGCCCUCCUAGUCGGAUCACUCGAGGAAUGGUGUGACUAUGCUUAUUUGCCAAAGACUGUGGGUUGUGCUCUACUGGCUAACUUUUGCUUUGCUUCUUGUCGCUCAUCAGAUCAUUUAUGAGAGUUGUAGAGAGAGGAGAGUAGAGAUGAGAAUGAGAUUCUGAGAUAAUGCUUUGAGAGAUUAGUGCUUGGUAGUGUAAUUAUUACAUCUUUUAUCUUGUUCGUGCAUGUGGAGUGGUUUCUGCAUGGUAACUUGUAUCCAUCUUCGGAUAAUAAGUGCAUCCACUCGGUUUAUAUGUUUCUCGCGGCUUAUAUUAAAUUUACGAAUCUGUUGAUAAUUUCCGCAUUGCUUGUGAAGUGAUUACUCGUGUAGAGCUUUAUUUUUUUAUAUUGAUAUUUUUUAUGUAUUGUUUGGUUCUGUAUAUUGCUGAUGAAGAGGUCUAGGAGAACUUUUUAAACUGCAUAAAGCUAUUCAUGAGGUUUUGCGUUUGAGUUUUGGUUUCUUGGUUCGUUUGUCACCUUUGUACAAAACCAUCACUUUAUUAUAUUUACAUCUUGAUAUAAUAUGUCAGUCCUGUGUUAUCUUUCAUCAUUUUUACUUGCUUAUUUAGGUUUUCCUUCAUCGAUUUAAAUCGCAAAGUUUUCGAAUGUCUUUUUCAUAAUGUUUUUUCCGUUGAUAGUCUAUACCUUAUAUGCUAUCUUCAUACGGAACACAAAAUCCGGUAAACGCCAAUAAGGCCAGUUAAGCACUGAGAUAAUACGGCCAAUUCCACAUAUGAUAGUUGUUAAGGGAAUGUCCACAGAAAGAAUCGUUUGUAUGCGUGAAGCUCUUUUGGAGGGAGAGCUGUGGUGCUUAGAGCCAAGAGACUUGAAGUUCUUAUUAACAUAUAAGUAGUUAAUAUGAACAUUUGAUCACUUAUAGAGAAAAUCUAAUAAUAAAUUCAAUGGUGACCAAUCAAUUUGUAGUAAAUAAGAUUAGGAGUGGCUUCGUUGAUGAGGUUGCGUUGGUUGUUUGAUGUGGUUUUAUGUGUGAAUUAAUAUACUCUACAUUGGCCGAGAAGAUAUUAGGAUGCUUGGCUUCUAAUUAAUACUGGUAUUAAUAUGGUUGUUUCGUGGGUUUUUGUCUUAGCUCCUCAAAAUUUUAUGUCAUUCCAUAUUUACUUUCGACUCUUGUAUGAGAUGUUGCUUUUUCAGCAUAUUUUGUUUGUUUAAUUCUUUGCAGGACAUAUAUGUGAUCUUGUAAUAUCGACUUGAUUUAUCACGCGUUCUUGAGAAGUUUUUUUUUUUGAUGUUGUUUCAAUAUCUAUCUUUUUUUUGAGACCGGAUCUAAGAAGUUUGUAUAUAGUGAAUUUGAGGAAUAAUCGCGUUUCGGUUUUUCCUGAUGUUUCAAAAUCAUUUCAGAACUGCGCUUUACCUUUAAGGUGUUUUCCGUAAGUUUAUGAUUUUUGAAUCAUUCAAGGAAAUUAAAAAUAAAUUAAAUAACCGAAUGCGUCUGCUUAGGGGGUUGAAUAUAUGUAGUUUGUCCUUAAAAACUCUUGCUUUAUUUUUUUCAAAGUAUUGUAUAGUCUGUAGCAUUUGAAGAUGUUUAUGUGACACCGUAAUAUUUUUUUGUCUCGAACCGUCUUGCGUCAAGGUCUUUAAUUAUCAAGGGUGUGCCGGCUAUUAACAAUAUCUUGCUGGUGUUUUUUCAAUCUUAGUUUAAUAUAUUUAGUAUUUUUUUAAGUUUGGCUUGGAGUUUAUUUUGAGAGUCUGACUUGCUAAAGGUCUUUCGAUUUGCACUGCGUUUAUUAUGCACUCCUUCUUGAUUAAGGGGUCAUAUUUUUGAUCUUUUAUUCUCUUAACUUGUAGUAUGGUGAUAUAGACAUUGCAGAUCUUUAUCAAAUUUGGGCGAUUACUGUUGCAUUGAUGUAUCGAACGUUCUAAUAUAAUGAUAUAAUAACGUGUUUUAUUAAUUAAGCCACGGUCGUUAACAAUAUCGUUCUUAGGUGUUGUUUUUGUUGGCAAACACUAUAUUUUAAUGUCUUCUGUUAUAGGGGUUUAUAUGUAUAUUUAUAUGCCAUGAUUAGUAUAUGGUUGUGCUCUCAUGCAAUAAUUUGGGAUGAACAGAGUCAUUAGGAGAAUGUAGCUAUAGGUGACUUUUAUUUGUUCGUACUUUUUAUGAUUUUGUAUCUUGCUGUAUUUUUUAAUGCUUACCUGGUUUUUUUGUUAGGGUUUUUAUGCAAUAUUUUUUUUGGUCAAUUUUACUCUCGUUGCUAUCAUUUUUAAAUAUAAUUGUGUAGAACAUGAGUAUGACAAAUCACAAAGUAUCUGCACUUUUGUAUAGUGUUCUGUAGUAUUUCUUACUACAUAAUUUAUAUUGGAUUCAUUCAAUACUGUCACUAUGCGCCGCAUUUUUUGAUUGUAAAUUCCAGUUAAAAUAAUAGACCUACGAAAAAUAAUACUGAGUUGAAUUUAAGUAAAAACUUUGAAUGAAAAUCCAAAGACUCGUUAAGUUUUAGAGACUAAAUAAAUGAGGAUUUGAGUAGAUUUGUUUAUAUUUGGUGAAUAUUACCCUGAAUGAAUAAAUAAUUAUUAGAGUUUUUCGUUAAAUAAUGACUAGUAUUAUUGGUUGUUAAUAAUAUGUUCCGUGAGAGAAAGCGCACCUUGUUAAGGUUUUAUUUCAUUGUUUCUAUACACAAAUUGGUUUUUAUUAGCCAUAUUCUAACAAUAUGAGGUUGACAGAAAGACAAUAUGUAGAUACUUCUUGAGUUCGAUCGACUGUUUGGUUUUCAUAAAUUUCUUGACAUCUUUGAGAGAGAGUAUUGAAUUUUGUAAUUAGCAAAUAAUUACUAUUGUAUUGUAUAUUCUAAUAAUUUUUUGUUCAAAUCUGUAUUACUUAAUUCCACUAUUACCAUUUAUUUUGUACUUUAUCAUUAAAUACUCAAAAUUUCAAGAAGCUCUUUUCCAUAUGUUUUCUUUCAUUCUAAUAAAGCUGAGUUUGUUAGAGUAUUCAGUUCUUCUAGUUUGCAUUAAUAAUUUUACGCUUAACAAGUGCCUAAAAAAAUAAAUAACUUAUGAUGAUUAAAGUAAUUUGUGAAAUGGGUUUGCAUUAGAUUGUUAAUUGAUAUAGUUGCGAUAUAAUAUUCUUUAAUAGGUAAAAUUUUGAAAGGUAACCUUUUAUUUUUGUGUUAUAGGUGUGGGAGUUAUGUUUUCGAUUUUUUAUGUGUUAUUUUUAGAAGUUAUUGAUUUUUCUUGAAGAGGAUGAACAGUUGACCAGUGAGGUGGUGUUUUUUCGUUAAUAACUCCUAGAGAGAGACAGAGGACCAAAAAGAGUUAGGAUUUAUAAUCAACUGUUUGAAAUAACCAAACCCUAAGGAUAACAACCUUUCAAUUCGGGUUUGGAAUAAAGGGAACAACAAAUAAUCUGUCGCAGUGAAGGAACUAUCAUCCUAUUAAUUGUUUGGCUUGAGUUGAGCAAAAGGGAGUUGCCUGAAGUGGUCGAUACUUGGUGGGUUUUGGUGGUCUAGGGUGAGAUCGAGAUUAGGGUGUGACAUGAAUGGUGGCGUUCUUGCGAUGGGAUGGGACUGAGAAUCUUGUCUGCUAUCUAGUUCAAAACAAACUUCAAGUUAUGUCAGUCUGGUUCUAAAAAGGGUGCGCGUUGGGUUGUCCUAUGGAAGUUUUGAUUCGGGAAUUGAGUUGCUAGGACUAGUACGUAACUCAAAAAUUAAUUUGAAACUUAUGAGCUAAAAUAUCCAAAUAUUCUAGAGACGAUCGACUAUGGUGAGUAUUGGUUUUUUGUUUUUUCAAGGAUAAGAACAAUAUUACCCUCAAAUAAAUGGGCAGGGUUGGUUACUGUCUCUAAGAUUUACUUGCCACAGCUGACGUCAUGAUAUGUUUGUUUGUGCUGGUGUUGGUGGUUGGGGUGGUAUUGUUGUUUUUUUUUUUGAUCUAGCUUGCUAUCUAGCUCCGUAGGAAUGACUCAGCAGCUUAACACAAACUGCCUUUAUCGAAGCGUCGUUACUUUUGUCUUCGAUAGGUUGGUUUUUUGAACAACGAAUUAAAGAAUAAGGAGGGUUAAUAUUCCUAGCAAAUUGCUUCUCUGUGUUGAGAUUGACGUUCCCUUACUUGAAUACCUUAAACUCCAAUCAAGUAUCGGUAUGAGGGGUGCGCGCCAUUUUACAGCUAUGUUAUGAAUGUAUGUACCGGUGGUUUGGUUGUGUGGGGGAGUUGUGGUUGGUGGUACUAGUUUGAGAUGGCUUCAAGUAGUUAGAUUCUCCUAUUAAAUAGUUCCUUGGGACAUUAUUUAGAGAAUAUUUUCCUCACAUUUAUUAAUCGUCCUAUAGGCCAGCCCCUAAGCUUUAUAUAAGAGCGUGCCAUGAUUCUAAUUUGGGGGACCAAUUUUGGAUGAAGGUUGUUGUGUUUCGCAAUCCAUUAAAAUAUUGCCUAUCAUUCUAGCUUCUUCUUAAGCAUGAUAACUGAACUUUAUAGGCAUCGCGAUAGAUCUUACCUAAUCCUCUUCCACGUUUUUCAGUGGGCGCGUGAGUUUAGUCUCUAUAUAUAAGGUGUUAAUUGUUUUGAGUUUAGUUGCAUUUUUCCGUCAAAGACUGAGAGAACGGCGGGAUAUUUGCAUCGGACAUAAGUUUGGUUGGCGUUUUUAUUGAAGUUGAUUCAAUAUAUUCGAAUGGUAAUGCUUUCUUCGCAUUUAGGUUGUUCUUGUCAUUGUUGGUGUAUGAGCGUUGAAUUGUGUGUUUUCUGCAUUACUCUAUUCUAAUUUAUAUUUUUUCAUCAACAAUCGUUUUUUUGAUCAUCCUGAUGAAUGGAGGAUAUCAAAUGGUAGUGGGAGAAUUUCAGAGAACUGAGUCGAAUGAAUCUAACUGCUAUAUAUCGAUGAACGUGAUUAGCAAUCCCUUGUAAGUGAAGACGAGAAACAUUAGCCCACAACGGAGAUCCUCAAGGCUUAAACAAGCGAUAUGCAAGCGACUGCGGAGCCCAGAUGCAGACCACGCCAUCUGGAGUUGUAGAUGGCUGGUGUCCUUCACCGCUAACUGUGACUGCACAACAUAUGCUGGACAUGUGGCCACCAAUAGCCAUCGUGUCACACUACUCGCCGGAUCGCUAAGAACCUGAGCACAGCUUCAAGAGUCGCUGAUCGGUCGUAGGUUGAGUCCCCGAAUAUUGAGAGUUCACUUCAAGCCGUCAUGGCAGAGGCGGUGAGGAACUUGGCAGGCCUGCAACUAUAGCUGCUGGGGCUCUGAAUGAGACAACCCAAUAGCAGGGUAGCAGGCUUGUGCACACAUGCCCGAGACGUCGUAUUGUCCAGAUGAUUCCUCAGGCGUUGUCCCGAAACUAAUUGUCAAGCUCAGUGGGGCUAGCCAAGCCAUCUCUAUCGGCUGUCGGUGUGUGUGCUUUGGAAUUAGUGGGUUCAAAGCUCCAGCUUAGGUUUCCUUUUCUCUCAAGAUAUUGGUGUGGUUGCAGCCUUCAACGAGAGAAUUGGCCGACGUACCAUUAUUUUGUUGGUGCAGAAUAUAUAUGCGAGCAAGUGUCGAUCCAACUUGCCCUCGACUGAGCUGCCCGACUAAUUUCUAACCUGCAGAGCUCUCUAAUUCUAAUUCAAGGCCACCUCUAUUCGAUUCUCUAGAUUUCUCGAACUCGACUAUAGUCCGCUAUGGCCUGACAAUUGGUGUGUUCCCUUAAGAUCAAAGACAGAAUACUUAAUAGCUGUUUCGGAUCCACACGAUAAUCGAGUAUCGUGUUCGUCUUUCUAUUUGGUUUCGGAUCUGGAGUUUUUUUUUUUCGUGUGAACUUUCUUUACGAUAUUUUAGGAUCAUCCUGUUAAGUAAUGAACGGGUUUUUGUUACCAUGUAUAAUCGUUGUAACUCGAGUAUCGAGUUCAUAAACGAAGAAUAAUUAUAUUCUAGAAUAACUUUUGAUACACCAGAAAACAUACUAUAAUAUUUUGUGGUCGUAUAGUUCCCCCUAAAGUAUUAUAGCGAUAAUAAUUUAUAUAUUUAGAAUAGUAGUUGUAUGCAGCUUUUAUAAUUUAAAUUGUGACUCCUAAAUGAACUAUAUCGAUAGAUUAUUAGGCGUUUACAUUGAAAUAAUAGGAUUUAAUGUGAACUUCAUAUAAAUACAUUUAAUUAAAUUUCAUCUAAAAACUAUGAUUAUUAAUAUGUUCUAUAUUAUAUCCGAAAUAUUAUUCAAACUAAUUCAACUGUCAAACUUGUUUGUAUAUGCUCGAGUCGCAUCAACAAAAAUUGCAAAAAACAACAUUCAAAGAAAGUCCGAACAAAACUUUCAUGGUUAAAACAAAAAAUCACGAUUUAAUGGUUAUUUUAACUCCGAUUUUGAUUAUUUUUUAUAGCUACACUCCUUGAUCCUAUAUGAAUACAAUGAAUGAAUUUGAUUUUCAAUUUAAAAUAUUUACAUUCGUUGAUACCACAAAAUCUUAUGUUAUACUUAAUGAAAGUAUAAAUAAACUCUAAGUGUUAGUGAAUCUACCAUUUUGAUGGGAUACGCAUCCUACGAAACUAAUUUCAACGAUCCAACCGUCAAACUUGUUUGUAUACACUUCGAGAUUGCAUACGCCAAAAAUUGCAAAAAAAAAAUUCAAAGUAACGGGACAAAACUUAUCGACGGUUAUAAAACAAAAAAUCACAAUUUAACGGUUAUUUUAACUCUGAUUUUUAUGAUUUUUUACAGCUACACUCCUUGACCCUAUAUGAAUACAAUGAAUGAAUUCGAUCUUCAAUUUAAAAUAUUUACACUAGUUGAUACCACAAAAUCUUAUGUUAUACUUAAUGAAAGUAUGAAUAAACUCGUAAGUGUUGGUGAAUCUAUUGUUUUGAUGUGAUACGCAUUCUACAAAACUAGUUUCAACGAUCCAACUGUCAAACAUGUUUGUAUAUACUUUGAGAUCGUAUACACCAAAAAUUGCAAAAAACAAACAGUCAGAGAUUAUGUAACGAGACAAAACUUUUCAACGAUUAUAAAAAGAAAAAUCACGAUUUAACGGUUAUUUUAACUCCGAUUUUGAUGAUUUUUUACAACUACACUCUUUCACCCUAUAUGAAUACAAUGAAUGAAUUUGAUCUUCAAUUAAAAAUAUUUACACUAGUGGAUACCAAAAAAUCUUAUGUUACACUUGAUGAAAGUAUGAAUAAACUCUUAAGUGUUAAUGAAUCUACCGUUUUGAUGGGAUACGCAUCCUACGAAAUUAAUUAUAACGAUUCAACCGUCAAACAUGUUCGUAUAUACUUCGAGAUCUCAUGCGCCAAAAAUUGCAAAAAAAACAAACAUUCAGAGAUCAAGUAACGGGACAAAAUUUUUCGACGAUUAUAAAACAAAAAUCACAAUUUAACGGUUAUUUUAACUCCAAUUUUGAUGAUUUUUUAUAGCUACACUCCUUGACCCUAUAUGAAUACAAUGAAUGAAUUCGAUCUUCAAUUUAAAAUAUUUACACUAGUCGAUACCACAAAAUCUUAUGUUAUACUUGAUGAAAGUAUGAAUAAACUAUAAUUAUAUAUAUUAAUUUAACAAUUUUUUAGCCCUAAAAACUAUAAUAAUUAUAUAAUAUAAUUAUAUAUAUAUUAAAUUAAAUUUAAAAAAUUGAUGACCAUUGGAUCGACUAAGAUUUAAUCUCAGCUGUCCAUUGUAGGCUAUCAUUUUCUUCUCUCUGAUUAACUCUGAUUAACUCAGAGACUCAAAUCAUUCUCUCUAUCUCUCUCAAUCAACCUCACGCGGUGCCUCCCCCUCACUUCAGUCUUAGUGACCUCACCGGCUCACCCUCCUCGUUGUCCUCGACCUCACCCAGAUUGUCACCCUCCUCGUAGUCCUUACUCCUCACCUAAAUCGCGACUUCACCGGUUCACCCACUAUCCAUACCAAUACCACCCAAAUCCGGCUCUCGAAUCAAGUUCUCGGUCUUAGUCCACACUUAUCCUCACUGCACAAGGUAAGAAAUUCCUGCAUUAAACUCAAGGGUUUCUGAAUUAGGGCUUUUGGAAUUAGGAAUUUAUGAAAUUAGGGCUUUUGGAAUUAGGAAUUUCUGAAAUUAAGGUUUCUAAAUUAGGGAUUUUGAAUAAGGACUCUGAAUUAGGGAUUUUGAAUGGUUAUUAGAGCAAAUGUUGUGCUAAUCUAUUUGCUAUAAAUAAUAAUCACAACUGUUUGGUUACAUAUUGCAACUUGCAAGCUACCUACGUAACCAAAUUAAGUAUUUGGUCUAGACAAUUGUUGGUCUGAACUUGCGAAGAAUCCCUUGGCCAAAUAUUGAACUUUAGAGUUAAAAUUGUGGAUGCAAAUUUUCUCCUCCUUGAUCUUGGACAAUUUUGCACCUACAAGACAACUAGCACCUUAGGUUAAGGCCAAAAGCCUCACGCGCCCACGAUGAAUAGGGGGCUUUGGCUAAAGAACCUCCGAUGCCAAAGUUAGAAUUUUAGAGAGAAAAAAGUGUUUAGAGUGUUUGAGAUUUUUUGUAAGAGAAUUGGCCUUAGUGUUUGGUGAAUAUGGGAACCAAUAUAUAGGAGAGGAAGGGUGUGGCCGGCCAUUAGGCCAAGGAUGAGUUAUUUUGGGAGGUUAUGGAGAUAAUGGGCUAGUUAUUUUGGGGGGUUAUUGAAAUAAUUGGCUAGUUAAUUAGCAAAUAAUAAUAACCUAAUUAACUAGCUAUUUGAAUGUCAUAAAAGGGGAAGAAAAUGGUAGCAAAAAACAGAAAAUAAAAGGCAUGGCCGGCCCUAGUGGGUAACCGGCCUUUGGUAAGUUUUUUGGUUAUAAUUUGGUGGUUUAAUUGAUAAUUAAGGGAUUGAUUAGGUAAUUAAUCCCUUAAUUAGUCAAUUUUAGGAAAUAUGAAAGGAAUAUAUUAUUUAGCUAAUUUAUUAGCUAAAUAAUGGAAUAUAGAACAUAUAGAAUAAAUUAGAUUUUGGGAAUUACCUUAUAGAAAGGAUUUGGUGAAAUAGGUUUUAAAUUGUUACCUAUUUCGGGCACUUUUGACUUGGUUGAAAGAUGAUUGCCCACUGCUCGCGCGUAGGAAUCUCGGUAUGCCUCAAGGGUAUUUUUGUCCUCUUUUGUCCAAAAGUCCACGUGUCGCCUAGUGAAUAUUUUUGGCUCCACAAAUGCCCCCACACCUGUUGGGCUGCGUAGGAAAGGGCAGCAUGUGUAGAGAUCUUCUUGCUUCAGGAAACGUAGGAUUGCUUCUUAUUUUGAUGUUGAUUCUCUCUUUAAUUGGAAAUUAGGUCCUUCUAGGAAAGGGAAAUAAACUUCUCUCAAAGCCUAUUUAAGUCCACCUUAAGUGGGUUAUUAAAUCAACUUUGGAGAGCUAUUUAUUCUACCCCACAAGAGAGAGAAAGUUAGAGGAUAUUUAUUCCCCAUUCUCUAGCAAUCUUCUACAUCUUGCCCGUGCAAAGGACCGUCUUUCGUUGAUUUCUUCAUCUUUUCCGUGCCGCACCGAUGUAAGAAAAAUUUAAUUUUUCUUGCCUUCUUCUUGGAUCAGUGCUAUUGCGGGGCAGCUGUCGGGGUGGUACGGCACGUCGGCUGGCAGGGGCCAGGAGUUGGCUCGGCAUGGGCCGAGGAAAUGUCGUGGCAGGGACCACUGCUUGGGCAGGCUUGGCUUGGCUUGAGCCAAGGGCAGCUUUUGUGGCUAGGGUCGCGGAUUGUGGCGUUAGGGUGCAGUGCUAGGCGAGCCGCAUGGCUCAUGUCCUUUGAGCUUUUGGACUUGACUUGGGCCAAGUUGGCGAUUGAGAGAAAUGAGGAGAUUGUGGGCGUCAUGGGCUGCUGGAAUGUUGGGUAUGCAGGCCUUCUGCCUGCUGGAAUGCUGGGUUGAGCUCCCCUAUUGAGUACCAUGAAUGUCGUUGGCUGCUUAGUCCUCUUCGCUGAGAGAAAUAUGGGUUGGUCCUGAAAGAGAAGGUGAAUAAGAUUAAGGCGGAUGCAUUGGCUCGUCCAAUCACUGUUGUGGAUCUUGUUGCAAGUGAAGGUGGGAAAAGGGAUCUUCCCUGCCUGCUCAAGAGAUGCCGGCUGAGAAAAAACCAAAGACUUCUUUCGCUCGCACGUGUUCGCCGACUGCCUCCAGGCUUGUGAUUGACUUAACUUUUUCCAAGGGGACGAAAAAUGAGGCUGCAGCAUGUGGCGCCUGCCAUGUCAAAAAUGGCUAGUAUGAUUACUGAUAGGAUUGUUCAGCAUAAAGGUCCUGUCAUGCCCCUAGUGCUGAAUUUUACAUUAAGACAUCUGUUGGGAGCAAAGUCUGGUUCACUUUUAGAGAGGCUUGCUAUUAUGAAGAGCGAUAAGGCAGACUCUGCUACUAAAGUGGCGCCAAGGCCCAUUCCUUAUGCUGCUGAGACUGAUUUGCCUGCUGGGAAUGAGGAGACUGCUCGCGUAGGCAGCUGUGAGAAAUCCACUAAGCCUGCUUCUGGGGAGGCUGUUGAGAUCUAUGUGUUUUUGAAACCAGAUCUCUUGAAAACAUGGACGCUUGUGCCAAGUUUGUUGAUGGCGUUAGAAAGAUGUUUGCCCAAGCUCGUUUGCGAAGCAUACGACCCAAUUAUAGAAUGAUUGCUCUGCUUGUUAUGAUGCAAAUAUAGCAAGGUUGCUAAGGAGACAGCAAACACUAUGGCAGAUUCUGAGCUCGUUGCUUUGAAGGGGUCUCAUAUGUCUGCCCCUACUCCUUUGUAGCUUGAGACCGCUCGCCAAAAGAUCGUUAACUUGAAGACUAGGCUUCUCUGCUGAUUUUGUACAGACCUUCCUACAUGAGAUUCAUCUUUUUGGAGCAUUCUCUGCGGGCAGUGAUGAAGGCCUUAAUACUAUAUCUCUGGGGUGGAACUGUUGGAUCCUGGCCCUUUUGUUGUAGCUGGAGAGGAAUUGCUGGUAGUAGGUUACGAUUCAAGUAAUGGUCUGCUCACGUUUCUUCUCUGCCAGAUUUAAACUUGUGGCCAUCUCCUUACUGUUCUGUUGUUCGUCUUUUGGUAGUGCGAUAUGCCUAUAGACAUCCGAGGAGCUCGUUUAGCCAUUUUCCCUUCUUGCUGGUGAGGGAUUUUUUGAGGCAGUCGAGGAUCGUCUUGUUGGAUACUUUGGCCUGCCCAUUGCUUUGAGGAUAUCUCGGCGUGGACAAUCGCUGCUAGAUGCCAUAUUCUUAAGGCACUUUUGUACUAACUCCUUAGCAUCUUGGUACAUGGUAGGCCAAUAGUAGCCUGCGUUAAGAACCUUCUAUGCUAAGGAUUGGCCUUCAAAGUGGUUUCCAUAUACACCUUCGUGGAUUGAUCUUAGAACUUUCAAAUUGUCGGGAGGUGCUAGGCAGCGGAUAUGUAGUCCGGUAUGGGAUCUUUGGAUGAGAAUGCUAUGACACUUAGGCUGCUGGCUCCAUCUCUAUGCUUGGCUUGUCAAGAUAUUCCACCGGAAUAGAGCGUUUUGAGUUGGUGAUCGAGUGCGGAGCCUAGGCCGACUAGUACGUCUGCAUGAGCGUUGUCUGCCUAGGGAACUUGAGUGAGAGUUUAAGUUUGAAAUGCCUCAAGCUGCUUGUGUACUUUCUCUAGGUAUUACGUCAUCGAUAUGCAAAUGCCAGAAAUCUCCAUUGAGGGAGCAGAUGUAGCUAAAGUGUGCUCGACUGCCUUUGGGGUGCCGUUGGGCCGCAUAAGGUAGUGCUCAACUGCCGGUACAUGUUGUUUUUAUGUAGAAUCUUCUGGGGUGACGAGGAUAAAACUUGCUUUUGAGUGUUCAUCUACCCUUGGCGUGUCUUUUGGGCGUAGUUGUUGCGUUCAUCAUGAUGAUGACUGCAUGCGUUUGAAGGUAAAACUUGAGCUUUUAAGUUACAACAACUAUCGCCGAAGUUCGCUUUUGAAUUUCUGAUAACAUCAAUGAGAGCUUUUUAAACUGUGGAAUAAAACUGAUAGCAUCGAGGAGAACUUUUAAACUGUGGAAUACAACUGAUAGCAUCGAGGAGAGCUUUUAAACUGUGGAAUACAUGUAGGUGGGUCCCCAGCUCUUCUCGCAUGAUGAUAGAUCUUAUUACUGGUCUAGAAACCGUCAAACACGUGAAUAAAUCAUAUGCUGCUUCCGGUUUGGAUAGUAGGGAUGUGACAACUGGUACUCAUUCAAGUCUUUGAAUGUGCAUUGGCGAGCCUCGUCCUAAAGUGCAUGCUUCUCUGCUAGAGCGAACGAGUCUGCCAGAGUUAGAUCUUCUUUCAUGAUUAAUUUUCUGAAUAAUGGGUGGUCUGCUGGAAGUCCUUUUUAGAAGGCUGCUCUAACGAUCGAGUCGUUACAUUCGACUAUUUUUGCCUUCUCUGCUUUGAACCUCCUUACAUAGUCGCGAAGCGACUCCUUUGGGUUCUUCUUGACGUCGAACAAAUGGUUAGACUUCUUUUUUUAUUGUGCGAUAGGAUGAAUAUUCUUUGGUGAAAACCAAAGAAAGUUUGUAGAAAUUUCGGAUGGAUUGGGGCGGUAGGGUGUAAAACCAAUCUUGCGUCUCGCCUUGUAGAGUAGUGGCGAAUAUCUUGCACAUGAGAUCAUCUUUGUUUCGAUAAAGGAUUAUUACGUUUCGGUAGCGCUUUAAGUGUCUCUUCGGGUCUUCAUCCCCUUUGAAAGAUGUGAAAUGUGGCAUGUUGAACUCGCGUGGAGGCUCUGCCUGCUCGAUUUCGUCAGUGAAGGGUGACCUGCUUAUGUUAGUCAUGUUCCGUUGUAGUGCCUCUUCGAUUUCGUUGCGUUGGAAAUCGUGUUAUCGCUUGGUCAAGUGUCUCUCUACUUCUUCAUGAAUUUGCCUUUGUUGGGGGUAGCAGAGCUCUCGGCUGCCCCCAUCUAUGACUUGCUGGUCUAGGCUGCUCUUCCAUGUGUUUGGCUUGUCUAUACCGUGGAUGCAGUGCUUAUGGUGCGUUCCUAGCAAGCGAGCGAGUUCUUCACAGGUUGCUGGUUGAACUUAAGCUGGAUUGAGUGACUGCUUCUCUCCGUCCGUCGUGCUGCCUACUCUGAUAUGAGGUGGAAGAUGCUCCUUGUGGGCUUAGCCAUGAAUAAACACUUUACCCGGAAGGUUGCUCAUGUUAACUAUCGGAGUGUGACCCCAACCAUGAAUGUAUGCUCAUCUGUAGGUCUAGUCGAGAGUGCACGUUCCUCCGCACGCUCAGACGAGAGUAUACGCCAUCUCGGGGGCCCAAUCGGGGAUGUACACUGCCCGAACGCUCAGCUCGUGGCUGGUCGAAUGGCUGUUUACCGGGACGUUGUUGGAAAUGUUCGUCUACCCUUGUCCUACUUCGGGAUACCUCAUCCGGGGCACGUUGGAUCCCGAUGUGUUGCAAAAGUUAAUUCAUCAAGUUAUCUGUUGUGCAAGGGCGCUCGUCAACUCUAUGACUUGUCGAGAGAAGUGUUGUUCGCCAUUUGGAUUGGAAGAGUUUGGAAGGAAUGCGCCUCCUUGGGCAGUGAAAAGGUGGUAGACUCCGUGCACAAGAUUUGAGUUGGGAAAUGUCAAAUUCACGAAAAAAUAUGGUGAGAAUGCCCCCGGCUCGAUGGUAGGUCCGGAUGGUUGAGAUAGUCUUGGGCCGACUUGGGCUGCUUGGAAAGCCACGGGAGCAGGCUGGGCCAUAAGAGCAGGCUGGGCCAUGAGAGUGGGCUGCUCGACGGGAGCAGGUUGGACCACGGGAGUGGGCUGUUCAUCCGGAGCAGGCUGGGCCAAGAAAGCAGGUUGCUCGACGGGAAUAGGCUGAACCACGGGAGUGGGCUGCUCGUCCGGAGCAGGCUGGGCCACGAGAGUAGGUUGCUUGGCGGGAGCAGGCUGGGCUGUGAGAGCAGGUUGGGCCAUGAGAGCAAGCUGGGCUACGAGAGUGGGCUGCUUGUUGAGAGCAGGCUGGAUCACGGGAGUGGGCUGCUUGUCGAGAGCAGGCUGCUUAGCGCGUGAUGCAUGUGAAUGCGAAGCUUGGGCUCGGACGUGUGUAAGCUUGGAUGGCACGACUUGGGCCGUGGCCUUGGUACCGUGAGCCUUGGAAGGCACGGCUCGGGCCGUGGUGAAGGCACCAUGGACCUCACCACAGGUGGCUACCGAGGUAGCCACCGUGGUGGUUCCCGUGGUGGAAACUCGUGGUGGUGGUGCUGCUCCACUUAUUGUUGCAUUUAGCCUCAUGGAUCUCCGCAAUCCCAUUUCUUGAACAUUAGAAUUUUCACUUGUGGAAUUUUCUAAAUUUCUAGCCAUUAUAUUUUGCUUACACGUUUUAUCAAAUAACCUUUGCAAGUAAAAAAUUCUAAUAAUACUAACGUAUGAAAAAUAUUCAAAUGGACUAGAAAAUAAAGAAAAAACCUUUUUGUGCGAGAGUCUUCUACGAGUAUGGAUUUCAACUCUCAAUGAAAGCACCAAUUUGUGGAUGCAAAUUUUCUCCUCCUUGAUCUUGGACAAUUUUGCACCUACAAAACAACUAGCACCUUAGGUUAAGGCCAAAAGUCUCACGCGCCCACGAUGAAUGGGGGGGGGGGGGUUUGGCCAAAGAACCUCCGAUGCCAAAGUUAGAAUUUUAGAGAGAAAAAAAUGUUUAGAGUGUUUGGGAUUUUUUGUAAGAGAAUUGGCCUUAGUGUUUGGUGAAAAUGGGAACCAAUAUAUAGGAGAGGAAGUGUGUGGCUGGCCAUUAGGCCAAGGAUGAGUUAUUUUGGGAGGUUAUGGAGAUAAUGGGCUAGUUAUUUUGGGGGGUUAUGAAAAUAAUUGGCUAGUUAAUUAGCAAAUAAUAAUAACCUAAUUAACUAGCUAUUUGAAUGUCAUAAAAGGGGAAGAAAAUGGUAGCAAAAAACAGAAAAUAAAAGGCAUGGCCGGCCCUAGUGGGUAACUGGCCUUUGGUAAGUUUUUUUGUUAUAAUUUGGUGGUUUAAUUGAUAAUUAAGGGAUUGAUUAGGUAAUUAAUCCCUUAAUUAGUCAAUUUUAGGAAAUAUGAAAGGAAUAUAUAGAAAGGAUUUGGUGAAAUAGGUUUUAAAUUGUUACCUAUUAUGGGCACUUUUGACUUGGUUGAAAGAUGAUUGCCCACUGCUCGCACGUAGGAAUCCCGGUAUGCCUCAAGAGUUUUUUUGUCCUCUUUUGUCCAAAAGUUCAUGUGUCACCUAGUGAAUAUUUUUUGCUCCACAAAAAUGUAACUGUUUUUGUGAAGUUCUGCAAAUUAUAGUAUACCUUUUUGCUAAUUUGAAUAGUGUACGGUUUUGCAAAUUAUUGUAUUUUGGCUAAUUUGAAUAUAGUGUACCUUUUAUAGCAGUAUAUUAUAUAUGAAUAUGCUUAUUGUUUGCCAGUGCAAUUGAUAUAGGUAUGGGAAAUUUGCUUACGGUUUGCCAGUGCAAUUAUAUAUGUGAAAUUGAAAUUGAAAUGGAUAUGUGAAUUUGAAAUGGAUAUGGUAUGAAAUUGGUAUGAGCAAGAUUUUAUAGUUUUGUUUUUUUUUUCUUGAAGCAAUGGAUGUUGUAGAGCAAGAUUUUACGAACCUUAGUGAUUGAGGGUCAGUGGAACUGACAAUGGGAAUACAACCUGAUCAUGGAAGUGCAAAUAUAGAAGAUACAAAUACAAGUCUGGCAAAUAAAAAGGCUAGAGUGAUCAAAUUAGGUAAGCGAACACUUAGGUCUCUUGUUUGGAAAACAUUCAACAAACUGACUACUAUUUUUGAAGAUGGUAAAAGUCGUGCUCAAUGUAAAGAUUGUAAGAAACUGGUAAUAGAUGAUAGUCAUCAUGGGAUGGGUAAUAUGAAUACACAUUUGAAAACGUGCCCUGGACAUUAGAAAAGUAGACAUAGACGUUCUUUCUUGGUGGCAAAUGGAGUGUUUUCAUUAUCCGAUACUUUCUCAGUUAGCACGAGAUGUGUUAACAAUUCCUAUUUCAAUUGUUGCAUCAGAAUCUGCAUUUAGUAUUGGGGGUAGAGUACUUGAUUAGUAUCGUAGUUCAUUGUUACCAGAAACAAUUCAAGCUUUGUUAUGCACACGAGAUUGGCUAUUUGGAAAAUGAGGUAAUAUAUUUUUAUAUGGUAUAGUACUAUUGUUUUAUUUCUUUUCAUAAUUAUUUUGGUAAACUUCUCAUAAUUUGAAUGAUUUUUAAUGUUUGGUUUUUCUAUACUUAGUUUAUGCGGAAGAGAGUUCUGAUGUGGAAAACCUUACUGAAAACAUCAUCAACAUAACUCUUGAAAACAAUAGAUCAAGCCAAAGUUCCAAUACAAUUUCCUCAUGAUAAUCGAUGUAAAUUGAGGAUUUUGUAAAAGGAAUAACAUGGAAGCUUUGAGUUCUAUUGGUAAGGUUUAAACUUUUGAGAAAGGCUUCACAACCUUGAAAACAAAAACUCUUUCAUUUUGCAUAUCCUUGCACAUUUAAUAUUUGUAAUAGAUUAAUAGUGUAUGGAUUUUUUUAUUAGGCUCUUAUUUUUUAGUGUACAUGUAAUACUUAAACGACAAAUGUGUUUAUGUUUUGAAGUAAUAUUUAUGUGGUAAUGUGUGGUAUGUGCAAAUUUAAGAAAUUUUUUUUUUCUUAACGGGUCAUAACGGGUCAGGUCACUUUACCCAAACCCGACCUAUUAAGGACUCGUUAAGAUAAUGGGUGUGACACGACACGACCCGUUAAGAUAAUAGGUGUUACACGAAAACGACAGAUACGACCAGUUUGCUAGGCCUAGGUCCCGUGAUCGAUUUAGGGUCGCUUAUACCCCACUUUUUUGCAGGAAUGCCCGCUUUGGGCUCAAAUUUUGUACUUGCAGUCCACUAUACUUCCACCACACAUAGAGACACCCAUCAUCCAAGCUCUUCCAAUCCAAAUGGCAAACACCACUUGCCCCAGCAGGUCACCAAUUUGCCGAAUGCCCUUUUGCAGCAGACCACCUCGGUGAACCAACUCCUUGAGCGCAUCAAGAUGCAGUGCACCCCAGAUAAGGUGUCCCGAAGCAGGACAAGGGUGGAAGAACGUGACUCAUUCCAGCGACAUCUCGGUAAAGAGCAGCUCAGCCCGCCACGAACUGAGUAUUUGGGCAGUGUACACUCUCGUUUGGGACCUUGGGGAAACGUCUUCUCCCGCCUAGAUAUGCAGAGAAUCGUUCAUUCCUGACUAGGUUCACGAGUUAGUGUGCAUUCGAGGUUGGGUUCGCACUUCAACGAGCACUCAAGACUUUCCAAGAGAAGCGUCUACACAAGGCUAGGCUCGUAAAGAGAUCCUCCAACGAGGCAACGGAGUAGGCAACUGCAUGACGCGCAGAGAAAAUCACGUGAGCAGUCCAGCUCAAGUUCCACUGGUAGUCUCUGCCAGGCGUGACGGCGAGCAGCACAACAACCGCGACACAGACGAGCAGGACAUGUUGAAGAGUAACAUAGACCAGCAGGUCAAAACCGGGGGCAGUUGGAGGCUCCGCUGCCUCACUAGGCGUAAAUCCAAGAAGAAGUACAAAAGCUCGUAGCAGAGCAAUUACGCGGUUUCCAGCGCGUUGACACUACCGACGAUGCCCUCCGUAAACGGAACCACCGCGAAAGUUCAACCGGCCACAUUUCACCUUGUUUAGGGGGGAUGAAGAUCUGAACAGACACUUGAUGUACUACUAAAGUGCCAUGACUCUCUACAUCAACAAUGACGCUCUUAUAUGCAAGAUUUAAUCCAGAACUUCGACAAACUUUCCUUGGUUUUCACUAAGGAAUAUUCAUCCUACCGCUCGAUCAAGAAGAAAUCUGACCACCUUUUCAGCAUGAAAAAAGACCCGAAUGAGUCACUCUACACUUAUGUCAAGAGAGUCAAGGCUGAGAAGGCAAAGAUUGUCGGAUGCGAUGAUAGCAUCGCAUGCUCAACUUUCCGAAAAGGACUCCCAGCAGAUCAGCUGCUUUUCAGAAAAUUGAUUAUGGGCGAGAACCUGUCCCUGGUAAACUCUUAUGCUUUGGCAGAAAAGCAUUGCCUCUGGAUAAGGAGAAUGGUUCCCAGAAGCUGAUUGAGUAACUAGACAAAGCCACAGAACCGACUCAGAAGAAUGCGAGCGAUCAACCACCCACAUCAAAAGCAAGCCAGGAAACAAAAGCAAUGACAGUCCCCAGAGAGGCAUGGCACCCAAGACAUACACCAGGUUCUCAGUCCCGAUCAGCCAAAUCUUUCGCGACCUUAAGAACAAGCCAUGGUUCAAGCCGCUGCCCCCUUUAAAGGGAAACACCUCAAAGAUGGACUAGACCAAAUACUGUGCAUUCCACAAGGGUCCUGGACACACAACCAAUGAUUGCACCAUAUAGAGAAAGUACUUUGAGAAACCUGUGAAGGAAGGUAAGUGCGACCAGUAUGUCGACAGACCAGCUGCCCGGCCAAGGUGAAAAGCAGAUGCCGAUACCGAACCCCCAACCAAGAUAAUUCGAAUCAAUGGAAUCAUUGCCGAAUUCAAGCAUCUAGGGGCCACCAAUAACUCCAAGAAGAGGAAGAUCCAGCAAGCAAGAUCGAUCGAUCAGGUUCAAGCCCUAGAUGAUGUAUCUGAACCAAUCGUCGACUUCACCAAGCAAGAUGCUGAGGGAGUAGACUUUCCCCAUGACGACACCCUGGUGAUUUCUGUACAACUAACCCACGCCAUCGUUGACAUAGUCAUGGUGGACAACGUUAGCUUAGUCAACCUCUUAGAACUGUCAGUCAUUCAGAAGAUGGGCUUGGAAAGUGCGAUCCAACGCAAAGCAGAGGUUUUGACUGGAUUCAACAGACCCACCUCAACUACUAUUGGCACUAUCACACUCGAUGUAACCUACCCAUCGAUUGUCUCAUCGCAGACCUUCAUGAUCGUUAACGACCCAUCUCCCCAUAAUGGGAUAUUGGGUCGUCCCUAGUUGGUGAAGAUUUGAGCUGUGACAUCGAUUGAGUUUCAGAAAAUUUGAUUCCGCAUCCCGGGAGGAUCAGUCAGAGAGAUCAAAGGCGACCGGGCCAUGUCUAGACGAUGCACUAUACAAGUUCUCAAGAAGUCAAAGAAGAAAUCUUUCACCCUAGCAGUAGCAAGCAGAAAGACGACUUUACCUCCACCAAAUAGCAAUUACAGUAGGCAGGGCAAGAAGAUGACGUUAAGGACGACAAUGCCUUAGAAGAUGAAUCAUGAUGAAAGCCUAAAGAAGACGCUAAAAACACCAUUCUUGACCCCACUACCUGGAAAAGACGACUAGAAUCGGCUUACAUCUAAGCCCAGCGGAGAAGGAAGAGCUCACAGCUUUCCUUAGGAAAAAUCACGACGUCUUUGCAUGGUCACCCUCUGACAUACUCAACAUUGAUCCGGCGAUAGCUUGUCACAAGCUGCACGUCGAUCCCGCUGCCAAACCUGUGAUCCAAAACAAGGGACAUUUUGCACCCAAGCGAGUAGCAAUUAUUGAGGCGGAGAUCAACAAGUUACUAGAGGCCGGAUUCAUUGAGAAAGUGGCACAUUUAGCAUGGCUAGCCAACGUCGUGCUAGUGAUGAAAAAGGAAAAUGGCAAAUGAAGAGCAUACGUGGAUUACACCGACCUCAACAAGGCAUGCCCUAAAGACAACUGCCCGGUUCCCCGAAUCGACCUCCUCGUCGACUCAACGUCUGGGAACCAGCUGCUCAGCUUUUUGGACGCAUACUCAAGCUACAAUAAAAUUAUCAUGCACAAGCCUAAUAAAGAAAAAACCGCAUUCGUGAUCGAGCGAGGCACAUACUGCUACAAGGUAAUGCCCUUUGGCCUCAAGAAUGCAUGAGCAACCUACCAGCAACUCGUAAACACGAUGUUCAAGAAGUAGAUCAGAGUCACCAUGGAAAUCUACGUUGACGACAUCAUGGUGAAAGGCAAGCAGCGGUCAGACCAUAUUCGCAACCUGGCAAAAACUUUUUCCAUUAUCCGAGAAUACAACAUGAAGCUCAACCCAGCUAAGUGCAUAUUUGGCGUUUCCUCAUGCCGAUUCUUAGGGUACCUUGUAACCCAAUGAGGAAUCGAGGCUCAUCCAAGGCAGAUCAAAGCAAUCUUGGACAUGAAAUUGCCCAUAACUCUGAAGGAGAUCCAAAGUCUGACCGGACAAGCGGCCGUACUCAAUCGCUUCCUUUCGUGAUCUAUCGACCUAUGCAAGCCUUUCUUCAAGGCAAUUAAAAGGGCGCAGAAGGACAAGUGGGAUGAUAAGUGCGAGAAAGCAUUUCAAGACCUGAAGCAGUACCUGACAUCACCUCCACUAUUAUCCAAACCGAAAGCAGUGAAUGGCCUAUAAAUCUAUCUGGCAAUAUCAGAAGUAGCAGUGCGCUCUGCCCUCAUACGGGAAGAACUGGGAGCCCAACUACCUGUAUUCUACAUAUCCAAAGCUUUCCUUGAUAUGGAAACCAGAUACCCGAAGAUUUUAAAACUAAUUUUGGCGCUAGUUGUUGUAGCAUCAUGACCUAGUACCCACUGCGAUUAGUUUUGCACAGUCCAGACGCUUUUUAACAAGUAAUGAAAUGGGCGUUGGAACUUGGUCAACACGACCUAGCAUACCAAUACUGCAUGAGGAUAAAAGCCCAGACAUUGGCGGACUUCAUAGCAGAAUUCACCCCAAGCCUAAAAGAUGCAGCAACACAACCCGAAAGCGUCCGGGGUUAGUCGAGCAGGCCAUAGCCGUACCUGCCCUACAUGAUGGAGACUUUUGGCUUUUGUAAGUCAAUGGAUCAUCCAAUUAUCAAGGAUCUGGGGCAAGCCUAGUUCUUACUACCCCGGAUAGUUCGAUGCUCGAGCAGGCGAUCACUCUAAGCUUCAAGGCGUCAAACAAUGAAGCAAAAUAUAAAGCCCUACUAGUAGGUCUCUGAUUGGCAAAAACCUAGUAGUGAAGAAGCUCGCGAUCUAUUCUGAUUCCCAGCUAAUCACCAACCAAACUUCAGGGGAGUACACAACAAAGCAUCCAAGGAUGGCCCGAUACCUCGAGAAGGUACGAGAACAGCUAGUGACGUUUUAAGCGUACACACUCACUCAUGUUCCAUAAGCAGAAAAUGCUCAUGCAGAUACACUAGCAAGCCUAGGCUUCGCACUAGACCAUCAGCUUAGGCGCUUAAUCCCAAUCGAAUACCUAGAAAAGCCAAGCAUAGAUGAGGAACCAGCAGUCAAGGUGGUGUAGAUCAUCACAAUCUCGAGUUGGCAAGAUCCCAUUAUCGACUACAUAGUUAAUGGAACACUGCCUGUAGACAGACUGGAAUCCAGGAAGCUCCAAAUGAAGGCAACACACUACUAUAUAUGGAACGACAUGCUCGUUCGAAGAUCAUUUUCAGGACCAUACCUCCGCUGCCUAUCUCCUCCCGACGACCUGAAGAUUUUUUGCUUAAUCCAUGAAUGUGUUUAUGGAAACCACUCUGAAGGCUGCUCCUUGGUGUAAAAAGCUCUCAACUCUGGCUAUUAUUGACCGACUAGGCACCAAGAUGCCAAGGAUUAUGUACAAAGGUGCGACUUCAAGCCCGUGCCCGCAUUACCUGCCAGCGAACUCCACCCGUAAACGAGCCCAUAGCCAUUCAUGCAGUGGGUGAUCGACUUGGGAUGACCAAUGUAGCCUGCUACUGGGAGUAGAAGCAUGGUGAUCGUAGUGAUCGAUUACUUCACAAAAAUGGGUCGAAGCCGAACCCAUAACCACAACUACCCAGAUGGUCAUAGAGCGCUUCAUAUGGAAGAACAUUAUCUGAUGCUUCGGCAUCCCACACGCUAUCAUCACCGACAAUGGUCCAUAAUUCGUGGGCAAAGACUUGGCGAAGUUUUUUGAAAAAUAUGGCAUUAAGCAGGAUAUGUCCACGCCCCGAUACCCAUAGGGCAACAGGCAGACGAAACGUCUAACAAGACUAUCCUCGACUACCUCAAGAAGACCUUCUCAGAUAAAAAGGGCAAAUGGCCAGACGAGCUCCUUGGUGUUCUAUAGGCAUAUCGCACCACCAAAAGGUGAGCAACCGGUGAAACUCUAUUCUCUCUAGCAUAUGGUUAUGAGGCUAUCAUUCCUCCUAACGUCGUAGUGCCAAGCAUUAGCACUAUACUACCGAACCUUGAGCAGAACAAAAAAGAGAUGGCCAGUAACUUAGACUUGGUAGAGGAAGAACACGAUAAGGUUAUCACCCGCAUUAUGGCCUAUCAGCAGCAGCUCUUCUCCCACUACAACAAGAGGGAAAAAAUUCGAAAGUUCCAGCCAGAAGACUUAGUCCUAAAAAAAGCCUUCAUCACUGCCCGACGAGAAGACUCCAAAAAGAAUGCUCCCAUCUGGGAAUGUCUGUACAAGAUCAGCCGAGUAGGCGGAAUGAGUAGCUACACCUUCAUCACUAUGAGCGACAAAGAAAUCGACAAGCAAUGGAAUGCCUACAACCUGAGGAAAUACUACGUGUGACCUCUCAUCACUUCUUAAACCCUGCUCAAGACAAGAAGUUCGAAGACUCAAGUAGCUCGAUGGACAGAGACCUCGUAUGUCGAGGAUUAUCAGUUGUUAUGACAUUAUUACCUAUGAGCAAAGUCAAUAAAAGCCUCUAUUUUCAAUGAAGAUUGAAAGAAUUAUUCGUAAGCCUGAGCCAAAUGCAUAAACAAACUGACCACUUUCUGCGAUAUGCAGAAGACACCCGCUGCCCUGUAGACAUAGUGUAAAACACCUGCUGCCCGGCAUACAUGGCGUGAGAACGCUCGCUACCCUGCAGACAUGGCGUAAGAUGCCCUCUGCCCCGCAGACAUGGCAUAACCACCCCUGUGAUAAGUAGAAGACGCCUGCACGUUCAGACAUGGCGUAUCCGGAAUAUCCAAACGUGGAUGGGUAGUACGACUGCUCAGUUUCCCCUGAUGUCAACGACUACCUUAACCGGACGACUCCUAGAAUUGGCCAAAAUAGUCUUUCCACGAGAAUAGACUUAGCCAACUGAAGAAUUCCAUUCCGCUGAGACCCGGGUCUCUAACCGGAAGAGACAAUUAAGUGCAGGACCUCUGCACAUGAAAGAUGUCACGUGAACAAGAUGGUCCGUCUUCGACAUGCAAAUCUUCAUGAAGUGGCUUGAUUUUAAAGUGUUGCAAUACUAGUUAAGCGACCUGCGGUAUCAAAGCUGCGACUUGGAAGUAUAUGGUAUCUAAGAAGUGACUUCGCUUACACUUUACGCCAAAAAACACAUUCAAGAGCCUGAGAUGACACUUGAAGUGGUUACGAGGGUCGUCUGCUUCUGUAAGUAAGAGUCCCGACCGAUGACCCUAAGACUACAAGCCCAAGGUAGCCUGUAAGCUGAGACUUACACCUGCUAUGACCACGUGGACUUGCUUGCUUACUUACAAGCAGCACUUCCCGUCAACGGUCUAUGCUUUAAGUUUUGCUGGGACAAAGUCGAGUGUCACGAUUAUAGUAACUGCGCAGACCUCCUCUGCUUCCUACAAGAGGCACGAGUUCAACCGACGACUUUAUAAGUAAAAAAUCUCACAACGUGCCCCAGGAGGGCCAAAGCUGAAAAAGCCACAAAGUCAAGUGUCACGACCAUAGUAGCUACGCAGACCUUUUCUGCUUUCUACGAGAGGCACUAGUUAGACUGACGGCUUUAUAAUUAAAAAAUCUCGCAACGUGCCCCUGGAGGGCCAUAGCUCAAGAAGCCAUAAAGUCGAGUGUCACAAAUAUAGUAGUUACGCGGACCUCCUCUGCUUCAUACAAGAAGCACGAGUCCGACUGACGGCUCUAUAACUCAAAAAUCUCGCAACAUGCCCCGGGAGGGCCAAAGCUCAUGAAGCUACCUAAAGCCGAGAUUCACAACUAUAGUAGCUACGUGAACUCGCCUACCUCUUAUGGAGACAAUGAGUUCGACUGCCGUCUCUAUAAGUAAAAAAUCUCGCAACAUGCCCGAGGAGGGCUAAAGCUCAAGAAGCCACAAAGUCGAGUGUCACGACUAUAGCAACUACGUGGACCUUCUCUGCUUCCUACGAGAAGCACGAGUCUGACCGACGACUCUAUAACUCAAAAAUCUUGCAACAUGUUCCGGGAGGGCUAAAGCUCACGAAGCUACCUAAAGCUGAGAUUCAUAGCUAUAGUAGCUAUGCGAACUCGCCUACCUCUUAUGGAGACAAUGAGUUCGACCGCCAGCUCUAUAAGUUGGAAAUCCCGUAUUUCUUCCAUUUGCAGGUAAAGCUCUAGAAGCCGCAAAGUCAAAACUGAAGCCUAAAGUGACCACGUGAGUCAACUGCUCCAUUGAACUAGCUAACUCAAUUGCUGUCCUACGACAAAGUUUUGCAAGACACCUCAAGCAGGCAAGGCUCCCAAAGCCUCGAACCUGAAACUAAAACUUAAGUGACAACGUGGGAUCAACUGCUUCGUUCAAGCAGCUCACCUAGCCGCCUAUCCUACGACAAAGUUUCGCAAAAUACAUGGCAAAAUAGAAGGAUGAAGCAAAAAUAAGGAAAGCUGUUUAUUAAAUUUCCAGCAAAUUGAUAAACUAGCUCGAAGGCCAACAAGGCUCAAGCAAAGCAGAACAAAAAAGAAAAGAAGAAAAUUCCUAAGUCUAAGCAAAAAGACUACUCAUUGGCAGUCUGCGCAACCACUGGUUCCUCGAUUGCCACACCUUCAAUAGCCACGCCGCUCCCAGCAGCCAAAGCUUCUAUCAACUCAUCAUCAGCCACCCUUGCCUGGACUUAACCCUCAGCUGCUCCACCAAAGGCAGCCUCAAAUGAGAAAUCAAGUAGAUCAACUAGAUAAAUGGAAAAAGUCUCGAAGUCAUUCUCAGAAAACUUAUAAUUCGACGGCCUGCCCUCAAGAUGGUCUAUAUAGCCAAGCUUGUAAAAAUUGGCCUGAUAAAAAGCAAGCGCCACUUCGUGACCAACUUUCUCAUUUUUGAGCUGCACAUUCUACUCAACAAGCCCAGUAUGAGCACCUUAUAUCUCAUGUAGUUCCUUUUUCAGGUUCUCAUUAGCAGAUAGUGCACCUUGCAGAUCCACUUCCUUGGACUCAAGUAUACUGGCAAUCUCCUUAAGACGAGACACUUCAACAUGCAUGAAGAUAUGCUUAUCAUCCUUGGUAAAACAAGCAGGUCGCAGCUCUGAAUUGACAUGCUCAAGGUCCUCGACCACCGGAGAAACACGACUGAUUUCCUUCUAUGCAUCUUCCAACAUCGCCUGAGUCGCACUAAGCCUAGCAUUCAAAUGGGCAGCCUUCUCACGAGCGAUCUCCAACUGCAAAGAAGUAGGUUCAGAGACAUAAGACCCCUUCAAAACAUUGAGUCCAGAUUCAAGUUUCUCAAUCUUUUUAGCAACUGAGCGAAGCUGAGCCACCAACACCAUUUCAGCCUCCUUAGCACACUUGACAGCAUCCUGAUCAACGCGCAUAAACUUAGCUGCCAGGAUCAAAGUCUUAUGCAUUGUAGCAAUUAAGGAAGACCUUAUCGAGUAGGCAUGAUGCUUCGUAAAUUAGCUUGAGCGGAUGACAACUUUCCCAACAUCAUCAACAAACUUGGCGCAUACAUUAACGUCCUCAAGCAGGUCAGCUUUCAGCACCACAUGAACCUCAGGAAAAUCUUCAGCCUCAGACUCGAUGGAUUUCCCCUUCUCAGUAGACGAGUUAGUCACGACAGAAGGAGUAAUAGGCCCAGGUGCCACCUUAACAGCAAAAUCCACCUUCCCACUCUUCAUAGCGGCGAGCCUUUCAGAAGUAGAACCUGACUUAGUUCCCAACAGACACUUCGAUACAAACCCAGACACUAGGGGCACCACCAAACUCUUUCGCUAGGCAAGUCUCCCAGCAAUGGAUGAGGUCACAUUCGGAGCAACAUAUUUCAUAGUCUUAGGCUUAACGGUCAUCUUCGCCCCCUUGGGGCAAGUUAGAUCAAUGACAAGCUUCUUGGUAGUAGAUGAGCUCCCACGAGCAGCAGAAGAAGUCUUUGGCUUUUUCUCAACUCAAGGCUCACAAUUAGGUGAGGAAGACCUCUUCUUUCCACCACUAUUAGUAGCAGGCUCUAUAACAACGAUCGGGCGAGCCAACGCCUCGUCCUUUAUCCGCUUUAUCUCUUCCCUCGAGGGCAGGCCGCCUUUCUCCUGACAAAGAGGGCUGAGCAGCCAGCGCCACUCACAAUACUCAGCAGGAAUACCCAAGGCGACGUGCACUUUCUUCAUAUCUGCCGAGGUCCAGUGGGUUGAGCCAACUUCUAAAUCUACGCAAAAGCAAGAAAGACGAUCAAUAAAUUGAAGUCAUUGAGCAGCUUAACGAAACAUUGAAGCAGGACAAGAAUGAAGCAGUUCACUUACCAUUGAUAAAGGUAGUUGAAACACGCAGCUCAGGAGAAGAGUCAGACUCCCACUCUCCGCUCACCUUCAAGGUAUCUCUUGCCCGCUCAUGAUCGCCUUUGCUAGAAACAUCAAGCAACUUAUGGUGAGACCUCAGCUGCCCUACGCCUUCCUUGUGGCCGAUCUCAAAGAAGUACCAAAACUCAUUUAUAGCCAAGCCAAGCUCAAAGAACCUACCCAAGUUUAAGAACCCUACCAUCUCACGAACUGCGUUUGGGGAACACUAAGCAGGCAUGCAUUUCAUGGAGCAGAUCACCUCCUGGAAAAGACGCGACAUGGGAAAGGUGAAUCCCAACAUAAAGUAAUACGGAUGGAAUUUGAUGGCCCUCCUCCUAGCAAAGGCACCCUCGCUGCAUUGUUCACAGCAGUUAUCAUCUUUCACCCGCUUGACGCGUACUCGAGAUGGAAUUGCAUGCUUGUACCCCUCAAGAAAAUUCUGAAACAGUUCGUCGGAAUUAAUCUUGACGUGUGCAGCCUUAAAGUAGCCCACCUUGCUAGAAGAACCACCUUGAUGGUACAAAGGUGGAGGGUAUUUGUCACUUUUUCGAUCAAAAGAAGAUAUCUCAAAGUCUCUGCAAAAAGCACGAAGGAGAAAUAUUUAGAAGACAGCUUGCAAAAAAAAAAAAAAAAAAGUAGGACAUAUGCAUAUAUAUAUAUGCGCAAGGAGCAGCGCAGCCCCAAGGCCGCCCAACCCAGCGAAUAGGAGGCCCACGCCUUUACCCAUCUUCUCUUCUCCAUGUGUGAAGCGCCCUAAGAAGCAACCCAAGCCUCACGGCCCAAGUUCUGCGCACAUGAGGGUCGACCCACGCUGGACCCUCUCUUUCCCUUUCUGCCUGCCCAGGCUCCAGCCUAGCAGCCAUGGAGACCCGGCCUGAGCUGGUCUCCCCACGUUAGCUAACACCUUUGUCGCACCACUUGCAGCCUGUGGCCUCCCUGCCAUGCCAUUCAUGCAUCCUUGGCACCCACCAAGCCAAUUCCUCAAGCCCCAAGGCUCCCAAAAAUUCAAGAAGAAAAAAUUCAAAUUUUUCUUACCUUGGUGCGACACAGAAAAGAAGAAGAACAACGAGAAACGAUUCUUUGCAAGGGCAAGAAAAGAAGAACACUAGGGGAGAGGGAAGAAAAAAUAUCCUCUGGCUUCUCUUUCUUGUUGGAAUAAUGAUUGUUCUUCAAAUUUAUUUAAUCCCCUGCUUAAGGCUGAGUUAAAUAGGUAUUAGGGGCAAUUAUUUUCCUUUUCCUAGAAGAAGUCUAUCUCCAAAUCAAGAAAGAAGAUCAAGUUCAAAUUGGGAAACAACUCUACAAACCCAAGUAGCUUGGGAUUUCUACACCUACUGUCCUUUCCAUGCGAGCAGCCCAGUAGGUGUGGGGGCAUUUGUAGAGCCUAAAAUAAUCGCAAAUAUUCUAGAGGCGACACAUGGACUUUUAUUCAAGAAAGACAAGAUUGCCCUCAAUAAAUGGGCAGGCUUCUCAGAUUCUCCCACGCGCAGCUUACAUCCCUGAAGGACUCAACAGCUGAACACAACUGCCCGCAACUCAUCUGCCCAUGGCAAGGAAUUAAAGAUAAGGAUUAAUUACCCAAAUCCUAUCUUUAAUACAUUCCUAAUUGAAGAUUGACUCCAACCAAGUAAGUAAUCCUAAUUGAAAUCAAUUAAGGAUUAUUACCCUAUUAUCUCAAGAUAUUAUCUCCUAUUAAAAAUCUUGGGAAUAUUUAGAGAAUAUAUCUCCAUGACCUAACUCCCCCCCCCCCACCUCGUGGGCGCAUGAGGCUUAGGCCUCUGAUCAAAGAUGUUAAUUGUGUUUGCAGGUGCAUUUUCAUCAAGACUGAAGAUGGUGGAAAUUUGCACUGAUAUGACUGAUUUAGACUAAACUAAAUUAGAUUGACAUAGUAAAACGUUUGAUAUAGUAUAUAAUUAAAAAGCAGAAUAAUAAAAAUCAGUGAAAAAAGGACCCAAUUUGAACAAUCACAACAAAUUAAUUCCAAGUUUCCAAAAGAAAAAAAAACAAAUUAAUUCCAUGCAACAUCAUAAAUUAUCUAACCCACAAUGAAAUCCUAAAUUGCAAAAUACCAAAAGAGGAAAUCACUAAGUAGAAUAUAUCAAUGAAAAUCAAAAUCGGGUUUUACUGGGAUGCAAAUUAGCCGUACCUAGUGCUUGGUUAGGCGCCUCCUGAUUAGGAAUGGGCAAUGGUUAUGACGCGCAGAUAACCGUGGUUAUUUACCCAUAACAGUUUUUACUCAUUAACCCGUUGGGUAAUUGCCUAAAUAGUUAUACCUAUACUCAUAACUGUUUAUAAAAUGUUAACCAUACUCAUAUCCACGUACCCAUUUAACCGUAACCGUAUACCCGUUUAUCCAUUUUUCAACCCAUUUACCCCUUUUUCUCCAAUUUACGUGUUUUUUUUAAUCGUAACCCUAUUUAACUCCAAUAAUUGAAAUAGUAAUUUACGAACGAUUUUUUUAACUGUUAUCAAUCAAGGUAAUAUGAUAUAUUUGCUAAGAAUUGAUUUGUUACUAACAAAAUACCUCUCAUUACUUGAGCAAGCAUAUUGGAAAGAAAUUUCAUGUAUUUUCGACAUAUUUUUGUUCUAUAUCCAAGAAAAUCUUCAGUUAUAACAUCCAUACGAUUACAAAGUAAAGCUUCUAAAACUCAAGGUAGUCAUCUUAGGUUAAGGAUAUUAUAAUCAAUAUGCAACAGCACUGGAAUCAAUAAGCACCAGCACUAGAUGUUGUAACUGAAAUACAUGUUAUAAUCAACAUGCAAUUUCUAUGGAAAGUGAGUGUUGUGAUUUAGCUUAGCUUAGGUUUUUUGUUUUGUUUUUGGUUUUUUUAAUUUUAUGUAUAUCUUAAAAUAAAUGGUAAAUGGGUAUCCGUUUAUACCUACGGUUAAUACACAUAAUCGCUCAUUUAAAUUUCACAAAUAAACAGUUACCUAUAACCGUAACCGUGAAAUUUAAACGAACGUGUAACUACAAUUAACCAAUAGGUAUUUGCCCAUCCCAACUUCUGAUGUCCCUGGUCUUCUUAGGGAGUCGCCUCCUGCUGGCCCUCAUCUUCUUGGUGAGUCGCCUUAUGCCUUUGGCACAUCACUGUCAACACAACAUCUCAAUAAAAAGCCUCACUAGACUGACCCAAAGAGAUUCAGAAGAAAUUAGAUUGACCCAAAGAGAUUUCAAAAGAAAUUAGAUCGACCCAGAAAGAUUUUAGAAGAAAUUAAACCGACCCAAAAAGGUUUUAGAAGAAACUAAAUGAGGAAGAUGAGAAUUUAGCAGAUUUUACCAGUUGCUGGAAUUGGGUUGCAGCGAUUAUGGAAGCUGUUCGUGUCAGGAAUUUCCGUCGGGGAUGUUUCCUGGCCGAUGAGCACACAGCUCCCCUGGAGGUUGGCGCCGGUUGAGGGCUGCUGUCGGGCUUCUGCUUCGCUGUCGGGCGUUGUCGGGCAAGUCUCGUUGGGCAAGACUCUUCGGGCAAGACUCUUCGGGCAAGGCUGAAAUAGAAGGACAACGUUAACUUUGAGAGUUGCCUUUGUGGGGCCUUAGGUGUAGGCCUUGAGGCUCACAAUCAAGGUUAACAUUUAGGUGCUCAGGCGUGCCACUGCCAUCUUUAGCAUGGCAGAUGUAAAAUGGUAGUCGUGCUUUAAUUGUAUAUAUGUAUGUAUCCAAGAAACCGUGUUAGUUAUAACAAGUGCCUUUGUGGGGCCUUAGAUGUAGGCCUUGAGGCUUCCCAUAAAUAACUAAACCAGUGCUCGAACGCAUCAUAUUUGUUCUCAUGAUUGUAGGAGUUUUCUAACUAUUAUACUUCUGAUUACCCGAAUCCAAGAAGUAGAAUGAACCCAAAUAGGUGCCUUUGUGGGGCCUUAGGUGUAGGCCUUGAGGCUUCCCAUCAGAGUUCAUUCUUAUACUUAGACUCUUUAGAUCGCUGAACGGAAUGAAUCCAAAUGGAUGCCUUUGUGGGGCCUUAGGUAUAGGCCUUGAGGCUUCCCAUUAGAAUCCAUCCCAUGCUCAAGCGUUCUAUGAUAAUCAUGAUAUAAUAGAAAGAAAACUAGAAGGUAGGUUGAUUACUUGUGCCCCAAGUAACUUCGGACUUCUCGUUUAUCAAGGACUGUCGUGGAUGGGUUAAGUCCACAUAAGGUUCUUUUUUAUGCCUUGAGGCCAAGGACUUUUAACUGAUCAUAUUUACAUGCCCGAGGGCUUAGGACUUGGAUAUGGUUUGAACACUGACGAUAUAUUCAAAUCGGAUUCAAGUACUGAGAAAGCCUCUUAAUAAUCAUGUUGCUAGAAAUAACUUGCAUAUAACUGGAAGUAUACAACAUAUUGAAAAGACAAAACCAAAGCAAAGAAGGUCGGGCAAGGUUAAACCUUAUUGGGUAAGGUUGCUCGUCUUGCAGGUUCCUAUCUUUGUAGUUUUGUCAAAGGUCUGAAAGCUUAGAGGGGUAGAGAGAGAGAGAUUACAAAAGAUGAAUCGAUACUACAGCAAGGUUGAACAAGGUAGCAGAGCUAUUACAAAAGGUUGAAGAGAGGGUUAUCCCGAGAGGAAUGAAGGUUUAUCCCGAAAGGGAUGAAGGCUGACUACAGCUUUGUUUUGAAGGCAAAUCUAGCUUUGAGCAGAGUUUGUGCUUGCAUUUGUUUGUUUGAUUGAGUGUCCUUAAUCCUGGAUUUUCUCUCUUCUUAUAUAGACAACUCGGCUUGGCCUUUGGUAGCAGCAGCUUUGCCCGAAUGCAGUUUGAGGGUGAUGACUCAUCUGCUAUAUUACAUGUAAUGCCACCAUAAAGUGCUUUAUGGGCUGUGUAGCUGAUCAGUCUACACCACUUGGCCUUUGGGUAGGUAAGCAAGUGGUCUUCAUGAACUGCACCAAGUCAGAAAAGGCCUACUCCUGCCUUAUGGGCUUUGAUUGGGCUUCGGCUAUCUUCCUUUUCGGGCCUCCUUUUGGGCCAACUCCUUUCUUGAGCCCAAAGUUAACUUUUAAUCCAAACAGAAGCAAAGUAGCCCAAGUUGCCAAAGCAGACAAAGCAGAUAAAGCAGACGAAGCAAUUGGUACGAGGAAGUUGCGACGUAAAGCAGGUGUUAAGAGACGGGAUUAGCAAUCUUCUCCUUUGUGAGGUGUCUCGCUAAGAAUAUUUAGCGAAGGAUUUGGUUGGCGUGAGUCGCACUUAGUCCCAUUAAAGUUAGUCUCAUUUUGCAACAAACACGGACUAAUAAGUCAAUCUACUCCAAUGAAAAUUAAGGACGCCAAACAAGCACGCCGAAAUCUUAGCACGUAUUAUCUAAUAGAUAAUUAUCUAUCUUGAGGUAGACCUAAGUAUUUGUCAUAUUUUGAAUAGAUUGAUGCACACUACUAAUAACACUAAUACUAUUCUCAACUUACAUAAGGAUAAUACGUGAUUGAUAGACUAUUCGAAAUUGCCACUUGACUCCAAAAGUUUGGCUUUUCAUAGUGAAUAAUAAAGUAUGAAAAGACAAUGCUGCUAAAGCAAUUGUGAAUGAUGAAAGGUAAUUUAUUUUUAAGGAACUUUAACGAAAAGCUCUUGAUUCUGUUCAAUUUAACGAAAAAUCAUAUUUUUACACUAAAAUGUCAAUCAUGGUACUAUUCACUUUACCUUUUAUUUUGUCCUUACCGUUAAAACAUAAUGUUUUGAAGCAAUUUUCAUUUAUUUUCCUUUAUUUUUAUACUGAUGUGUUUUAAUAAUCAAUUAUUUUAAGGGAACUGUUAUUAGUACUAAAAAAAUCUCAUUUACACUCCUCAGAAAUGUAGUUUUCUUUUUAAUUAUAUAAAGUUUAGAGUGCAAAAUGAGAUUUUUGGAGUGCCAGUAACAAUUCUCAAUUUUAAUUCCGAAUAUGUUAACACUUUAUUAGAGUUCAAGUUCAUUUUUUCAUUUGAUUCUUGAUAGUAAACACUUGGGACAGGCCUAUCUAUUUGGGCAUGUUUACUUACCAAGUUAUCGGAAUAAGGAUAUGGAGAAUUUGGUAUGAAAUAAAUAAUCACAUGUUAAUCUCAUUUCUCAUUGACUUUUUCACUUUUCAGGUAUGAGAAUACCUAGAUGCAUUUAUGUUUUCCUUUUUUUGGUUCUAGCAAACAGAAGAAUGUGAAUGAUAUCGAUUCCUUACAAAUUCAUUUUUUGUAAGUAAAACAUGACUAGUCUAAAACUAUAUUAAUAGAACUCUGGUUGUCAACCAAAUCUCUAUGAAAUUAUCACUUUAACCCUCUAAUUAAAACUGAAAAAAAAAUAUAAAAAAAUAGUUGUUUUAUACACACCCCACAUUUUGUUGACUACCCCCCACAUUUACUUUUUAGAUUAAAAUUUAUCUUAAUACAUCUCACAUACUUUCCAAUACUACCCUUAUACCCACACUCUUUGUGAAAUUUAAGAUUUCUUUUUAUAUUCUCUAUGUUGUGACAUAUGUUCUAAUACAUAUUGUGAUUGUGUAAAUUGUAAGUAGAGAUAAAUUAGGAAUCCUUUGGGAUCUAGAAGAUCUUUCCUAAUAGACUUUUAUUACUUGGAUAGCAAGUUUCUCUCCUCCUUAUUACUAUAAAUAAAGGCACAAGGACUGGGGAAUUAACACACAAAUCCUCAAGUCUAUUCUCCACUCUCUUUCUCUCUAUGCCGCACCCCUCAGUUAAAUAUAGGCCACAACACAUUAUCAGCAUGCUCUUCACGUUUUUCUAAAGAGAAGUUAUUCGUCUUAAAUCAGGGUAGUAUUAUGUUUCAAUUAUUUUAAUUGAUUAAAUUUUGAUUUUAUUGAAUUCAUAUACUUUUAUUGAUUCAAUUUAUUUUUUUCUUGUGUUGAACGUGAUACAAGUUUUGAAGAUGGAAAGCCGAAAUUGAAGAAAUAAUUUUCUACAUCAAACCAAUUCAUCAAUAUCAUCACGUAAUCAGGUUCUUUCAGAACAACAGUUUUUAUCUUGAUAUUUUUGCAGCCCUGAUAGCAUAAACAUUCACCAUAAUGCAUGACUCAACUUUACGUUUUUCGAAUUUUAGAUUCUAUAUAAAUUGUAUAUGCAUUGUACUCAUAAUUUUAAAUUAUGUGAAUUGAUAUUGCUAUGAAUUAUAGUGAAUAUGCAUGAAUUUAAUUGAAUUGAAAAAAAUUUAAAAAUUAGGGUUUUUGGAACUAAACGUGUGACGGCUUGAAGCCGUAUUGCUGAGCAAGCCACUAGCAUUAGGCCAGCAACUUGCAUCUACAAGGUGAACCGAGCCGUGAGCCAUGGAGCAGCGUCCAAUGAGCCAAGCAAGUCUGUAGCCCUACUUGAAAACCCAAAAUGAUGUCACAUGGUGUUGUCCAUGUCCUUGGACUCGGAACUGUGAACCACCGCCACGACCACCAAUUUGGUGUCGCCCAGGCUAACUCCGAUGACUUGCAGUCAUCAUCAAUAGAGUUUAUGGCCGAUAUUUCUUUGAAAUAUCACCUUCGAUCCCACGAAAUUUUUCAUUCGUAAACGGCAAGGCCAUCCCUCUGCCACCAAACGAUGUUUCUCAAACGAAUCAUCGUCUCACCCACUGUUCACUGACCAGAACACGGCCGCCUGAAGCUGCGGUGCCAAUCCUCAAUCCUAGUGAACACCCCCAGCAUUGUUGGGAUGCUUUUUGGUCUAGACUCGAGCCCUACUGGCUUGUUCUCUUUCAACCCGCAUUGCAAACUUGUAUGGGCUUUGCUUUGUCACCAGCCUUUUGGGCUUUGGUGGCUUGCCCUUUUUCUCGACUCGAUAAACAGUUAAGCCCUUAUGGGCUCUUGCCUUCUCUCCUGCAUUGCGCCACAGUCCAUCACAGCUCAGAGUUGGUGCAUGUGUGCUUUCAUUACACUCGAUCAGCGCCCCUAUAUGGGCUUUUAUUAAUUUGGGCCUGCAGACCCCUUUUAAUUUUUAGUCCAGUUUUUCUUGGGCCACCCAUUUUUCAUUGCCUAUUUUUUUAAGGCCUUGUGGGUUUUUAUAAUUUUUCACCCAACAUUUAAUUUUGGCCCGAAGUCGAAAUAAUUAAAUUCAAUUAUAAUCCUAGGCCCCGAAGACCUAUUUGCGCAUCACUCAUGUUAAGACCCGAAAUUCUCCAUGCUUAAAUUCUUUCCAACAAAACCAUGUCUUAGACCUUGAAUGUUCUAACUUUGUUGUUUAUGGAAAUUUUAUUUCCUAAAACAGCAAUCACACUCUUGUUUCCGGUUGACUACGACCAGUUGCGAAAUCAUUGUAGCCAGUUAUGGUGUGGAAGAGUUAAAUAAGCCUCUGUGAUGAUCUUCAUUCUAAAACUUAUGCUUGAAGCAUAUCAAAUGAAAGUACCUCACUGCAAAGGACUCUAUGACUCUUUGACUCGCUAUGGACCGUUUCAAUCAUGCAAAAAUGAAUUCUUGCCCAAAGCAAAGCAUGAUUGAAACCUUUACGUCGAAGAAUAGGUUCUGAAGUUUAUAUCCAAUCGAAUUUUGACUAAAAGAAAAUCUUUCGCAUGUUUGUAUACCUAAAUUACUCCUGAAGUAGCAGUAUAGAGAGCAGAAGCUUACCAAAUUCUCGAAUCUGAUUAUACCACACUUGUGAGAGAAAUGUACCCCAACAAUUCAGUUAGGAAGUACCAAAUGGUAAAAACCAAGUUUCAGUUGGAGUCUACCAAAUGGUGGUGCCCUGUUUCGGUAAGGAUGCACCAAAAAGCAUGCUCUGUUUCGACAGAGGUGCACCAAAUGAUAUUGCUCUACUUUGGCAGAAGCUACUGAACAGACCCCUCUAUCUUUGGCUAAAGCCUACCGAAGCCAAGUCUGGAUCUGUCUCUCUCUCACAAUCCUAUUUGAGUUUGUUUUAUAAAUAUGGUAGAAUCAGGCUUGCCAGGUGGUAUCACGCCCGAAGCAUUAUCCUUGGCACCUAAAACUUCAAGAAUAAGGGAUAAUAUUCCCGAAUCUCAUCCCUGCAGAAUCCAACUCCGUAUUGACGGAAUAGAUAUUGGUUAUGCACUUUUCUAUGCUUUUACCAAUGUUGUUGAGGAGCCUAACACAUUUGGCGAGUUAAGUUUGCCAUGAAAGGCCGUACUGGUCGAACCCCCCUUGUAUAUUUGGUUUACUUUGUGAAUAAUUUAUUUUGUUCUUGGAUUUAAGAUUGGUGUUUGGAUGUCACUAUUAUUCUCGAAUAAGAGUUAAUUAACAAAAAUUACCAUAUGUGACUAAUACAAUUAACUCAUGCUUAGUUAUGUCUUGUGGGGAUUAUGGUUCUAUGCUAACUUCAGACCUAAUCACCCCCUGACAACCUUUCAGGCUUAUCCAACUUGAUUGUGGGGCAUGGCACUACCAUAUAUUUUCCAAUGGUACUAAUUUUACCAUAAAGGGAAGUCUUAUACUUACUCGUUCCGAAAGAAUGCCUUUUGAGCUUUAAGGAUAUUCGAGAGCAUUAUUACCAAAUUGAAAUCAAUGUAGAAAAUGGAGUAAACUUCCUUGGAUUAUUACCAUAUUGCACUUCCUACGAACCAUUUAGAUACUUUAUAAUACACGUUGGUCACACGUGUGGCUCUUGUCCAUAAGUUGUAUUCUCCACAUUGGUGGCUCAUAUUAACAAGCUUAAGGCUCACCACCCUGAUUAUCUGAUCAAAUCUAUUUGAUUGGAUAAUUUGGAGAAUUUACAUCGAAAAUUUUCAAUGGAUAUUGCAUGUCGGUUGAGUUUUGAAGUUGAACAUCAAGUACCCCAUGUUCAUACCCAGAACGACCUAGCAGAAGCAUUCAUUAAACACGCCUUCAAAUGAUUGCACGAUCUUUGGUCAUACGUACCAAGUUCCCGAUCUCUGCUUGGGGCUAUGCAAUAUUGCAAGCAACUAUGUUGGUCCACUUUAGGCCCGUCACUACCCAACCUUAUAAGGCCUGUGUUAGUUGGUUACCAUAUACGAACCCGACAUAUCGCAUCUACGCGUCGUUGGUUGUGUGGUCUAUAUGCCAUUUGUGUCGUCCUUACGUACAAAUAAAAUGGUCCUCAGAGAAGGAUGGAAAUCUAUCUUAAAUAUGAUUCUCAUUCUAAUAUUUUAUUACUUAGAACCUUUUAACAGGCGAUGUCUUAUUGCUCGUUUUGUGGAUUGUCACUUUUAUGAGACAAUCUUCAUGUGGUUAGGGGGAGAUAAGAACACCAACAUUCCUAAAGAAUGACACAAAUUAUCGGGGACAUCCUCACUAUGUCUCAUCUCAAUCCCAAUCUAGAUCAUCAAAGUAUAACCAUACACUUUCUCUGAUCUAGCAAAAUUGACGAGAUCACAUAUAGCAGCUGCAAAUGUUCCUGCAAAGAUGAAUGUACCAAAUGUAUGACGAAUAGCCAAUCAAUUUGUCCUACGCCAGAAGCGUGGAAGAUCACUGGUGGCUAGCCAAUCAAUUCGUCCCCGAAAGCAGGAAUGCCACUAUUAUGGCCGACCCUCUUACAUUAGCGGCUAGCCAAUCAAUUUGUCCUACGCCAAAAGCGUGGCAGAUCACUGGGUUUGAGGAUUCACUCACCAAAAUUGGAGGAACAUGGCACAAACGAAUAUGUCCCUCAAUUGAUGUCUCAAUCAUUUCUAUCUCAUGAGAUUAAAUCUGGAUUACUCCCGAGACCUGAAGUUGUUGGUCCAUUAUACUAGUUUGGAUGAGAUAUGGAAUUGGAAUGAGAUUAUCAUAGAUGAUGUCUCAUUUAUAUGAUAAUUACAGACAUAAAUAAAAAGCAACAAUAAUGAAUCGCAUUCCAUUGAUUAGUGUCAAUGUAGAACUGAUUGGUCAACUAGAAAAAUCAAUUGAUGAUGAAUAAGAUGACUGAAAUACUGAGAAUGACGCCUUGUGGCUUAAGGUUUCUAUUAUACAUCAUGUGAUUGAUUACAACAUUAUAAGCAUGGUUGUAGUAUCUCUAGGAUCCUGAUAUGAAACCUACAUGGAGUUUCCAAAGGACUUACAUGUACUGAUUCAAAUAGUUCUAAACCACAAGAACACUUUCUCGGUUCUUAAGAGGCCUUCACUUUGCGGAUGCAGAAUUAUCCGAGCUAGUUAAAGAUAUAUGCCCCUGCGUGUACAAAAUCUAAAAUUGCUAGAGUUAAGAAAACAAACUCACACCUAAAGUCGGACUUUAAGAUGAAUGAUCUUGGGAAAACUCAACAUUACCUUGACCUGAAGUUUGAAGAUAGUUCUAAUGGUAUCCUAGUCCACUAGUUAAACUAGACCCAGAAAGUGUUACGUCUGAGUAUACCUUGAUUGUCUGCACGCUAGAUGCAAAUGAGACCUUUAAGGAGGAUAUGGAGCAUAAGGUUCCAUAUUGGAAUGUGAGGCAACCAUAUAUGAGUACAAUUGGCGUUUAUCAUACUUAGCUCACUGCACUAGAAUCGGACAUCUUAUGUGCUGAUAAUCUUUUGGCAUAAAGUAGCACUGCUCCUACACGCUACUACCAAAUUGGUGUUAAAGAUGUUUUUUUCCAUUCCUACGGAUUUGGGCUUAUCUAUACCUAUGCAUCUCAGAAUAUAUCACACCCCUUUAAUCUUCGAAAUGAUACAUACCUUGUAGGAUUCGCUGAAUCAGACUAUCUAUCUGAUCGCACAAGGUACAUUCCCAAAUGGUUAUUUCUUUACCAUUAAGGAACAUCGUAAUAUCUUAAAGGUCAACCAGAUAGACUUUUGUUGCGAAACAUUUGAAUCGUUCCAAGACUUGCAGCAUCUCAUCACGUAAGAGAUAUGGUCGAGAACUCUUGUUAAGCAUAUUCGAAUUCCUUACAAUUUUCAUCCAUUGUUGAGUCCCAACAACGAUCCAUGAAGACAACGAUGUAUGUAUCGACUAGAUAAUGAUACUUCAAUAAGUCAACGCCAAGCAUAUUGUGUCUACAUCAGCAUGAGCAUCAGAAGAUUGAAGUCAAGCAGUACGAUCCCAGACAACCUUGUUGAUCUCUACACGACGUCACUGCCGAAGUCUACAUUCUAAAAGCUUGUCCAAGGAACUCGUAUGCGUAACUUUCUCACUUACGAUGCUUAUAGUUUCAUUUGGAAGGUCUGUCAAACUCAAGGAGGGUAUCUACAAGUAUACCCACUUGACCUUAAUGUACUCUUUUUACUUAUAAUUAGGAGCAUUUUUCCCAAUGGGUUUUUGCUACCUGACUAGGUUUUGAUGAGGCACUCAUCUUUGGUUGGUCAUACCCUUAUGUACAUCCUACUUGCAUCCUAAAGACGUAUAGUUUUGACUUAAUGCAACUUCUCAAUUUUCUCAUUGGACUAUGGCCUUUUGUCCCACCUUGGGUUUUGCCAUAGCAAGGUUUGGUGAGUUUUACCACCCAUGCAUUCUUCCGUUUGUUUUGAGACUUGAGUUCACUACUUGUGCCGACUAGAUGAGACGACUUCAUCAACUACUUCUACAUUUGCCUAAAGAUCGGAUGCGCCAUCUACUUGAGUAUUUGCACACUCAAAGGGUGGUGUUGUGACAUAUGUUCUAAUAUAUAUUGUGAUUGUGUAAAUCCUAAGUAGAGUUAGAUUAGGAAUCCUUUGGGAUCUAGAAGAUUUUUCUUAAUAGACUUUGUAUUACUUGGAGAGCAAAUUUCUCUCCUACUUAUUAUUGUAAAUAAAGGCACAAGGACUGGGGAAUUAACACAUAAUUUCUCAAGUCUAUUCUCCACUCUCUUUCUCUCUAUGCCGCACUCCUCAGUUAAACAUAGGCCACAACAUUCUAUUCAAUUUUCUGCACAUUUAGUUUUGUCUACUCGAGGGUUUAGUCUUCCAUCAAUUUUAUGCACAUUUAGUUAUGUUUAUGGAUUUUUAUUAUUUUUUAUGAAAAUAUGACUUUCAUUAACAUGAGGAAUCAACAUACAGUACAAGAGGAUAGAGCCAACUAGGCUCUUCUUCAAUCCCAGAUUCAAAAUCAUCAACACGAACUGCAUACUGAGCUAGUUCAUGAGCCACAACAAGGUAUGUUCUGCCAUUGACAAGAAAACAUUCGAAACUUUUUCCCAACAUUUGUAUAUUCUCCAUGAUACAACCCUCUAAACCCAGACAAUCCUCUAUAGACGUAAUAUCAGCCACCACCACUCCCUUCGCGUCGAGCUUGAGAACAAUAUCUCUAAGAGCCAAAUUAAAAGCAAACAUCAAACGUUCCUUUUCUGCAAACAUUUCAGUGGCUUUAACUGAAAGGCACUCCUACAUUGGUUUUGAUUCGAAUUAUUGUGAAAGUAUUACUUUUUAAAGAUGAAAUUUAUUUUAUUUUUUUAUUUUUUUGUUUGUGAAUGUUUUGCGGUAGGUUUUGGCAUACCUCCUAACAUCAUCUCUCAAUGCGUCACCAUUGACUUCUUGAGAGAUCCUCUUGUCCCAUAAUGCAAGUAGUUUGGUGUUGUCGUCGAUCUCAAGCUUUUUCUGGCACACAAUGGUGGGAUUCGCAAUGUUAAACUUCAUGUUUGCUCCGAUGCCGGCAGGUGGAGAGAGAAAUGCUUCGCCUGUUAAACCACUGGAAUUUGACGAGCUCCUGGUAGCUUGUUUCUUGAAAUUUAUUGGCUCAACAAAUUUGAUUGUUUUACUUCAACUAAUUUGGUUUUCGUGGGCUAGAUAGUCAUUUCCUAUAAAAGUAUAUGUCAUUUAAUAAUUUUUAUGUGGAGUGCAUUCAACAAUAUGUGAGGUGCUAAUAAAAAUACCCAUAAAAAAAUAUAGGCAAUUUAGUAAUUACAAGACCAGAAAUUUGACUGUUUUUUAUGUAAACCUCAUAACCAUGUAAUAAUAAGGGAGCCUUACUUAUAGAAACACAAAUAUAUACCAUAUUUCACACAACUCCACAUCUUUUAAAACAUUUCAAGGAUGGACAAAAAACUCAAUAAUAGAAACCCAAACCCAACCCAAAAAGAAACGGACAAACUAAAUAACGACAUGUGCCCCUUGACUACAACCAUUAAUAAACAGACACAUUAACCACUGCACGACAAAAAAUCAUAAAAACGAACCAGUUUCCCUUAUUCAAUACUGCAAACUGACGGUUUCAUCUUCCCCAAACAUAUCAUUUCAAACAUUAUCACGCAAAAGAUACGUUCGUAGAAAAAAAAAAAACUCUAAAAUCACCAUAGAAUCCGACACUUUCAAGCCAGAUUUUCAGUAAAUGAUACACACGUUCAGUCGAAUUUCCAGAAGAUCAAUGUUUCAAAUUUUUUUCUACUACUCAAAAUCGUUCUUUUGCAUGAUUAUAUUUUGAACUCUGUUAAAAACGAAUGCAUUAUCAAAGUUUUUGAUGCAUUAUCAAGUGUUUUUUGCACUUGAUUUUACAAAAAAUUUAGUGUUCCAGUUCGAGAAAAAACAAUUUCAGUGUUUUAGAUGUUACAGUUUCACCUUUUUAGUUAAUAUGUCUACUGAUUCUUCAACAACAUCUGGAAAAAAAAUGAAUAUGCUUCUAAAUUUUGUGAGUAAAAACAUUAAUCGUCUAGCUUGAUGUUGUACUUUGUACUGAUGCUGCACUUUGAACUAAUGUUGCACUUUGUAUUGAUGUUGCACUUUGCAAAUUAACCUUGGUUCUACUUUUUGUUUGUAAAUUGGUUUUGCACAUAAAUAUGUUGUAGAAAAAAGAAAAAAGGAAUAUGCGUCAAGCUUGUGUUAAAAAUAACUAUGCAUCUACAUUGUGCGUUAACAACCAAUUAUGCAUCUACCUUGUUCGCUAAGUGAUGCUGCAUAUAGCUUGUUUGCUAAGUGAUGCUACAUAUAGCUUGUGCGCUAAGUAUGUUGCAUAUAGCUUGAGCGCUAAGUGAUGUUGCAUCUAGCUUGUGUACUAAGCAUCUGCCCUUUGGCAUCUAGUUUGUCAUUUAUGUGACUUCAUAAUUUUUGACUAAAAAUUAUACUCAUUAUCGUUUCAUUUUUUUUAUGAAGAUGUUGCUAAAAGUAAAACAUUUUGCAACCAAGAAGAAAUCAGCUCAAAAACCUCAUGCUGUAAAGCGUUGGGCAACAGAUGAUAACAAAGAAAACCACUUUUCUGAAACACACCUCAUGUUGAACAUCACGACCAUCAGCCUCCCCCUAAUUGAUUCAAUCAAAUCAAGAAUAGGCAUGCGACGCUCUUCAGAAAUCAUUACGUUAAAUGAUUUUGCAGUUGCAUUACUCAUUUCGACCCACCGAUUUCCCUGAAAAUAUAUAAUAAUAAUGCUCUUUUGAAAGAUCAUCUAAAAAUGAAUCAGAAAUAUCUCCGCCAACACUUCUCAUUUUCUCAAUAUUCCUAUCAAAAUCUUCAACACUACAUGGAUAUACACAAUUUUUGACAUACUCACACAACAGAUCCUUCAAAAACUUAUUACCUGCACAUUGUCUCUCUAAAUUUUCCCUCAAAUGUAUAAUGCAUAAACCAUGGGAAGCAGUAAGGAAAUACUUUUGAAUAGCAUUCAAAAGCCCAUGAUGUCGAUCGGUAAUGAACGUGAUAUUCCUUAUUUGGUAAUUUAAUAUUCAAGCCAAGUGAUCAACAAACCAUGUCCAAUUGUCUUCAUUUUUUAUGUCAACAAUACCAUAACACAGGGAAAAUCUUUGUAUAGAAAAAAAAAACUAAUUAUAUCAAAAAACAGGUUCUACAUAUAACAUUACUGAUGCUGCACAUUAAUAACCGAUGCUUAACAGUUUUGUAAAAAUUGAUACUGCACAAAUGCUGCAUAAAAAGAAUCAACUGAGUCAUUAAUCAGUUUUGUAAAAACUAAUGCUGCACAAAUACUAAUCAAAAGUUCAAAUUCUUAUAUGUAUAUUGGGGGUGGCCAACCCCUCACCCAUAAUUUGAUUCAUAAGCCAUUUACUGUUUCCUAAUCCAUUCCACAUUAAUAAACAAAUACUACACAUUAUUAAACUGAUGCUGCACUUUAAUAAUCAACUCUACACAAAAAGAAUAACAUGAUUCUCCAAAAUAUAUAAAUAUUGAAAUUCAAAACGAUAUCAUAAAUAUGUAAUUUAUAACAAUUAAACAAACUUACCAUUAUUUGCAUUUUUUAGCACAACAACCAAGAAGAGUAUCGGUAUAUCUUUCCUUCAAAAACAUAUCAUCAAGGAACAACAUUGGUCUACACCAUCGAAAUCCUUUAACACAAGCUCCAAAAAAUAUGAAUAACAUUUCAAACCAAUUACUAUCGUUAUCAAGUUCUAGUGAAGAAAAUGAUCCAUCAUUGGCACGCACAAACUCAUCAAGGUACCAAAACAAAAAUCCAAAUGAGAGAGCCUCGUCACCAUUACCUUAAUUAUAUGCAAUAUCUUUGCCACACAAAGUUGCAUGGUAUUUAACAUCAAGACCAUAAUUCUCCUUCAUUUCUCUCAUAACAUCAUUUACCUUAAUGGAUGGAUUUGAACGAACCUUGGCUGCCAACAAAAAGGACAAAACAGAAGGGCCAAACCUUUUAUUCCCCUUUUGACGAAUACGUCCAAUGCAAGUAUGAAUAUUAUUUAAUUUUUUAAUGAUAAAACAACCACUAGGCUCUUGCACAACAUCAUGAACAUGCCACUGACACCCUUCUGACAGUUUCUUUGACCAAACAACAGUAACACGCUUCCAAUCAUUCCUAGUGAACUUAAAAUCAAAACCAACCUCAAGAGCAUUGUGUAAGUUUUCUACGAAACUUAACUGCACCAUCUUUAUAACUUUGACCCUCAUCAGAAAUAUAACUCUACCACUCAUUUAUUGCAUAAUAGUGAGGUCUAUAAGAGUCAUAUUUACCCAAAUAUUGGUUGACAUGAUGAGAUUUCUGUUAGGGUCAAGGGUGGAAAAAUCAUUUAUUUCGUUUCGGGCUUUUAAUUCAGCCCAUGAUUGUUGAAUGUUUGUGGGGUCUGAUAUAGAUUAGUUUUGUCCUUAUAAUUAAAUGUGAAGCCAUUUUGAUUAAAUAAUAGUAUAGUAUGAUUUUUUAUUACAUUAAACUUAGUCCAAGUCCUUUUUAUUAAAGCUCCCUUUAUUAUUUUCUUGUAGGCUAGUCCCCUCAUUGGCAUCUAACUUUUUAUCUGAAUGUUAUAUGCAGACAAAUCUAACACAGUGGUCUGGUGCUAGCUUGCCUCUUUAGGUCAGUGUUUUUUGGUUGACAGAAAUUGGUUUCUAUAAGGUGUUAUGACAUUCCUCGAUCCCAAUGUUCACCAAACACCAGGGUAGGUACGUGUUGGCCAACACCUGAGGGUGACGAAAGCCAUUUAUUGAAAACAUGAUAAUUAAAAUAUGAAUAAGAUAAGAGAAAUUUAAAUGUAAUUAAUAUGCAAAUGAGAAACGUAUUUGUAAACACGGAAAAUUCCUGAAACGAAAGCUACAAGAACAACGUGCACAAACAAAUAUUUGUAUUAAUGAUUUAGGGGUUACAAUCUCUUCUACGAAUUUGGCCUCUGAUUCUAUCUUUGAAAUGCGUAGAUGUAGUGUUGCUGAUCCAGGGGCCGUCGAGGCUUGAUCUUGGACGAACAGUUGAUGAGUGAUGAACACCUUCUUCAAGGGCCGUCGGGGCUUGAUCUUGAAUGAGUGGAAGUUCUCCAAGGGGGGCGUUAGGGCUUGAUCUUGAAGGAGGAUUUCACGAAGAACGAAGAGGGCUUUCUUGAUCCUUCGGGAUUUGCUUGAGAGCUUCAGAGUUUCGAGGCUUCAAGGCUUUGGUGUGGUGUGAAUUCUCUUCCAAUUUGGGAGUAGAGAAAGUGUAUGCCAAAAUCCUCGCCUGAUUCUUUGAUGGAGGAGCCUAUUUAUAGACUUUGGGAAUGAACCACCACCAUCCAUUUAUUUUGGUGGAUGUUGUAGGUGAAUUUGGGUGGAGGUUGUAGGUGAAUUUGGAUGGAUUGUUGUAGGUGAAUUUGGGUGGAGGUUGUAGGUGAAUUUGGAUGGAUUGUUGUUGUUGUAUGUUAGGUGAAUUUGGUGGAGGUUGUAGGUGAAUUUGAUGGAUUGUUGUAGGUGAAUUUGGGUGUAUGUUGUAGGUGAAUUUGGGUGGAGGUUGUAGGUGAAUUUGGAUGGAUUGUUGUAGGUGAAUUUGGAUGGAUUGUUGUAGGUGAAUUUGGGUGUAUGUUGUAGUUUUUAAUGCAAUGGUCAACAUUUAUUUCACUAAAAUUUCAAUGUUUACAAAUGUAAUUUUAAUGCGAUGGCUAACAUUUAUUUCAACGAAAUUUCAAUGUCUACAAAUGCCCCCACUUCAAGGCGCAUAGUAUACAUGUGCUUGUCACGUGUAGAAGAUGCGUUUUGAAGUCCCUUAAUGUAGAUGUCGAUCCAAGGGCCGUUGAGGCUUGAUCUUGAACUGGUCUGGGAGUUUUCUUCAAGUGCCGUUAAGGCUUGUUCUUGAAUUUUGUUUGAAAUUUCUUCAAGGGCCGUUGAGGCUUGAUCUUGGAUGAAAUUGGACCACAAGGAGCUUCACGUAGUAGACGAUCCUUGGCUUUGAUAAUGGAUGAAUCAGCACGUAUUUUGUUGUGCUUGUUGACUUUCCACAGCUUUGAUCUUGAACUAGGCUGGAGGAGUUUUCUGGUUUCCUCCAAAGGACUUUCCACAGACUUAAUCUUGAACUGGAUUUGACUCAAGAGUGGUGGACACUUGAUCUUGAGUCAGGGUCGUUGAGGCUUGAUUUCGAACUUAAACAUGACCACGAGCAGUUUCAGGACAUGCAUGCUUUGAAAGAUCAAGGAGUUCGCAGCAUUUUCAUAUGAACCCUGAGCAGUUUGGUCAACAGUAUGAUCUUCAAGAUUGAUGGGCUCUUCUUCCAGUUGGUGACUUGAUCUUUAAGGAUUAUCGAGGCUUUGCUCUUCGGUGACGGUACCAGCGAAGGGUCGUUAAAGCUUCUCGAGCCUUUUGGGUUGGAGCAACGGUGUCUAACUUGGAUCUUUACUUGAACUCCUCCGUCUGGAUUAUGUGGUCAUGCAGGGAAGGGCUUCGUGCUUCAUGAUUUGUUCCAGCUUGUUGUGUUGCAUUCUUCUCUGCUUAUUUCUUUUGCAUGGCUGAAGCGAUGUGCAACCUUUUGCCUUUAAAUGGUUCCUCGGAGCACCACCUCUCAGCGACUCACUCAUGCUUGGCAGCUUCAGUGCAAAGAGCCGAUGUCAACAGAUCCACACUCUUGAAGCAUUUGCUGAGGGAAUUCGAGACAUAUUAGCAGUUGAAGAUGAGCACUCGAGAGCAACGCUAGGUAAGUAACCAGGCAAAGGUUCCGGGCAAUCAGUUCCUGGUCGGACAUUUAAUUUCAGGUUCCGACUGAUUGCUUCCUUUCCCCUUGUUCUGCAGGCAAGAGCAAGGGCAGAUGAGAAGAUGGGGGAAGAGCAUGAUAUGAGAUACCUUUGCUUUCGACCCCAGUGAUAUGAGAUACUUUUGCUUUUGAAGAAGUAGCGGACGAUCAGCACAUGCAUUCGUCGCGCCUGUCUCCAUAUGCUUCGAUGCAUCAUCUUCAUCUGCAUCAUCUUCACCUGCAUCAUCUGUUUUCCAGGCAGACGUGGUAGACGAAGAGGAAGCAGAAGAUGUUGACGAUGCGUAUUCGAGAGCACGGCUAGGUGAGCAAUCAGGAAAGGUUCCAAGCAGUCGGUUCCUUACCAGGAGCUUGAGUGGAGGUUCCGACAUAUUGCUUUCUUUAUCCUUGUCUUCGUAGUGAAGAGGGAGGACAAAGAAAAUGAUAGGGAGAAAGCAUGCUAUGAGAUACUCUUGCUCUCAACCCCAGUGAUAUGAGAUACCUUUACUCUGGUGUGGCUUGGUUGAAGAGGCGCUUCCAGGGAGGAAGAAAACUGAAUUUUGGUUGCAGAUGCCCUUGGCGAGGAAGAAAGGUCAGGCUGGAUGCGUUUUCAGGGAGGAAGAAAACUGAGUUUUAGGUUGCAAAUGUCUUCGGCAAGGAAGAAAGGUCAGGUUGGAUGUGUUUUCAGGGAGGAAGAAAACUGAGUUUUGGUUGCAAAUGCCUUCGGCAAGGAAGAUGAGUCAAGCUAGAUGUGUGUCUUGCUAUAGGAUGGAGGUCGAAUUAUAUGGUGAGCUCUCAACAUCAAGUGGUAGGGUGAGCGUGGCCUUGUCACCCACGCUUGUCGGCAGAAGUGCGGUAGUUGGCGUAAUGGACCUCACACGUCUUCAACUUUGUCAGUGAUAUCUGACGAAGUUGCACGUGAUAGCCGAAAGCUGAGAUUGUGUCUGAGAAGUGUCGACGGACUUUACGCAGAAAAAUCCGGGUUUUGAAAUUCGGAGAGUUGGUGUUUCUUCGAUUUUACGAACGAAUGGUUGUGCUGCCUCUCCUUUUAAAGAGGUGUCAAUUGUAUUCAACACGCACAAUUUGAAGAUUGCCUGUCCGUGAAAAAUUAUCUCUGAUUAUCUCUGCUACUCUUUACUUCAUCCAACCUUUUUCUUUUAGUAUUUUUUGAAAAUGACUUCCCCUUUUAACAUUUGCUUAGAUUUGAGUCUUAGCAGCGACACAGGUGCACCGCGUCAGGGUAAUGUAUGGCGCCCGUCUUUUUUUUCUUCUAAUGGCCCUCUUACAGUUGAAGACUCUGUGAUGAGGGAUGCAACAACGGCUACGGUUGUAGCUAGAAACCUCCUCACUCCUAAAGAUAAUAGGAUACUUUCACGACGGUCCGAUGAGUUAGCCGUUCAAGAGUCCCAGGCUCUCAGUGUCCAGUGUGCGAACUCUGUUUCUAACAUGGGCCAACGCUUACUUGCUCGAACUCGCCAGGUUGAAUCAUUGACAACUGAGGUGGCAGCUCUUAGUCAAGAGAUUAGGCAGCUCAAGCGUGAGAAUAGAGAGUUGCAUAUGCUUGCAAAUAGUUAUUCGACGAGCAUGAAGAGGAAGCUUGAUCAGCUGACGGACUCCGAAGGUCGAAUUCAAAGUGACCAUCGGAAGUUUGUGGAUGUAUUCCAGAGGCACUUUUUGCCUUCGUCAUCUGGAGUUCGACCAAGUAUUGAGGCUCCGAAUAAGCUAUCUUCGGUGCCUCCUUCUUUUAGGGUUCCACCGAGUACCAAGGCUUCAAGUACUGAGGCUUCACACAAGUGACAUUCGUGGAGGCUUUUUCUACUUUCUUUCUCUUUUUUUUUUUUUUGGUUGUAAUUUCUUGGAGAUAUUAAUGGACAUGCCUUAUUUUAUUCCGUAUGUUGUGUUAAAACGCAAUAAAACGUAUAUCUAACUAAGAUGUAUUACUUCCCUAUACACCCACUUCCUUUUAGAUAGUGACUAGUGCACCCAUUUCUUUUUUUCCAUUAUUGACUUGCUAAUAGUAAUAUGCACUUGUGAGUGGCUUGACGAUAGCACGAUUGGGUUUCUUGGUGGCCUUCCUCACUGCACUGCGUUCUUCUCGCAUGCGGACCAUCUUUUCACUUGCAUAGUCACCUUAUUACGUUCUUCACUGCACGCGGAUUGCUAUUUGCACAGUCACCAUACUGCAGAGGAUGCUGCAUGCCGGUUAUUGUUCGUACAGUCACCGCACUUCUUUUUGCUUCUCUGUGUUCUUUUACAUACGCAUAUAUAUGUAUACACACAUCCCGACAUACAUAUAUAUCGAGCCAUCACUGCACAACCAUUGCACAGCCACUGUAUUUGCUUGCUAUCUUGCAUCCCGAUUGCCUUGUUCUGUAAUCCUGCGCUACUGUUGAUUGCACGCACUGUUUCCUCGCCGCACUGCGUUCCUCGUGUUUGUUGCCUGUUAAAUUGGGUGCUGGACAAAACCGCAAGGGUGAGUUGCUUUGGACGGGGAGAAGAGAAAGCAGUCAUCUAGUAAGUUCCUUUACGCAGCCUUUACUCUGUGAGGUGUUUAUUUUAAACCGAGCACGAUUUUGACAUGUACAUAUGCAUAUGUAUACAUAUAUAGACAAUUGAUUGUCCUGCCACCAUCACUGGGCACAUAUUGUUUAUAUAUAUAUAUGGAAGUUGGAUGUUCCAUCUGGUCGUUUCAUCACCCUCACUGCAUUGCAUUCUUUUUUGUGUCCGUUGAACCCAGACAUGUUGCUGCAGCUGUUCUUUGAAGGAAUAAAGCAGAUCAAGGUCUUUCUCAUCCAUGACCCCAACAUCCCCCAUCGGCUCCGUGUACUUGUCGACCACGCUCUGGGACUGCACGAAGAAGAAGGAGAAGAGAAGAGGGGCGCAAUCCAAGUUCCAUGUCCCAGCAGCGAGGCAAGAGAGGGGAUACAAAGCGUCAGUUAAAUCAAAUUCAAAGGCAGCAGCAGAGCAACGGAAGUACACAAACCUCCGAACCCAAGCCCAAGACUUCAAUCCUUGGACACUUUUGGAGCUGGGGAUCCCAACCAGGAAACUUAUCGAAGAUCUGGCGGCGAGAGGAGAUGACGCCUGGUGGAAGAGCUAUUGAGGUAAUGCUAGAGAAUAGUUUCGGCAUUUGAAAACUGGAGCAAAGAAGAAGGCCGACCGUGACUUUGAUGUCGGAUCCAGCUAGGGCCCGGAGCAUAACCGGGUCAGAAUUAAAGACCUUGAUCCGUCUCAAGCUUUGGGACUUCAGAAGCUGUACCUCCUCGUUCGUUGACGAACCAUCGGCGCUUGGACUUGGUCUCGCCGGAGCUGAAGCCAGCGGAAAGGUUGGUGCUGAAAAGGAAGAGGUGUUGCAGAGGAAUGCCUGCCAUCACUGGAUCUGUAGGUCGAAGCCCAAGUGGAGUUGUGGAGAUAGAAGUUGGUGGCGCCAUAAGUACCAGAGCUCCGGGAAUCUGUGAAGGAAGAGCACCGAUGGGCCUGCUCCGAUCGAAUAGAAACCCAUAUCUUGUGGCGGCGAUGUUUUAUGCAAAUCACAACUUUAUAAACCUCACUGAUGCCGAUUAUGGAAGAGUCGAACUGGAUGUUGUAGAGACGGCGAAGCUCGGCGACUCGUCGAAUGACGUGCUUGGAGUCGUCGAGGUCAAGCUUCCUUGCUAUGUCAGAGAGAAUGCAAAUCCCUCUGCACACCCACCCUCAGAAGCUUCCUCUGGCAUGGCUGCAAUAGGUCUGGACGUUGGGCUUGACCCAGGAUUAGGGCCUGGGCCGGGUCUUGGACCUCGGAAAGGUAGUCUUUUCUUGUUUGGAGCUUGACCAGCUGCCUUACAAAUUCAAGCCCAACAACAGGAUUUGUCCUGAUUGCUGCACCAAUGGGAUUUAGGACCAAUUCCAUCCACUUUGGUUUAGGGACGGCAUUUAAAAUGGAGAACAACCCCACUUAUAAUAUAUAUAUAUAUAUAUAUAUAUACACAUUUGUGCAAAGAAAUUGUAAUAACAUUGACCUUCAUUAACCAAACCUUUAAUAAAAUGUUUAUUCUUUAUUUUGAUGUGAUGCUAGGAAUCUUUAAUUUUGGGGAAGACAAAGCAUGAUGCUGGGAACCUCACGAAGCUUUUAGAGACGUGGUAUUUGGAGUGAGCAGGACGUGGGCAUAUCUAUGCUUUAUGUUGCCUAGGGUUUAUGCAAGAGACUGCAACGGGGUUUCGCUGUGUAGUGCCUUUUGAUCACAGUUUUUCCCUCGGUGGUGCGCUGCCGUGUGGUGCUGUGCAAGAGACUGCAGUGGGGCUUCGCUGUGUAAUGCCUUUUGGUCACAGUUUUCCCUUAGUGGUGAUGUCGCUGUGCACAUUAACCUUGCUGCUUGCCAUGGGCUCUUUGCCGCUGUUGCUCGGAGCUUGUUCCAGUGCGUCACCUUUACCUUGUGGGGUUGUGCAAAAGACUGCAGCAAGUUUAUGCUGUGUAGUGCCUUUUGGUCACAACUUUCCUUGGUGGUGACGUUGGCGUAAUGCUCACCUUUGUAAUACGGCUUUGUGACCAAAUCAUUUCUUUAAAGAAAUAAAGUAUUCAUAUUUCUUUUGAUUCUUCAAAGUGUUUGUAUUUUUUUUUUUUUUUUUUUUUUUUUUUUUUAUGAUGAUGUGACUGUACUUGAAGUUUUGAAGUUUCAAGUUGCCUACGUACCUCCGGUUGAUGGGGGAUCAAGUCAUAACGUAGUUCAAAUGAGCGAUAAUUUUUUUUUUUUAUGGUGAUUUUGAUGAUGAUUACGCCGUACACAGUUUAUGCUCUUGCGGGCCAGGAGCCUUGUGCCGUAGCCUUUUAGGGGUAGUAACGCUUCAAGAAUCUGCCAUUGAUGGGACCGAUCUUCAAGCCGUCUUCUGCCAUGAUUAAGUAGGCGCCGUUUGUGUAGACCUCUUGUAUUACGUACGGUCCAUCCCACUUUGAUGUGAACUUGCUUUUUGUCUUGUGAGUCGUGAUGAUAGGCCUUCGUAAUGCAAGGACGAGAUCUCCAGUUUGGAAAGACCUUGGGCGGACCUUCUUGUUGAAUGCCUUGGAUAGCCGUGCUUGGUAGCAUUCCAAGUGUUGUUGAGCUUCGAGCCUUCUUUCGUCGAGUGAUUCCAACUCUUGAAGGCGCAACUUUGCAUUCUCUUCAUCAGUCAAGCCUUCUUGUAUAGCCAUCCUAAGUGAGGGGAUUUGACUUUCUAGUGGUAGAACAGCUUCUACGCCAUAUACGAGAGAAUAAGGGGUAGCUUGGGUAGGAGUCCUAUGCGUUGUCCUAUAUGCCCAAAGUGCUUCGCUUAUUCUUUCGUGCUAGUCUCUCUUUGUUCGGCCGAUCACCUUCUUUAAGAGGUUGCACAAUGUUUUGUUGAAUGCCUCUGCGAGACCGUUGGCCGGAGCAUGAUACAUGGAAGACUUGUGCUGCUUGAACUUGUAUUUCUCACAGAGUUCGUCUACAAGUCGGUUGGAGAACUGUUUUCCAUUGUCAGUGAUAAUGUACCGAGGCACACCAUAUCUGUGGAUGAUAUGCUCCUUGAUGAAGCGGAACAGUUUCCUUUUUUACUUCCCUUAGGGGUAUGGCUUCAGCCCACUUGGAGAAAUAAUCUGUUGCAGCUAGGAUGUAAGCUUCUCCUGCAGACGACUUUGGAGUAAUUGGGUCCCACGACGUCCAAUCCCCAUGCAUCGAAUGGCCAUGAAGCAGCUGUAGGGUGUAAUGGUUCAGGUGGUUGAUGUAUGAAGUUGGCGUGGAAUUGGCAGGCUUGGCACCUUUUGGCAUGUUCCAGGCAAUCCUUCACCAUACUUGGCCAGUAGUAACCCAUUCUCUUGAGCUGGAAAUGUAGCUUUGGUCCAGAUUGAUACGCCCCGCACACGCCUGAGUGUGCUUCUUCCAUGGCUUGAUUGGCUUCUUCCUCACCUAGGCAUCUCAGAAGUACUCCUUCGAAAGAGCGCCGGUAGAGUGUUUCUUUGUAGUAGAGGAAGCGAGGUGCUCGUCGACGUAUUUCAGAGCGGUGUCUCGGAUCAUUUGGAAGUUUUCCAUACUCCAAGUAGUCAAUCAAUGGUUGUCUCCAUUCUUCAACAUCGACUGGAAGUACCGAGAUGACAUUCGUAUCAUCUAGUAUCAUUUCGGUGGCGAGGGGAUGACCCAUCUUUGGCAAAUUGGCACAUCUGCAGCUUCGUCUUCCCCUAGUGUCAUACUCGAGGCUAGGUUAGCGAGAGCGUCUGCCAUUUGAUUUUCUUUUCUCGGCACGUGUUCUAGUGUUACGGCCUCGAACUUUUGUAGCAGCUGAGUUGCCAAUCGGAAGUACGGAACGAGAUCAUCUUUCCUCACCUCAUAUUCAGUCAAGAGUUGACUAAUUAUGAGCUUAGAGUCGCCAUAUACCUCAAGGGUUGUGAUUUCCAUGUUGAUCGCCAUUUGAAGCCCGAUGAUUAGUGCCUGGUACUCAGCGACAUUGUUGGAGCACAAUUCGCUUAGUUGGAAUGAGUAAGGUAGUAUUUGCCUUUGCGGUGACAUGAAUACUACUCCUGCCCCCGCUCCAUCUGCUCGUGCGGAUCCGUCGAAAAACAUCGUCCAUCUCGGAAAUAUGUCAAUGUAGAAUACCUCCUCGUCAGGCAAGUCGUCUGAGAUUUUCCAAUCGGCUGGGAUUGGAUGAUCGGCAAGGAAGUCUGCUAAUGCUUGUCCCUUGACGGCUUUAGCUGGGACGCAAAUGAUCUCGUAUUGAUUGAGAAUCAACGCCCAUUUAGCUAGUCGCCCUGUCAAGACUGGCUUGGACAUGACAUAUUUAACCGGGUCAGCUUUAGUAACCAAGUGGAUGGUGUAAGCAUGCAUGUAAUGUCUGAGCUUCUGGAUGGCAAACACUAAGGCAAGGCACAUUUUCUCUAUUGGGGAGUAGUUCAACUCGGCGCCGGUGAGCGUUCGACUCAGGUAGUAAAGCGCUCCUUCUUUCUGGAAUUCGUUUUCCUGGGCCAAGAGUGCUCCCACUGAACUUUCCUGAGCGGCGAUGUAUAAUAUGAGUGGUUUCCCGGGCACAGGCGCCCCCAGUACAGGUGGACUUGAUAAAUAUUUUUUUAUGCUUUCAAAAGCAUUGUGGCACGCUUCGUCCCAUAUGAAUGGAACAUCCUUUUUUCAUGAGUCGACUAAACGGUUGACAACGCCCUGCAAGGUUGGAGAUGAAGCGUCUGAUGAAGGCUAGUCGUCCUUGUAGACUUUUCAGCUCGUGCAGGUUUCUUUGGCUCGGGCAUGUUUUGGAUGGCCUUGAUUUUUGAUUGGUCCACUUCAAUGCCACGGUGCUUGACAAUGAAGCCGAGGAACUUUCCAGAGGUGACGCCAAACGCACACUUCAACGGGUUCAUCUUGAGGUUGUACUUUCGCAGCCUUUUGAACACUACUCGCAAAUCCUUCAAGUGAUCUAAUCUUUUCUUUGUUUUGACCACCACGUCGUCUACAUAACAUUCUACGUUUUUGUGUAGCAUGUCAUUGAAGAUUGUCUGCAUUGCUCGCUGAUAUGUGGCUCCAGCGUUCUUUAGACCAAACGGCAUGACCUUGUAGCAGUAGAUACCUUUCGGAGUGCGGAAUGCUGUUAGUUCCUCAUCUUCGAGAGCCAUACGAAUUUGAUUGUAUCCAGAAGAGCCGUCCAUAAAUGACAGUGCCUCGUGGCCAGUGGUUGCGUCCACCAUGAUUUCGAUGAUCGGCAAGGGAAAGUCAUCUUUCGGGCAAGCGUCAUUGAGGUCCCGGAAGUCUACACAAACACGUAUUUGUCCAGAUUUCUUAAGGACGAUGACGAUGUUGGAGAUCCACUUGGGGUAUUGCACCUCUCGAAUGAAGCCUGCUUCGAUUAGCUUAUCAAUCUCUACCUCGAUUUGUGGAAUUAGCUCGGAUCGAUAGCGCCUUUGAGUUUGCUUUAUCGGUCGCGUUCCAGGCUUAACUGCAAGAUGAUGUACAGCGAUGACAGGGUCAAGGCCGGGCAUUUCCUUGUAAGUCCAAGCAAAGACGUCUUUGUACUCUGAUAACAGUUGGUAAUACUCAUCUACCUCGUCUGCACUUAGCAGCGCACUCACGAAGAUAGGUUUCUGCUCAUCUUUUGUGCCUAAGUUGAGCUCCUUGAGAUCAUCAACCGUGGAUUGCCCCUCAUCCUCAAGUUGCGGUGGCGCAGCAGCGACAUCUUCUUCGGGGAUCUCAUCUUCUCCACUUUCUUGGAUUGUGAUGUGGAAGACAUCUUGGAAUUCCUCUUCGGUGUCGUCCUCUUGGGCCGGUCGGCAUGAAGAUUAUCCAGUGUGGAUGAUGGUGCGCCUUUUUACUUUCAGUGGUCCAUUUGUGUCCACCUCCAAGAUUGCUUGGCGCUUCAUCCUUAAAGGAAUUGAGCUUCGAAUAUCACAUUUUUCUGCUAUCAUGUCGAGUUUUCCUUCCUUUGACAUUGUCUUCCUAUUUCUGGAAAACUUCUUGCUGUCUUCAAGUCUUUCCAAAGCUGACUGACGAGGAAGAGAGCUAGUCGUGUUGCUUUGCCUCUUAGGUUUUGACAACCUUUCAAAAACAGAGCUUUGGGAUGCUGGCAUGUUAAGUCUCUUGAAGACGGAGGUUCGGUUUUGACCACCAAUGCGGUUAAGUGCUGACAUUCUGGAUCUUGAACGAUUCAUCCUAUCGAAGACUGACGUCCAAGGGGUGGAUUUAGGCUCAUUAUGAUCUUGUUCAAUACUCACGCUGAUGUGUUGGGUGCUAGCAUUUUUCGCUUUGCUUGAAAUCUUCACGGGUGCAUUUGGUGUGAAGCCUAGUCCAGCUUUGUUGUUAUCAACUCCGUAACCGUGCUUCUUCAACUUCUUUUGAGUCUCGGUGAGGUCACGUUCUUUAUUGUUAAUGGUGUUUGAAACCUUCUUUUCAUGAUUCGAAGAAGAAGCGAAGUCGUAGCCAGCUUUCGACAUGAGUUUAUAGGCGUUUGGAUCAAAACCUUCUUCGGCCCUCUGGGUUGGGAGAAAGCUCGGUUCCACCCCCUUUGGUAGAGCUUUUAUGAAGCCUUGUGGUAGUCUUGCGACCUUAGUGCCGCCUAGCUGUGUCAGAGGUAAAACUGCAUUCGUCUUGAGCAACUUUUACAUUAUCCAUAUGCCUCUGUGCAUCGGCUUUGUUUGCUCCAGUUUCAAACGGAGAUUGACCAUUCUUUCUUCUCGACAUCGGGAUGUAUCGGAAGACGGGUAUGUUUGGUCCAUUUGAGGGCAUCCUACUCCCCUUUGUUGUUGCUCGUUUAGCCAGCUCAUUAUCGUUCUUGCUUGAAGACGGCGUAACUUCUUCUUCUUGCUUCUUGGGCAUGGUUUGUCGCUCCUGCUUUUUAGGUGUUGCUUUGCCCGUGGAUUUGAUUUCUUUUGGAAGAGCUUCGGGUACCAUGUCUUCAUCCAUGUAGAACUUGGCGUCUGCGAAAUGUGAUUCGGCUUCAGUGAAUGGUUUGGUGUCGCCAUAGAUCACCUUCACUCCUUCUCGGUAGAAUUUUAAGCAUUGGUGAAGGGUGGACGGUACUACUCCAUUCGCAUGGAUCCAAGGCCUUCCUAAGAGUAAGCCGUAGGAAGUUUUCUUGCAUCAAUCACGUGGAAUAUCGUGCUCGACUUGAGUUCACCAAUAGUCAUCUCCACUCGGAUCAUGCCCAUCGCUCUUUGUCCUCCUUGAUUAAAACCUUGGAUUAGUAGACGACUUAGGGACAGCUCAUCUGCCUUGAUGCCGAUUGUAGUCAUUGUUGACUUUGGCAUGAUGUUUAUGGCUGAUCCACCAUCCACGAGCAUGCGGUUGACUUUGUGCCCCUUUACAUACCCAGAGAUGAAGAGAGGACGGUUGUGAGGCUUGGAUCCUAGCAGCAAGUCUUCGUCGGUGAAAUGGAUUGCAUCCUCGAUAGCACAACAUGUGGGCACAUUCAUGUGGCCGAAGCUUCAAGCCUUCGUUCUUGCUUUCUUGCACUUCAUGUUCAUUGGGACUUUCCAAGACCGCUGCUAAUGCUAUUCGCAUCUUCUUUGGUAAUCGUAGCGCUUCCUCAAUGCUAAAAAUGUGUUGGCAGACCUUCUUCGAGCGUGAGAGUUUUUUCUCCCUCAGUGGUGAUAUCUUUGCCUUUUGGAGGUUCUUCCGUUUCUACUUCGACCAUAUGGCAUGCAGCGAUAGUGCACUGUUGGAAGAAGUCAUUCGGGAAGUACUCGCGCAAGGAGACAGGAAUGCGUGGCUCUUGCUCCAUGGGUUCCCCAGCAUACGUUGGCUUAUUGACUUUUACGUUUCUUUUUAGGCUUCCUACUGUUGCGGCGACGGUUUUUUUCUCACUUGUUCCACCUUUGGUCUUGUGGCUUGUGGUUUUGGUUUCCUUGUUUUUUUGUAGGUCACCAAUGUCCAUCCUUCAUCAUCAUCAGUAUACGCAUCUUGUUCGUUUGCCCCCGGCGAUGGUUGAGUAGAUGGCGCCGUGUAGCUUGCACAUUGAUAGGAAUGGUCGGGUGUCGUUUGGAGAGGCACGGGAUCGAAGGAUCCGAACGCCACCGUAGUAGUAUGUGUUGCGGCUGUGUCCUCAAGGUCUAGCUCGAUUCUCCCUUGUUGCGCUAGCUUCAUAAUGAGUUCUUUGAGGACGAAGAACUUGCCCACAUGAUGGCUUACGAUACGAUGGUACUUGCAGUACCUAGGAUCGUUCGUUCGAUUCAUUUCUUCAGGGCGCUUGCACUCUGGUAACUCAAUUACCUUCUUUUCCAGCAAGUCAUCUAACAUCGCAUCCACGUCUGAGUCAGGAAAAGGGUACGUCUUUUGCUCCAACUUUCUCAAGGUGUUUUUAUACUUGUCUUGGGUGCGAGGAGGCUCACUUCUCUUUGUCUCAUUUGCCUUGGUCUUGGAGGAAAUCUUGAUAGGCGCAGAGGUGGUCUUGAUAGGCGCAGAUGGAGUUUUUGAUGGGGGUAGUGUUGACAGUAAAAGUUUCCUUGGCAGGCUUUUUUUCCAGUCUUGUCCACACUCGGGGCGAACACCUUAUCCUUCUUGAAGUGGGUGAUCGGCUCAUUCUUUCCGUGAUUGGCGAUACUCAGCUCCAUGUCGUGGGAACGCGUUGCCAGCUCCUCAAACGUUCUUGGUUUUAUGCCUUGGAGAAUGUAAUGUAACCCCCAGUGCAUGCCUUGAAACACACAUCUCAAUGGCAGAGGUUUCAGAAAGCCGAUCUUUGCAAUCCAGACUUAAUGAACGCCAUCUAUUGAUGUAGUCGACGACGGGUUCCUCCUUCCACUGUUUCGUACUGGUCAGCUCCAGCAUGCUUACGGUGCGGCGCGUGCUGUAGAAGCGGUUGAGGAAUUCCUUUUCUAGCUGAUCCCAACUGUUGAUAGACUCGGGCUCGAGGUCGGUGUACCAGUCAAAGGCGUUGCUUUUCAGCGAGUGCACGAAUUGCUUGACGAGGUAGUCUCCUUCUGUUCCAGCAUUGUUGCAGGUUUCAAUGAAGUGGGCGACAUGUUGCUUCGGGUUCCCCUUUCCAUCGAACUGCAUAAACUUUGGUGGUUGAUAACCCCUCGGCAUCUUCAAAGCGUCAAUCUUCUUGGAGUAGGGCUUUGAGUAUAGUACGGAAUCAUGUGAGCUUCCUUCAUACUGCACCUUGAUGGUGUUGGCGAUCAUCUCCUGCAGCUGCUGGAUAGAGAGAGACCCCAUGAGUGUCGCCGCUUGGUCCGACUUCAGUGUCUCUUCGACGUUCUCCACUGGAGGUUCCUCAUCCUCGUCGUUUUCCCUCUUUAUUGGAUUAUCCCCUUGCCUGACUUUCUCAUCGGGCUUUGCAUCUAGUUGGUUAACGAGUGCUGCGAUUUGUAGGUCUUUGUCCUCCACAGUCCUUGUGAGUUUUGCGAUUGUUUCACUCAUCUGAGCCAGCUGCUCCUCAAUUGAAGUCGCUCCAACAACCAUGACUUGCAUAGCUAUGCCGCUGCUUGAGUCGGCAUCAGAAAGUAAGGAUUCAGAGUACUUCCUCUGGCUUUCCUCUCUUGGCGCCCUGAGCGAGGCCACGGUGAUCACCGGUUUGUGCCUCGGGUGCUCUUGUGCCUUCGGCGGAGUUGAUGCAGGGGCGGAAGAGGCGGCAGAAAGAGCUUUUGCCUUGCUUCGAGUUAUGAUGCCUGAAGUGACGCCCCCUGUCGUGAUGGCGCUCUUGUUUCUUGCAUUGGCAGCGAGAACAACUUGGGCCUUCCUUGACGCCAUUUGUGCUUGUUGCGGAUUCAAAGAUAGAGAUGAGAGGUAGAGACUGUCCCACUGGGCGUGCCAAAUUUGUAAACACGGAAAAUUCCUGAAACGAAAGCUACAAGAACAACGUGCACAAACAAAUAUUUGUAUUAAUGAUUUAGGGGUUACAAUCUCUUCUACGAAUUUGGCCUCUGAUUCUAUCUUUGAAAUGCGUAGAUGUAGUGUUGCUGAUCCAGGGGCCGUCGAGGCUUGAUCUUGGACGAACAGUUGAUGAGUGAUGAACACCUUCUUCAAGGGCCGUCGGGGCUUGAUCUUGAAUGAGUGGAAGUUCUCCAAGGGGGGCGUUAGGGCUUGAUCUUGAAGGAGGAUUUCACGAAGAACGAAGAGGGCUUUCUUGAUCCUUCGGGAUUUGCUUGAGAGCUUCAGAGUUUCGAGGCUUCAAGGCUUUGGUGUGGUGUGAAUUCUCUUCCAAUUUGGGAGUAGAGAAAGUGUAUGCCAAAAUCCUCGCCUGAUUCUUUGAUGGAGGAGCCUAUUUAUAGACUUUGGGAAUGAACCACCACCAUCCAUUUAUUUUGGUGGAUGUUGUAGGUGAAUUUGGGUGGAGGUUGUAGGUGAAUUUGGAUGGAUUGUUGUAGGUGAAUUUGGGUGGAGGUUGUAGGUGAAUUUGGAUGGAUUGUUGUAGGUGAAUUUGGGUGUAUGUUGUAGGUGAAUUUGGGUGGAGGUUGUAGGUGAAUUUGGAGGUUGUAGGUGAAUUUGGAUGGAUUGUUGUAGGUGAAUUUGGGUGUAUGUUGUAGGUGAAUUUGGGUGGAGGUUGUAGGUGAAUUUGGAUGGAUUGUUGUAGGUGAAUUUGGAUGGAUUGUUGUAGGUGAAUUUGGGUGUAUGUUGUAGAUGAAUUUGGGUGGAGGUUGUAGGUGAAUUUGGAUGGAUUGUUGUAGGUGAAUUUGGAUGGAUUGUUGUAGGUGAAUUUGGGUGUAUGUUGUAGUUUUAAUGCAAUGGUCAACAUUUAUUUCACUAAAAUUUCAAUGUUUACAAAUGUAAUUUUAAUGCGAUGGCUAACAUUUAUUUCAACGAAAUUUCAAUGUCUACAGUAUUCAGAGUAUACAACUAACUCGAACACUAAAGAAAUACUAUAAAAUUGAAUGAAUAAAAGAAUGGGUCUACACCAAGAGAAAGAUGCGAUGCAAAAGUGCCUUGAAGUCAGGAUUGUACACCUCAAUUCUAAGUCCUAAGGGGGCUCAAAACUUUGAAUAUAGUCUUUCCAAAUAUAGGUAUAUAUAUCUCAAAAACAUCUUUAUAGUAUAAAGUUAUCCAUCAUCUAUACUAUAAAGAAGUGUGCAAAAGCAUGUUCUAAAUAGUAUAUCGUCAUCCAUCAGAUAUCCUAUAAAGAACAUGGAUUCAAUAGAAAAUAUGUUAUUCCAAAAUAUUCUAAGUAAGCAUAAUAUCUCAUAAAACAUUUCAUAAAACAUAAUCAUUAAAUCAUGUUUUUCAUGUAUUCAUUUCUAUUAUUAAAAUAUGUAUUUUAGAAGGGAUCCACUCACAGAUACUCCAUCGUCGUAGAGUUGUACCAAAUAGAAAUGACGGAAUCGCCGCUAUUAAUUGCACCUAAGUACAUUAACGGUCCAAUUAAUAAAACUAUAUUCAAAUGAUUGAAUUUGGAAAAACAGACAUUAAAAACGGGUCUAGGACGUUGAAAUUAGCCUAGGAAAAGUCUCAUACGAAAACCUGAAAAAGUCAACGUUGAUCGUUGAUUGGUCAAAGUCAAAGGCAACGCUGACCGUUAAUCGAGUCAAAGUCAACAGGUUCGGGUCAACGGGUCAACCAGGUCUGGUCUAACCGGGUCAAAGGGUCAACCAAGUCAAACCGGGUCUAGGCUUGGUUUGGGUUGGGCCUAGGGUCCAAGGGUUGACAGGUUUUGGGUUUAGGGUAAAUAGGCUGAAAGCUUGGGUUAUCACGGGCCAAAGCCUAGGGUUCUAGGGUUCUAAAAGGGUUAGGGCCCUGGGUUGCACAAGUGGGCCUGGGCUUGGAAGCCCGGCCCAGGGUUCAAGGUUUAAACAUGAAUUGGGCUUGAAGGCCAGGCCCAAAGCCCUUUGGGUUUCAGAAAAUAAAUCAAUGAAUGAAUAAUUAAUUAACUGGGUUGGGCUCGGGGAUUUAGUGGGCCAACGCCCGAAGGCCUAAAAGACAAUGGUUUAGGUUUGGGCUUCUCGCCGGGGUACAAGGCCAGAGUCUUCCAAGCUCCGGUCGACGCCAUUUCGCCAAUCUACCCUCCGAUCUAUUUACGAACAUGAAGAUACAAGAGAGGGGAAGAAUUUUGUUACCUUUGUUUCGCCGAGAGAAGACCGGAGGUGGCUGGAUUUGGGCUCGCACACCCAUGGUUCGCCGGACUUGGGUUUUGGGUGUCCUGGGGUUCCACAGAGACGAAGGGAGAGGGAGAGAAAGUCCGGGAGGGUGGUGCUGCUGCUCUGACGUCGUCGAGUGUCUCUAGGUGUGAGGGUGGUGCUGCGUCGAUCAGAAAAGGGAGAAUGAGAGAGAUUCGAGAUUGUUUCGGUUUAAUCAUACAGUAGCCAUAACAUAUAUUUUUUCUUUGUCAUCACACACACACACACACACAUAUAUAAAAUGCACUCUUUCUCCUUAUUUUUUCAAUUUCGAGUUCUAACUUUGACCGGUUUAAGGUUGUCUUUGAGGUCUUGUGUGUUGUUAGAGAGUUUUUUGUAUCCCCGAAAAAACAAAACAGAAGUAAAAGAAGAAGCUGCUGCAGACGUUUUUCUUUUUGUGUCUUCCUUUUCUCACCGUCAAUUUUGGUGCAGUAAAUAAUGCAACCAAUCUUUCCCUUUAUUUUGGUUCACAGCAUCCUUUGUUUACAAUAAAAAGUCCCUUACAAAACUCUUUUCAUCGAAAAACACCUAGUCAACUUUUCUUAUUAUUAAGAACAUGUAUUGUAUUAUAAGGAUAAAAGAUCGUACCCAGUACACACGACUUCCGCUUUACGCAGGAUCUAGGAGAGAUAUUGUAUUAUAAGGAUGAAAAACAAAAAUGAGUAGCACUUCAUGAGGUCCUUAAUAAUAAAGAAAGUGUCUUCAAUAAUACAAAAAGGUGUCCUUAAUGAUUAAGAAAGUUGUCUAAGAGUUUUUUUUUAAUAAAAAAAGGUUUUGCUAGGGGCAUUUUAUUGAUAUUCUAUUUUUUUGGCAAACAGUUCAUAGCAUCCGUUUAUUACUAAUUUUUAUACAAUAUAAUUUGCAGCAUGGGAGGUCUGGUUGUCAAGCAAACACUGCAUAAAGCAAGAGCAGAUAAUAUCGAUAACCUCGUGAAAAACACCAUUGGAGCUGUACGCACCUUUCUAUAAUUGAACAAUUCACUUACAAUGCUGUUCUUCACCUGUUUAUUAUCGUUUUCUAUAUGAGAACUCUGGUGUUUUAUGCUCGCUUUAGGUUUUCUAUAGCUGCCCACAUUUUGGAAGCAAACUAGCAGACAUGCCUUGGAGAAUAGGAUUUGUAUUUCGCCCAGCACCGACUGUUAGUAUAUGAUGUUUCCAACCUAAACGUUUUCCUCCCUAUAGUAGAUCGCUGGUUCUGAAUGUUCGGACCAGCAAAUCUUGCUGCAUUGAUGUUGAUAGAAUUACUUCUUGAUGUUUCGUAGAUAGGGGAGCUAAGAAGUGGAUCUCCAAGAUUAGUAGAACUUAAUGACUUUAUCCGUCAGCUUCACAAGAAGGGGAUGCUUCAAGUCCUCAGUUUCUGUGAGGUACCUCUAAAGUUUUGUGGUGGUGCUUGUGUCAAUAUGCGAUUUUGUGAACUUGUUAAUUAGGUAAUGACUCCUUUUGCAGACCAAGGUAACUCCAAUUGUGGAAGGUUACGGCGGAUGGGCCUUCCGAAUGGAAAUUGUACCAAUUGAAUCAGCAUAUCCUGGAUUUGGUGAUCUCGUUGUAAGUAUGAUUGCAAACAAAUGUAGAUCGCUAAAAAAUCGGUUAGGUCAUCUGCCUAAAAAAAUGAUGCUAACAAACCCUAGACUAUAACUUGCUUCCAGUAAUUAGUGUUCCAUAUUCUACAUGUCUGUUUAUUUUCGGCAUUAAUUUGUAACUUUGGAACAGGUAUUAGAUUCAACAGAUCACAUAAACUCGUGCAAACCACUUAGCCGCAGUGAUCCCUCAUAUACAGAGAUACUACCGUUUUUGCGGAAGCUGAAAGCAAGCCAGAAAUAAGCAGGCAGUUGUAAAGGGAGCAUGCCUCAGGGAUUAUGUUCACGAAUGUUCCAAAUCCAAGCGCGCCAGGAGUCACCGGUGGAUUUUCAUCCAAAGGGAUCAGGUAACCUCGAGUCAUUACUGGGCGGAGGGGGAGGCGGAAACGGAAGCAAAAGCAUAAUUUUGACACAUCAGAGUUUCGUCCAUAGUUUUGACACAUCAGAUUUCUGUACAUUCUCCACCACCCAGAGAGUUGCAUAACCAUUAUUCUUUGUACUCUGUUAGCAUUGUUGUAUCAUUAACAUUUUUUAAUUUGUAGAAAAAAGCAACUGUUGUAUCGUAUCAUAUGCAUAAUAGAUGUAACACUUCAGAGUCGAUCCGUGUAUAUUUGUGAAAGACUAUGUAACACUUUGCUGCGUACCAACGUCUUCUUGGCCCUCGCAAAACAGAGCAGAAAACUUUGUUGACUUGGAGGCAUUGUAAUUAUUUAAAAAUAAAUGUCGUGGAUGUAAAUUAUAAAAGUAGCAAAUAUUUGAAGAUAAAUGUUAUUUAUUUGUGUUAUUAGCUUAGGGAGCUCGAGACGGUGUGACACAGUUUGCAACGUAACACCGUUAACGAUGUCGUCGACGUUAAUGGAGAAAGCGGUCUCGGCAUCAAUGGCCCAUUUCGUCUUUCCACACCCUCACUAGUCGAAAAGGCCCUCGAUAAUUUUAACGACAAAGGUGUUGAAUUGUAAUCUUGUCUUGGCCCAAAGAUAAUGGAUCUAGUCCAUGCACAAAGAAAGAUCCAUACACAUGCUAGAGAAUUCUAGCAAAGUUCAAGUUGGUGGAAGAGUUUAGAAGAAUUGUGAGGAUUCCACCAACAUACAAGAUUAGUGUAGAUAAUUCUAGCAUAGGAAGGUAAUGGAAUUAUCUAGAUAUAUCUAGCAUUAUGUUUCCAUGCUUCUCCAAGGUUCCAUCCAUGCCUAUAAAAGGAGAAGGCAUCCACACCAUUUGAAACAACCAAGAAAGCAAGUAGCAAGAAGAAGUGAAAACAACCAAGAAAGCAAGUAGUGAGAAGUGGGAAGAAGCAACAAAGCUUCUAAGAGUGUUUGAGUGUUUCAUCUUGUACUAAGUUUGUGAGUGAAUAAAAAAUCUUGUGUAAUACCUUGAGUAUUCUUUCUUUCUCUUGCCUAUCAAUUCCGCCGCAUUACAUUCUUCUUUGUGAGAUAAACAUCUCUAAAGUAGUGAAGUCUUUUUAAACCCCAACAAAGUGGUAUCAGAGCUAUGGCUAGCAACGCUAUGGCAGCCUUCCAAGUUCCAGUGCUCGACAACAACAACUUCGAUAAUUGGAGUAUCAAAAUGAAGGCCCUUUUGGGAGCACAUGAUGUCUGGGAAGUCGUGGAGAAAGGCUACACUGAGCCAGAAGAUGAAGCUACUUUGUCCCAACCCCAGAAUGAGAGUUUGAAAGACUCAAGAAAGAGAGACCAGAAGGCUCUCUACCUCAUCUACUAAGCAUUAGAUGACAAUGGCUUUAAGAAGGUCUCGAGUGCAACCUCGGCCAAGCAAGCAUGGGAGAAGCUUCAAACCUCUUACAAAGGAGCCGAACAAGUGAAAAAGGUUUGUCUUCAAGUAUUAAGAAGUGAGUUCGAAUCUCUACAUAUGAAAGGGUCUAAAUCAAUCUUUGAUUAUUUCUCAAGAGUCUUAGCCGUUUCCAAUCAAUUAAAAAGAAACAGAGAAAAGUUAGAAGAUGUUAGAAUUAUGGAGAAGAUACUACGCUAGUUGGACCCCAAGUUCGAGCACAUUGUCGUGACGAUUGAAGAAACUAAAAACUUGGAAGAAAUUAGUAUAGAACAAUUAAUGGGUUUGCUAUAAGCAUAUGAAGAUAAACAUAAGAAGAGGCAAGGGAAUGAUGAGCAGCUCCUCAAGACGCAUGUCCAGCCAAAGAAGAAAGAAGAAAGCUUGGACAACGAGAGAAGCCAGUACGAAAGAAGUCGUGGUCAAGGUCGCGGACGUGGACAUGGACGUGGACGUGGUUGGAACUUCAACAAUCAUAACAACUACGAAAGAGAAGGAAGCUCAACAAAUGGUCGUGGAAGAGGACGCUCAAACUUGAGGUAUGAAAAAUCUCAAGUUCAAUGCUACAAUUGUCAAAAGUUUGGGCAUUAUGCUUGGGAAUGUAGAGCUCCAAGCAACAGGCCUGAUAAGAAGGUCAAUUAUGUGAAAGAAGAGAAAGAAGAUAAUGGCCUUGUGCUACUAGCAUGCCAGAACAAUGAUGGAGACCAAGACUAUACAUGGUAUCUUGACACCGGCGCCAGCAACCACAUGUGCGGAAGAAGAAGCAUGUUCGUAGAGCUCAAUAAAUCGAUGAGUGGCAACGUUUCUUUUGGAGACGAAUCCAAAAUACCCGUAAAAGGAAAAGGUAACAUCCUUAUUCCCCUAAAAAAUGGCGGUCACCAAGUAAUUUCAAAUGUCUACUACGUGCCCAAUAUGAAAAGCAACAUUUUAAGUUUGGGUCAACUCUUAGAAAAAGGUUAUGAUAUUCACAUGAAAAAUUAUAGCCUCUUUCUUAGAGAUGACAAAGGAAGAUUAAUUGCCAAGGUGAAAAUGUCAAAGAAUAGGAUGUUUCCUAUGAAUAUUCAAAAUGACGUUGCAAAGUGCACAGACACAUCCUGGCUUUGGAAUCUUCAUUUUGGGCAUCUUAACUUUGGGGGACUCGAGUUAUUGUCCAAGAAGGAGAUGGUGAGAGGCUUACCGUGCAUUAGCCACCCUGAUCAAGUUUGCGAAUGAUGUUUACUUGGGAAACAGUUCAGGAAAAGCUUUCCAAAUGAGUCAACCAUAAGAGCCCAGAAGCCACUCGAGCUUAUUCACACCGAUGUGUGCGGUCCAAUAAAACCAAGCUCUUUGGGUAAAAAUAAUUAUUUCCUUCUCUUCAUUGAUGAUUUUUCAAGGAAAACCUGGGUGUAUUUCUUAAAGUUGAAAUCAGAGGUAUUUGGAGCAUUCAAGAAGUUCAAAGCCGCCGUAGAAAAAGAAAGUGGUUGCAAGAUCAAAGCCAAGGAGGAGAAUUCACUUCGAAGGAAUUUCAAGAAUUUAGUGAUGCCAAGGGAAUUCGUCGACCAUUGACAGUUCCAAGAUCCCCUCAACAAAAUGGUGUGGCAGAAAUAAAAUCAAACCAUUCUCGACAUGGCUCGAAGUAUGCUCAAAAGCAAGAGAUUGCCUAAGGAGUGGUGCGCAGAAGCUAUAGCAUGUGCUAUCUACCUAUCCAAUCGGUCUCCAACAAGAAGUGUGUGGGGGAAGACUCCGCAAGAAGCAUGGAGUGGAAGAAAACCAGGUAUCUCCCAUCUAAGAGUUUUUGGAAGCAUAUCCCAUGUACAUGUACCAGACGAGAAGAGACCAAACUCGACGACAAAAGUGAGAAAUUCAUCUUCAUCGGCUAUGACUCAAUUUCAAAAGGCUAUAAGCUGUAUAAUCUAAACAAUGGGAAGAUGAUGAUCAGUCGAGACGUGACAUUCGAUGAAGAAGGAGAAUUGGAUUUUGGUUCCCAUGUAGGUGAUCUUCACUUCUUUCCUCAGUUUGAAGAAGAUAAUGAACAAGGGAUGAUAGAGCAAGCAAGAGAAGUUCAACAAGAAUCCACUACUCUACCUACUUCACGAACAUUAACCAAUCAUGGCAAUUCACCAGCAUCAACAUCAUCAAGUGAGAGUCUAAAUGAAAGAGAAGUACCACGCACAAGAAGUCUACGAGAUCUUUAUGAGGUAGCUGAAAGACUCGAUAAUCCUACACUUUUCUGUCUCUUUGCUGAUUGUGAACUAGUUGACUUCCAAGAAGCAGUGCAAGAUACUAAGUGGAGGAAAGCAAUGGAUGAAGAAAUUGAAGCAAUCCAGAAGAAUGAUACAUGGGAAAUCGCUAUUCUUCCGAAAUGACACAAAGCCAUCGGAGUCAAGUGGGUGUACAAGACAAAGAAAAAUGCCAACGGAGAGGUUGAAAGAUACAAGGCGAGAUUAGUGGCGAAGGGCUAUAGUCAAAGAGCCGGAAUCGACUAUGAUGAGGUAUUUGCACCCGUUGUUCGGUUGGAAACUAUACGAUUACUAAUUUCUUUGGCAGCUCAAAACAAAUGGAAGAUUCAACAAAUGGAUGUGAAGUUUGCUUUCCUAAAUGGAGUCCUUGAAGAAGAAGUCUACAUUCAGCAACCGUCAGGCUAUGAAAUCAAAAGGCAUGAAGACAAAGUUCUGAAGCUGAAGAAAGCCCUCUAUGGGUUAAAACAAGCGCCAUGAGCAUGGAAUAGUCGCAUUGACAAGUACUUCCAAGAAAACAACUUCACCAAGUGCCCUCAUGAACAUGCUCUCUACAUCAAAGUCAAAGAUGAAGAUAUUCUAAUUGUGUGCUUAUAUGUGGAUGAUCUAAUCUUCACCAGAAGUAAUCUAAGCAUGUAUGAAGAGUUCAAAAGAGACAUUAGGAAAUAGUGUGAGAGAAUGAUCUCCUUUUAUAGAAGAAAGUUUCUAGCUUUGUUCUGACAUUGACACGUGUCGUGUUGUGAUUGGCUUAUGAUGUUGACACAUGUCGCGCUAUGAUUGGCUUCUGAUGUCGACACGUGUCGUACUGUGAUUGGCCUCCUGGUUGGAGGGAAACUCUUCUAGGUCCUUGACGGUAUAACAUUGAUAGGUGCUCGAUAGUUUUGGGAUUGGUCAAGUAUGGUACAAACAACAUUAAUAAUUUGUGGUCAAGUUCUAGUAGCAAGUAUGGUACAAACAACAUUAAUAAUUUGUGGUCAAGUUCUAGUGGCAAGUUGUACAUAUCGAUUAGGGGCUUCCUGUCCUUACGUGGCUUAUGGUUUGAUUAUGGCAGCUCGCUUAUAAGACUUGAGUUAUGUGCUUCUGGAACUUCCAACAAUGGCUUCAAGUCUCAACCAAAUAUAUAGCAAAUAAUAUUUUAAAGAAAUUAAAAUAGUAUUAUUAUCAAAGUAAUAUUUUUCUUUUGAAAAUUUUACUCGUAAAUAGUUGAAAAAAAAUUCUAUAAAUUAUUUUGUUAUAGUAAUCGAACCUAGUUUUGAUUUCGAUCCAUUAAGUCAGUAAACGUUUGGGUAGCAGAAUCAUUUCAAUUCUUGACUUCUAUGUGUUUACUAACACAUAAACAUAAGCAUUUCUAAUUUAUGACUUUUCUUUGCGUUUGCAAACACAUGAAAAUUAACGAGUUAUAUAAAUUUCAUAUUAUACUUCGUAUUUGUAAUUCAAUACAUGAAAAAUUAAGAAUUAAAUUAAUUAGAAAAAUACUUUAUAUCAUUUUAUUUAUUCUCUCCAUAUUGUCCUGGGCAACAUUUCUAAAUUCAGCCUGUACAAAACCCUAGGCAACAUUUCUAAAUUCAGCAUGUCUAAAACUGACACACCCCGUCCCGAAGGAGGGCAUGCUGGCCGUCACGUGAGAGUGACGUAACCAUUUGCACAGUACGGAAGCUUUAAGAUACAAUUUAUAAGUUGAUACACCCGAAGGUGCGUCCUAAUUUUGUCCAAUCUGUCAGAACACCGUCGAAUUCCUCGUAGCCACCACACCUUUGUGAUUCCUGAACCUGGAGGGGCGCAAAACCAAAAUUGAGUGGGUCAGUAAAACAAUUCUUUUCCAAAUCCAAACAUUUCUCAAAACGUUGUAACCCCUCUCCGUAAAACUUGUAUACUUUCCCAGAAAUGUAAAAUAUAAAUAUACAUAUAUAUUCUCAAAACUUCAUUUUUACUAUCUCAACAUUUUUCUUUAUCAAUCAUGCCAUGCCAUGUCUAAUUCAACAGUUAAGUAUGGAUGCAUCAACAAUAAUCAUAUCAGGUGCAAGAAAGUAAUCAACCGGAGGCCCUCUAAUAGCCCUGUACGGUUGAACCUAGAGCUCAAAAUCUAUCACUCUCACUCUGCCGGAGUCACCUCUGUGACCUGUACGGCCUUCUGCACACAAGUUACGCUCUAGUGCUUUCUCAUCAAUCAUCUGUGCACAUAAUCUAAGGUCACCCACCAGUCGAAAUCUCACUAACACUCUACGACUGGCCCGUCGCACCCACUCCGCGUGGACUGUGCGACCAGCAUCUACUUGGAUCCAAGGCGAGCGUGCGAUGCGGUGAAUACUAUAAGCACUAAACCAUGGUGCAGGAUUUGAGCUCAAUAUAUAUCAACAUCAUCAUAACAGUAUUUAAAUACUCACCUGAUACUCACCUGUGCGUCCGCCGCACCAAUUCAUACAUAUGCAUCAUAUAUCAAUUCAUAUCAUUUCAUGCAUGGCAAUUCGAUUCACAUUUUUCAUAUAAUUCUAUAUACUUUUCGCAUACUUCUAUGCAUGGCAUUUCAACUAAUAUAUCUCAUAUACUUUUAUACAUUUUCAUUUAAAGCAUAAUUUCAUGCAUUUUCAAUUUCUGGGAAAACGGCAAGUAUAUAUGUAUACGGAAAACAAAACUGCCCACUCACAGAAUACAUCGACGUGUCGAAGGUCCCUGAGCCUCCCUUAGCCAUGCCCAAUGUCCGUAUAAUCCUCGCCUAUACGAGAAAUAACCGAAUUAACAUUAUUUAACGCAUAACCUAAUUCUUAGCUAAUAACUCCUCAUAAAUUGCUCAAAUUGGGUAUAUGAAUAUACCACUGUGACCUACACAACCUCAGGAUCAUCCCCAUAUUUUUAAAAUAAUUUUUGGAGUCCUCACGCGCCCCCACGCGCCUGACGUGGCACGGACCUACGCGCCCCCACGCGCGGCCACGUGCAAUGCAUGCUGACGGUGUCAAUUGACGCCGUCAGGAAUAUUCCGUUAAACCCUGGAAUAUUCCGUUAGACUUAACCGGAUACCGUUACUGCCGUUAGGAAUAUUCCGUUAAAAAUAACAGAAUAUUCCUUCUUCUUCUCUGGUCGUCCCUCGCCGGACUCCGGUCACCGGAAACUGGGGAAUAUUUCAAAUCCACUAUUCUCCUUCGUUUUUCAUCCAAAUUUCUCGAAUUUUACACCAAUUUGAAGCCCUAAACAUCUACUUUCAUGUUGGACUAGUUUUAGGGCCUAAAAACUACGAGAUCAAACUUUUCAAAAAUUCAAGAAAUCGGCCAAACUUACAACUCGUGAUCCCGACGUCCAUUUUGUUCAAACGAGGCACUCCGAGCCUCCUCGUGACCUCCUUAAGCUCACUGUGAGCUUGUUUUAGCCUAAAACAAAGCCAAUUCGAAGUUCAUGAACAGUGCAAUAUCACGGGGUCCUUGAAAACUAGGGUUUUUGAAAUGAAACUCACCUGAAUUUAGUACCCACGUGAUCGUGAAGUCCUCAGGAUUCCAAUGGUGGUCUCAAACUUGACGUUGGUGGAAGUUUUAGGGUGUUUUUGAAGUUGGUCCGUGAGUUCGAAGGAGAGAGAGACAGAGAGAGUGAGAAAUCGUGAAGGAGGAGAGAGAGAGUGACAAGGUACGGGAAUUGGGGAAGGUUUUGAGGGAUGUGGGGAUCCCCCGUGUCCAACUCAAUCUCAAUUUCAAACUUUUAACAUAGAAACCUAAGUAAAAGUCUUGGCUUAGGUUUCUAAAACCAAUUAAUAUUCUAAUUCACCAAAGUUUAAGAACCUUAAGUAAAAACAAGUGUCCAAUUUACGCACUUUAGUCUCGUUUAGGGACAUUUUCGUAACUUCACGUCCUCGGAAUUAAAAAUUCCGGGACGGGCUGUGACAAAAACCCUAGGCAGCAUUUAAGUUCAGAGAAAUUAUCUAUUGAAAUUACAAAGUCUAGAUCCAAGUAAUAAAUACAUUGUGGCCGUGAGUCUAGAGAUAAAAAAUAGGGAUCCAUCCAAAUCUUGAUGGACACGUCCUAAUCCCAAUAUCCCUUUAAUACCAAGAUGGAUACGUGCUGGCCGACACCCGAAGGUAACAAAGCCAUUUUAAACAUGCCUACAAAGAAAAUAUGUAAUUAUAAAGAAAAAUGCCAUUGCAUGAAUGUGUUCAGAGUAUACAACUAUUCAAGAAUAAUAUGAAAGAAUUAUUAUAAAAAGAUACGAACAAAGAAAUUAUCUAUUGAAAUUACAAAGUCUAGAUCCAAGUAAUAAAUACAGUGUGGCCGCGAGUCUAGAGAUAAAAGAUAAGGAUCCAUCCAAAUCUUGAUUGACAUGUCCCGAUCCUAAUAUCCCUAUAAUACCAGGAUGAGUACGUGAUGGCCGACAUCCGAGGGUAACGAAGCCAUUUUAAACAUGCCUACAAAGAAAAUAUGUAAUUAUAAAGAAAAAUGCCAAUACAUGAAUGUGUUCAGAGCAUACAACUAAUAAAAAAUAAUGUGAAAGAAUUAUUAUAAAGAGAUAUGAACAAAGGAAUGGGUCCUACACAGAGAAGACUCGAAGAUACCUAUGCGAUACCUAUGCGUAAGUGCCCUAACGCCGGGACCGUGUGCCUUGAUUCUAACUCCUGAAUGGGGUGUAAAACAAAGGAUGAGUGGACCAAAGUUUAUAAUAAUAAUACUAAUAAUAAGAAAACCAUUUUCUUUCUGAACACACUAACCCCCUAUUUUGAAAACACAUAUGUAUAGUACUACAUAAUAGGUUUUUUGAAAACUCUAGCAUGCCAUGAAAAAUGUUUGUAAAACAAGUACGUAGAAUCUAGAGCACCAGUGCUUGGUAAAGGUAAUAUAGUCGCCCGAAGGCAAAUCUGUAAAACAUUCAUAAAUCACAUAAAUGAUGUACUCAACUAGGGAUAUCAUAGUGGCUCGAAGGCAUAACCAUCACCCGAAGGUGAAGUUGUACGACAUCGGGAUACACAAGUGAAGAAAUAUAGGAUCCAUCACCCGAAGGUGAAGCUGUAAGACUUUGGGUUACGCUAAAGAAGAAACAUAUAUACAUAUAUAUAUACACAUAUAUAUAUAUAUGUAUAUAUAUAUAUAUAUAUAUAUGUAUAUGUAUGUGUAGUGGGUCCAUCACUCGAAGGUGAAACUGUAUGACUCUGAGUUACGCCAGAGAAGAAACAAAUAUAUAUAUAUGUAUAUGUAUAUGUAUAUGUAAUGGGUCCAUCACUUGAAGGUGAAGCAGUAUGACUCUGGGUUACGUCAGAGAAGAAAUAUAGGGUCAAUUACCCGAAGGUGAAGCUCUACGACUCUGGGUUACGCGACUUAUGCCAGAGAAGAAAUAUAAGGUCUAUCACCUGAAGGUGAAGCUGUACGACUCUAGAUUACGCCAGAGAAGAAACAUUUACAUAUAACAUAACACACCGACACUAGCCCCAGGCUAAUGAGGCUGGAAGUAUGUCACAAAUAUCAUCAAUUGUAUACUAUGGUCAUAGACGUCUACAUACUCGGUUGUGUGUAUGUGUUGUAUGAUAACCCAUUAGUUAAGCACCGAAAACAUAUCUCAAAAAUCUCAUAUCAAAUCUAGAGCUCAAAAGCUCAAAGGCUCAUCUCAUAAAUCCAUGAUAACUCAUUUUCGUAAAUCCAUAGAAUUUCAUAUACGAAAAUUCAAUAAUUCAUAACCCUUAGUAAAACAUAAAUUCGAUAAAUCAUAAAUAUUUUGUAAAAGUAAGUUAAAUAAAUCAUAAAUUCUCCGUAAACCCUAAGUAUGGAAAUCCGUAAAACAUAAUAUAAAACAUAUUCAAUUCGUGAAAUAUGCAAUGCAUGCAAGCCUAAUAUUUUAUAAAAACAUGCAAUUCAAGAAGGGGUCCACUCACAUAUAUUUUUUUUCCAGGGAGCCGCUCGAACUAGAGAAGACAAUGUCACUUCCCACCGACGCACCUAAACACAAAUAGAGGCCAUUUAAUAAAACUCUACUAAAACGAUAGAAUUUGAUAUUCUUUGUACAAGACAAGGCAACUUGAAGGAUAUUGUACCAAGGAAAUAGUGAUGAUGGGCUGUUCAAGAUACCAAUUACAAUGUUGUUCAAGUCUAGUGUUACAAGAAUGGGAAAGUGUGCUGCAUUUGUUGGUAAGAAGAUUAAAGCUACAAUUUGGCAUAAAAGGUUGGGACAUUCAUCUGAAUAAGUUCUUAGUAUGAUGCUGCAGAAUAAUGAGUUGUCAAAUAGUAUAGAUUCAUGUUAAUCCAUGUGUACUUCUUGUAUUCAAGGAAAAUUGAGUAGGCUGCCAUUUCAUAUAAAGCAAGAUAGGUCUACUGUUAUUUUGAGAAAAUCCUUCAGAUGUAUAAAGGCCUUCACCUGUGAAAUAUGUGGAAGGUUAUAGGUAUUACUUACCUUUGUUGAUGAUUAUUCUAGGUUUGUAUGGAUAUUUCCAAUGGUGAAUAAAUCAGAUGCUUUCUCAAUUUUUACAAAGUUCCAUGCCUUUGUUUUGAACCAGUUUCAAGUGUCAAUCAAAAUUUUACAAUCUGAUGGCGGAUGAGAGUAUAUGAGUAAUUUGUUUAAAGAAUUUUUGGAUGCAAAGGGUAUUAUACACCAUGUUUCCUGUCCUCACACUCCCCAACAUAAUAGAGUUACUGAGAAGAAAAAGAGGCAUGUAGUUGAGACAGUUAUCAGUUUGAUGUCAGAUGCACAACUACAUAUUCAUUUUUGGUAUCAUGCAUGUUCUCAUGCAGCUUUUCUAAUCAAUCGAAUGCCUAGUAGAGGCUUACACAUGAAAUCUCCAUAUCAGAUUGUGUUUUAGACUAUUCCUAACAUGAAGAAUCUUAAGGUAUUUGGCACACAGUCUAUCAAUUACUGAGAUCAUUCAAUCAUAAUAAAUUGGAACCAAGAUCAACUCAGUGUAUUUCUUGGUUUUGCGCAUGGUUAUAAGGGAGUAAUAUGUUAUGACAAUAAGACCAGAAUGAUUAUUUUGUCUAGACAUGUAAUUCAUGAUGAAGACAUCAUUUUAAGCAUGUUUCAACACAGAAGACCUCAAGUGUAGUGCAAAUAUCAUUACAACCCCCAGUUCUAAUACAUUUACAAGUUCCAGGUGUUAGAUCAUCCACUUCUGCACAACUUUAAUACAAUUUUCAAGACCUUAACUCAGUGUCUAUCAUAACUGGUGAUGUAAGUGCAGGUUCUGAUAGUCCUGCUAUUCAUGAAACAGUUCAAAACACAGAAGGAGUUAACAGUUCUGGAGUGUUGCACAAGAGCAAUGAUAUCACAUCAUUAACAUCUUCACAACAUCUCUCCCCAUUACACCAUCACUCUGGUACAAUAUUUGUAUUACCUGUCCUCUGAUGGAAUUCAACAACUUGUCACUUGAACUCAUUCAAUGCUCACUAGACUAAAGAAUAGAGCAAUUGAAAGAAGAAAUUAUGUUGCACUGGUUAUAGCUUUUCCGGAGUUACAAUCUUUGCAAAUUAUAGAUGAAGAACCAUUCACUGGUGGGUAUUCAUUUGUUUUUGAAAUUUCUGAUGUACUUGAACCUGCUACAUUUCGAAAAGUAGCAACUAUACCAUAAUGGCAAACAAAAAUGCAAGAAGAGCAUGACUCUCUUAGAGCUUAAAAGACAUCGGUUUUAGUUCCACCACCUCAAGAUAGAGCAAUUGUAGGGAGUAAAUGGGUGUACAAGGUUAAGAAGAAUCUAGAUGGCAAUGUGUCAAGGUAUAAAGCAAGGUUGGUAGGUCAGGGUUUUUCUCAAGAACAUGGUAUUGAUUAUCUCGAUACUUUUAGUCCAGUUGUAAGGCAUACCACUGUGAGAAUCCUUCUAGCUUUAGCUGCUACCAAUCAUUAGAUUCUCAGGCAAUUGGAUAUUAAAAAUGCAUUUCUGCAUGGAGAUUUGCAAGAAGAGGUAUACAUGAAGCAAUCUUAGGGCUUUGUUGAUCCAUCCUAUCCCUUUCAUGUUUGUAAGUUGAUUAAGUCCUUAUAUGGAUUGAAACAGGCACCAAGAGCCUGGAAUUCGAAAUUCACUAGCUAUUUGACAGUCUUGGGUUUCAAAGCUUCAGCCUCGGAUACUAGUCUCUUUGUUAAACAAGAUGGAUCAGAUAUUAUCAUCCUAUUAUUAUAUGUGGAUGAUAUUAUUUUGACUGGUUUAAAUGCUACAAAAGUUUAAAAAGUGGUGCAAGAAUUAUCUGAAGUCUUUGAGUUGAAGGAUAUGGGAAAGCUUACUUAUUUUCUGGGAUUGCAACUCCAAUAUCAAAGUGAUGGAGACAUAUUUGUAAACCAGUCCAAGUAUGUCGAGGAUUUAAUCCACAAGGCAGGAAUGGACUCUUGUAAACCUGCAAAUACCCCGUGUAAGCCAUAUCAUCAAAUGCUGCAAAUAGAAAGAGAGUUACUCACAGAUCCAUCAAUGUAUAGAAAUUUAGUUGGUUUAUUAGAUCCUUCAUUAGGCCAAAUAUUGCAUUUGCAGUAAAUAUUGUAUGUCAGUUCAUGUCUACACCAACUGAUAUACAUUUUGGAGCUCUUAAAAAGGAUCCUAAGGUACCUCCAAGGGACAAUCAACACUGGAAUUAGUUUUAAUGCAGAUACGGUUACUCUAAUCAAUGCAUUCUCAGAUUCGGAUUGGGCUGCGGAUUGGAAUACUCGAAGAUCAAUCACAAGAUAUGUGGUUCACUUGGGCAAUAAUCCAAUUUUGUGGCAAUCGAAGAAACAAAACUCAGUUUCUCAAAGUUCAAUUGAAGCCGAAUACAAAGCUUUGGCACACAUUGUAGCUGAUAUAGCUUGGAUAAGGAAUAUAUUGAAGGAUUUGAAGGUGUUUGUUCAUAGUCCACCUGUCAUUCACUGUGACAAUAUGUCUGCUAUUGCAUUAAGUGAAAACCCAAUUUUCUAUUCAAGGAUUAAACAUCUUGAUACAUACCAUCAUUUUGUAAGAGAGAGAGGGCAGCAAGGAGAUUUACAGAUCCAAUACAUACCAACUGAAGAGCAACCUGCGAAUGUAUUAACUAAGGGUUUACAUAGUCCUGCUUUUAUCAAGCAUUGUUACAAUCUCAAGCUGCAGAAUCCCAGCUGAGAUUGAGGGGGAUGAAGACUGUGAUAAUGCUGCCACAUCAUCAUCUAUUGCAGUUAAGAAAUGUAAUACAUCAGCGCCACAUCAGCUGUCAAAUUAGUUAGGAAGUUAGGUGGUUAUGAUGCUAGCUUGCAUGCUGAGCUGCUGCUACUACUACUACUAGCAAUAUAUACGGCUUGUAUUGUGACUGAUGGAAUCAUCUAAGAAAUCUCAGAAGCUUGAUUCUCUCAAUUCUCUCUCAUACAUUCGCUUUAGUUUUCUGCAUUUUCUUCCAUUGAUACGUACUGUGAUACAUGUAUCAGUAUGUGAGAGUUGAGAAAUUAAUCCAAAAUCUCAUAAUUUCACUCUGCAUAUUCGAUUUAAUAUCCUCCAAAUAUAUUCAUAAUGCUGCCUGAAUAGGAUGGCUGCUUCUUGUAAUUGUAUACUCUAAUACUCUUGCGUAUACCAUGAUGAAGAACUGUGUAGGACUGUAAUACCGUGUUUUUAAAAUGAAAGCUUAAUUUUAUUGAGUAUCCAACAACCAACAAAUUAACAAAAGAAUGAAUAUAUCGAUUACAGAGAGAUCUACAGUGAUAUCCCAACAGGGAUUUAUUAGAACACAAACAAAUAUUAAGAGAUGGAGUAUAUGGUUGCCAUUUGCCCCCAUACCCUUGAAUUAUCCAUAAUUUACAUUUCCAAACAGUAUAAUUUAAAGAAUAAUGACUUGUCAUCGUCUUAGGGUAACAAUUAAUCAGUAAGUACUUUCAGUAUGCCCGUUGGUUGACCCUGCUUGGCGCCCCCUCUUCUCUUCCGACAGUAGUUUAGCAAACCUGAAAAUUGUAGUAAUUAAAUUACAAUUUUUCACUACUCACCAAUUACAUAUAUAAAUCUGUUGGUUUAAUGAUAAAUAUUUUACCUUGUAUGAGCCUCUGCAUUUGUCUCAUGCUUAGUAGCCUCAAACCUGCCACUGUCCAAAUUAACCCGAGAAACCGGUUUUUUCAAUAGCCCUUCUCCAACUUUCACAAGAUUGGUCAAAUUCUUCUUUGUGGCUAUAUCCACAGAAGCUAUUGUCCCACGAAGGGUAUCAUCCUACGUUUGGUAUCAGAAAUGAUGUCAGUUUUUGUGUCUAAACAACAUUAUUCUAAAAAAAAGUUAUACUGAUGAAUCUAUGGAUAAAAUGCAUUUCGGAUGACGGGUUCAGUACCUGAAUUCUAAGAUAAUUUUCUUCAGAAUGAAGGGCUUGGAAAAUUGCAGAAAGGUGAAGAUCAACCAUAUCGUUGCUUGCUUGACUGAAAGCAUUAAUGAUGGGGGUGGAGCCACCGCUGGUUAACCAAUUCAACAGGCCCCAUUUCGCUGAAGAGCUUGCAUGGUAUUUCAUUUCAGCUUUUGAUGAACCAGUUCCUAAUGAUAUCACUAGAAAUCUCCCAUAGUCCAUAGGUUUCACAGGAAAAACGUCUGGAUUCGCCUUCCUUAUUUCGUUUGUAACUUCACAAACAGCAAGUAAAGUCUGCAAGGACAAAAGUGUUUUGAGUGUUUAAGUUAAUUUUUUAUAACGGAUAUUUUGGAUGCGGUCCCUAAUCCUUAACAUUCUUUGAUUAAAACCUUAAUAUUAUUCAAAGUUUGAUCAAGGUCCCUUGACUUUGUACACCUCAUUAUAUUACUAUUAAUAUUUAUAUUUUUAUAGUUUUGACAUUAAUUAUUUGAUUUUAUGAGAUUUAUAAUCCUAUAAAUUUAAAAUCCCUCAUUAUAAUACUAUUAGAAACGGUUACAAUAAAAAAAUUCAAACAUUUUGAUUGAAUAAAUGGAUAAAAAAUAUGUAAAAAUAAGAAAUAAUAAAUGGCAAAAGAAUGUAUCCAUAGUGUUAAAAAAAUUGGUACAUUUUACAAAAAAAUUGGUACAUUUCACAUAUAACAAAGUGGUACAUUAAUAAAGAAGAAUGGGUACAUUAGAAAUAAAUUAGGGUACAAAUAAAAGAUUAAAAUUUAUGAAUACAAAUGAAUUUUUAAAAAUAUAGUCGCUAAAAGAAAUUAGUACAUGGGUACAAAAUAAAAUAAAAAGAAAAUACUACAAAUUGACAAUCUGUGGUAUAAAUUGACAAUUUGGUAAUAUAAAUUGACAAUUUAUACCACCGAAGUUUACUUUUAAAAUCAGUGGUAUAAAUUGACAAUCUGGUAAUAUAACUCCUCCUAUCACAUAUACCGGAUUAUUUGCAGCCAUGCCGCCAUCUAUAAGGUUGAAUUCCCUAGUUCUGCCUGCAGCGUUCUUGGUUUCAAAAUAAUGAGCUGGAAGAUAAGUUGGUGCCGCUGAGGUUCCAAUGCAUAUGUCAGAGAGUAAGGCAUCGUAUGAUGGCUUCUUUUUCACCUGCCAACAAAAAUAAGCAC